rnacentral:lncRNA from 1 species
UAAAUUGCAAUCCUACAUGUCCUAUUAUUCUUGGUAAACCUUUCCUUAGAACGAUCGGUGCAAUUAUUGAUGUGAAAGAAGGAAACAUUUGAUUUCAAUUUCUGUUAAGGAAGGGCAUGGAACACUUUCCAAGAAAUAAAAUUAAGUUGACAUCUGAAUCUAUUAUGAGGGCUACUUAUGGAUUUAAUACCAAAGAUGACAAUACCUAGAUCUAUGUUUUAUGCCUAGCUAGGGGCGUUAAACAAUAGCGCUUGUUGGGAGGCAACACAAUUUUAUUUUUAUGUUUCUUGUUCUUGGUUCUAUUUGCAAUAAAUACACAUUAUUACCUCUGUAGUAAUUGUGUUUUUUUGUUUUAAUUAGUGUUUGAGCCAAGCAAGACCUUUGGGAUGGUCUAUGGUGAUAGUUAAUUUGAUCUUGCUGAAAAACACGAACUUUUGCGCUCAUUGCAAGAAUUUUAAAAAAUCACAGAGCGUGCUUUUGAUCUGAAUAUUUUACACAAGAUUGAUAUAAAAAAUUCCCAGAUUGACCUAAUUUUUUAGAAUUUUUGGAGUUACAGAAGAAUACGAACUUUUCAGAUUGCUACAGAUUGUUCUGUUUUUGACAGAUUCUGUUUUCUAUGUAUUGUUUGCUUAUUUUGAUGAAUCUAUGGGUAGUAUCGGGGGGUAUGAACCAUGGAUAAGUUGCAAUACAGUAGAUAUUACACCAAUAUAAAUUUAGAAUGAGUUCACAACAGUACCUAAAGUGGUGAUUUAUUUUAUUAUACUAACGAAUCUCAUGAGUUUUCUGUUGAGUUUUGUGUUGUGAAGUUUCCAAGUUUUGGGUAAAGAUUUGAUGGACAAUGGAAUAAGGAGUGGAAAGAGCCUAAGCUUGGGGAUUCCCAAGGCACCCCAUGGUAAUAUUCAAGGACAACCAAGCAUCUAAGCUUGUGGAUGCCCCGGAUGGCAUCCCCUCUUUCGUCUUCGUUCCAUCGGUUAAUUUACUUGAGGCUAUAUUUGUAUUAACCACAUGAUAUGUGUUUUGCUUGGAGCGUCUUGUAUGAUAUGAGAUUUUUAGUUUGCCACAAUCUUCCUUGGUGUACACACCUUUUGAGAGGUAAAUGAAUGAAUCGUAAAUUUAUUAGAAUACUCUAUGUGCUUCACUUAUAACUUUUGAGCUAGGCAGUUUGCUCUAGUGCUUCACUUAUAUCUUUUUAGAGCACGACGGUGGUUUUAUUUUAUAGAAAUUGUUGAAAUCUCAUGCUUCACUUGUAUUAUUUUCAGAUUCUUCAAACAUCAUGGUAAUUUUCUUAGGUUAUAAAUUUUGUCCUAAUAUGUUGGGCAUCCAAGAGGGAUAUAAUAAAAACUUUCAUAUAAAGAGCGUUGAAUACUAUGAGAAGUUUGAUUCCUUGCAUAUUGUUUUGAGAUAUAAAGAUGGUCAUAUUAGUGUCAUGCUAGUGAGUAAUUGUGGAUUGGUAGAAAUUCUUGUGUUAAAGUUUGUGAUUCAUGUAGCAUGCACAUAUGGUGAACCGUUAUGUGAUGAAGUCGAAGCAUGAUUUAUUUUUUGAUUGUCUUCCUUAUGAGUGGCGGUCGGGGACGAGCGAUGGUAUUUCCCUACCAAUCUAUCCCCCUAGGAGCAUGCGUGUAGCACUUUGUUUCGAUGACUAAUACAUUUUUUCAAUAAGUAUGGGAGUUCUUUAUGACUAAUGUUGAGUCCAUGGAUUAUACGCACUCUCACCCUUCCACCUUUGCUAGCCUCUCUAGUUCCAUUUUAUUAUGACACAUAUCAUCAUUGUCAUAUUGCUUUGCAUGAUCAUAUAGUUGGCAUAGUAUUUGUGGCAAGGCCACUAUUCAUAUUUUUUAUACAUGUCACUCUUGAUCAUUGCACAUCCUGGUACACCACUGGAGGCAUUCAUGUAGAGUCAUAUUUUGUUCUAGUAUCGAGUUGUAAUUCUUGAGUUGUAAGUAAAUAAAAGUGUGAUGAUCAUCAUUAUUAGAGCAUGGUCCCAUGUGAGGAAAGGAUGAUGGAAGCUAUGAUUCCCUCAAAAGUUGGGACGAGUCUCUGAACUUUAUAAAAAAUAAAAGAGGCCAAUGAAGCCCAAAUAAAAAAAUAAAAGAGGCUAAAGAAGCCCAAACAAAAAAUGAGAGAAAGAGAGAGAAGGGACAAUGUUACUAUCCUUUUUCCACACUUGUGCUUCAAAGUAGCACCAUGAUCUUCAUGAUAGAAAGCCUCCUAUUCUGUCACUUUCAUAGACUAGUGGGAAUUUUUCAUUAUAAGAACUUGGCUUGUAUAUUCCAAUGAUGGUCUUCCUCAAAUUGCCCUAGGUCUUCGUGAGCAAGCAAGUUGGAUGCACACCCACUUAGUUGAUUUUUCAGCUUUCAUACAAUUAUAGCUCUAGUGCAUCAGUUGCAUGGCAAUCCCUACUCACUCACAUUGAUAUCUAUUGAUGGGCAUCUACAUAGCCCGUUAAUACGCCUAGUUGAUGUGAGACUUUCUCCUUCUUUUUGUCUUCUCCACAACCACCAUAUUCUAUUCCACCUAUGGUGCUAUAUCCAUGGCUCACGCUCAUGUAUUGCGUGAAAGUUGAAAAAGUUUGAGAACACCAAAAGUAUGAAACAAUUUCUUGGCUUGUCAUCGGGGUUGUGCAUGAUAAAAUACUUUGUGUGAUGAAGAUGGAGCAUAGCCAGAUGAUAACCCACAAGUAUAGGGGAUCGCAACAGUUUUCGAGGGUAGAGUAUUCAACCCAAAUUUAUAGAUUCGACACAAGGGGAGCCAAAGAAUAUUUGUAAGUAUUAGCAGUUGAGUUGUCAAUUCAACCACACCCGGAGAUUAAUUAUCUGCAGCAAGUAAUCAGUAGCAAAGUAAUAUGAUAGUUUUGAUAAUUGUGACAGCAGCAAUGGUACCGGUAAUAGUGAUAGCAGUGAUUUUGUAGCAAGUGCAAUAGUAACGAUAGCAGUAGUAACUUAGCAGAAACAUAUAGGAUAAAUUCGUAGGCAUUGGAUUGGUAAUUUGUUGGAUGAUAUUCAUCAUGUGACAGUCAUAACCUAGGGCGAUACGGCACUAGCUCUAGUUCAUAAAUAUAAUGUAGGCAUGUAUUUCGUAAAUAGUCAUACGUGCUUAUGGAAAGAACUUGCAUGAGAUCUUUUGUCCUACCCUCCCGUGGCAGUGGGGUCCAUAUUGGAAACUAAGGGAUAUUAAGGCCACCUUCUAAUAGAGAACCGGAACAAAGCAUUAACACACGAUGAAUACAUGAACUCCUCAAACUACGUUCAUCACCGGGAGUGGUCCCGACUAUUGUAACUUCGGGGUUGCCGGAUCAUAAUACAUAGUAGGUGACUAUAACAUGCAAGAUCGGAUCUAGAACAUGGAUAUAAUGGUGAUACCAUAAACGGUUCAGAUCUGAAAUCAUGGCACCCGGGCCCAAAGUGACAAGCAUUAAGCAUGGCAAAGUCAUAGCAACAUCAAUCUCAGAACAUAGUGGAUACUAGGGAUCAGACCCUAACAAAACUAAAUCGAUUACAUGAUGAAUCUCAUCCAACUCCUCACCGACUAGUGAGCCUAUGAAAGAAUUACUCACUCCCGGUGGGGAGCAUCAUGGAAUUGGCGAUGGAGAAGGGUUGGUGAUGACGAAGAAUGAAGAUCCCCCUCUCCGGAGCCCCAAACGGACUCCAGAUCUGGCCUCCCGAUGAAGAACAGGAGGUGACGGCGGCUCCGUCUCGAGGAUCACGAUAAUUAUUUCUCCCUAAAUUUUUUUUGGAAAAAUAGGAUUUUAUAGCGUCUAUUUCAAGGUCUGCGGGUGUAACAUCCCAAAUUUUCAAUUUGGAAUGUUAUACAUAGGUCAUUCAUGCAUAUCAUAUUUUUAUUGCAUUUUUGUUUGCGAUCCUUGAGAUUCUAAGCAACUCAAGGACCCGCAGAGAGAGUUGGGGAUUUCAUGAUUUUCAUAUUUGAAUUUUAUCAAAUAUUAAAACAAGGAUCAUUUUGGUUUUAAAGAUUUUUCUCUCCGAAAAUAUUUCGAAUUUAAAAUAUAUGAGAGGAGAUAAUAUGAAUUCUCAAAAAUAGAUGAAAUAUUGGAGGAAAAUAUUAAAAUCAAAUAAAUAAUUUUAUUUGGAUUUUAUUGCUAUUUUAUUCAAAUUAGGAAAAAUAUGCAUUUUUCAAAAUUGCAUUAUAGGCCCAAAUAAAUGUUCACCUUGUCCGGUAUAUUUUUAGAGGACGAGGAAAAUUUAUUUCGGGAUUUUUGGAGUCCGUUUAGUUUUUUUUCUUUGUUUUUCUGCGUCUCGGAGUAUUUAAGAAAAAAGUUUGAACCGACUUACGGGGCGUGGGCGACCCGGAUUCCCGCCGCCCCGGGCCUUAUAAGCCGCGCCCCCAACCGCGCAGCCCACCACCAGCCCCGCCGCCGAAACCCUAACCCUAACCCGCGCCGUCCCGACCCCGCCGCCGGACGCCGACCCCGCCGCCCGUCGCCGCCGGACGACGUGAUAGAAAACCGUAUGUUUUUUUAGAAAAAUCCCUCGGUUAUUUUUUUUAGAUCGGUUUUAUUUUUCCCCCGGUUUAGUUAUUUAGCGGACGUUCGUCCGUACGUUCCUUUUAACGAACUCCGUUUACCCGUUAGCCGCAGAGAGCGAACGCACGUUCAUUAGCCUAUUCGUCAAUUUUUCUUUUUCCAGGGUUUUUUCCGCGAUUAAUUUCGAUCGCAAUUUCUGCCCUGAUUUUCGUUUUAGUUUAUCUUUUCGCUCGUUUAUCAGAAUCAGGCGAUUCAAGCGCCUAGAUCUUCGUCUCGAAGCCCUCUUUCUGUUUAACCAACUUGAACAAGAUUUUGGUACUGUAAAAUUUGACUUUAGUCCAGAUUAGUAAUCGGAUCUUGUUUCUUUCGCAGUUUGACUUUCGUUGCUCCGUUUGAUUUGAUUCUUUUUGCAAACCGGAGUUCUUCAGUUGAACUUUCUGGUUAGAUCUCCUUGUUUGAGAUUUACCCGUGCAUCUUUUCUUGAUUGCUUAUGUAUGCUAUUGUUUGUUUGCGAUAGAAUUCCCGGAGUGUGAAGCGUGCUACUACGAGUCCCUAGGUUUUGCGGAUCGUUAGCAAGGCAAGUAACACAUUGAUCAUACUCUUUUCAUACCCAGUUUUUAUGCAUUUGUUACAAUCCUCAAACAUUGCAUUAUUAGGAUGUGUUUAACUUGUGGGUUUGGGAAGUAGAUGUUGAGGUAGAACUUAUUACCUGUUUUAAUAUCAAACCCUUGGGAGUUACUUCUACGUUAUGCUUAUUCCCAUGCUAUGCUCGUAGACGUGGUUUGGGUUUGAGUGUAUCCAUGACAUAUGUGAGAUUGUUAAUUAAUGGUUCAACUUAAGGUGGCAACUUUAAUACACAUCUAGGUGGAUUGUUUGCUUUGGGCACCUGGGGAAUCCAGUGUUGUCCUAGGAUAUCCCGGGGUUAUACCGUGUGAUCAUCCUACAGUCCGCCACCCAGGCUCAUAGGGAUCAUAAGAUUAUUCAUGCUAGAAACUUCCGUGUGCAGCCACAAGCCAUUAGGGGCUCUGGCAUAGUUGAGUAUGUUCUGUGACCUCUUUCAGUGGUGGGCUAGCAGAUGUAGAGGGAAAGUAGGUUUAACUGUCCACCCAGAGUAAAGAGUUAAUGCUUCUGAAAGACUGUGUCUCGGUCAUCCGUUUCUCAAACACCAUGUAGUGCGAGAAAUCCAACGGAGGAGAUCGAGUCUUGUGGGGAAAAGUGCGCAAACCUCUGCAGAGUGUAUAAACUAAUCAUGGUUAGCUGUGUCCCCGGUUAUGGACAUCUUGAGUAUCUAGUACUUGAAUUAUUGAUUUGAUCUCAUCACUCUAAAUUAAUUUGUUGGGUUGUUAAUGAUUACUUUAAUUGGGAUUGAGUUGGAGGAACCUUCUCAAUGAUGUUUCAACCACCAUGAUAGUUAAAUAAAAUGUACUUAGAUGGCCUUAAGCCAUAUUUAUUGUAAUAAGUUCUCUUUGGAGACAUUCGAUGUAAUAAGUGUGUGAUUGCUACUCUGUUAUAAAUCCUUCGAGUACAGUGUGUGUCAGCAUUACCGAUCCAGGGAUGACACUGAAGCACAGAGACUUGACCGUCUGAGGUCGGGUCGCUACAAGAUGGUAUCAGAGCACAUGCUGAAUGUAGGACACGACCACUAAGAAAAGCCAUAGGUCACCCUUCUCUACUUAUUUCUGACUCCUCUCCAUUUUUUACUCUUUAGGAUGGCAGACUCGAGGAACAAGUUUGCACAACCGGAUGAAGACACCCCCUUUGGACGACACUUGAAGGAAGUCACUAGAUAUCUGAACAUUGGAAUACCAAGCUUCAUCGGGACCUACACCGCUACUUCACCAGAAGAGGAGCGCUGGAUGAUUCGAGUUCAAGUUCCAGGAAGGACAUUCAUGCCAGUCACUGAACCCAUAGAGUUUUCCUUUGAUGCCCCAACCUGGAGUCUAGGAAAGAGCAUGGCAGCUCACAUCGCCAUGGGGCGCAUUGGCGAAGUUUACCACAAGGAUCUCAAGGAUACUAUCUACCAGAUAUGUGGGCGCCGAGACGAGCAAUGGGAGAUAGUCAGCACCAUGAGGGACAGGUCCAUUGCAGCAUUCAUCCAGGAGCUAAACCAGCACAUUCGACGCCAGGAGAACCAGAUGUGCGCAAGCAUGAUAGAUUUGAAGAAGGCGAUGACAAGGGUCACCGAACUAGAAGAGGAACUCAAGUCUACACGCGAUGGAUAUGAGGAGGAAAUCGUAAUACUAUUGGAGAAGAAUGACGACCUAAUAAACAAGAUCGGAGUAUUCAUGGGAGAUCCCGCGCCAGGAGGAGAAGACGAUGAACCCAAGGAGAUUCAUUCCGAAGACUACAUCAUCAUCGAUGACACCGACUCCGACCCUGACGAUAGUGAUGAUGAUUAUGAAGACGAAGCUGGAGCGGACAUCAUGGAGUCUUCCAUCGAUCAAAAUUUCUAGAUGACCACCAUAUGACUAGUAGUAUUUCCCCAUGUAUAUAGUAGUAGUCCUAGCACUUUUGUAACGAUAGUUCUAGACCGAUUGUAUGCCCUUGCUUGAUUGAUUGAGUGAUAUGAUAUGAUUGUGUUUGUCUCAUGUGCAUAUGGGUAGUGCUUUCUCACUAGACCUCUUUCUAUUCUAAUCUCUCCCCUCUAAACCCAUCAGAUGCCUCCUAGACGUGACACCGGAUUUGUCUUCCCACCGGAGAUCACCCAGUUGAUCCAGCAGCAGAAUGCCUUGAUGCAGAUAUUAGUACAGAACCAAGGCAACAACAACAACAACCCUCCUCCAGUUGACAACUUAGCCCGUUUUCUGAGGUUACACCCGUCGGUGUUUUCCAGUAGCACCGAGCCCAUAGUUGCGGAUGACUAGUUACGCAAGAUUGGAAGGGAGUUGACCACCGCAGGUUGCACUGAUGCUGAGAAGGUGCAUUUUGCCGCACACCAAUUGGAUGGACCAGCAGCUUCAUGGUGGGAGAAUUGCACAGCCACCUUCCCGAUAGCCAAUAUCACUUGGGAUCAGUUUCAGCAAGCUUUUCGCACGGCCCAUGUCUCAACUGGAGCUAUGAGCAUGAAGAAACCUUAGUUUCGCAACUUACGCCAGGGAAAUCGGACUAUGGCUCAGUACGUAGAUGAGUUUAGUAAGCUGUCUCGCUAUGCCCCUGAUGAUGUGGCCACAGAUGCCGCAAAGCAGGAGAAGUUUAUGGAAGGGCUGAAUGAUGAGAUGAGCAUGCAGUUGAUGGUGGCAACAUUUAACAACUACCAGGAGUUGGUAGACAAGGCUCUUAUGAUGGAAGGGAAGCAGCACCAGAUUGAGAGCCGCAAGAGGAAGUAUGCACAAGGAAAGUACAAUUCUGGAGCUCAGCAGAAGCCUCGUUUCACCCCAAACUCAGGAGGACUUAUCCAUAACCAUGGAGGCCACACCCACAAUGGAGGGAGUUCUCACAACCACAAUGGCCCCAAGAAUGGAAACGGGAAUGGAGCAGGCAGCAAUCAGAACCGCUCUAACCCAGCCACACCCGCCAAGAAGGAUCAAAGUCAGAUUACCUCUUUCUAGUGCGGGAAGACUGGGCACUACGCCAACGAUUGUCCGGAAUUGAAGAAUGGUAAUGGCAAUGGAAGCGCUGGGAAGAAGCCCAACCCUUUCAACAGGGGACAAGUGAACCACGUGAACGUGGAGGAAGUUGAGGAGCAACCAGAUGCAGUUAUCGGUAAGUUUUUGGUUAAGUCUUUUACUGCAAUCGUUCUUUUUGAUACUGGUGCAUCGCACUCAUACAUAUCAAGGGGAUUCGUGGAUAAGUAUAAGUUGGCCACUAAGGUACUUAGGACACCUAUGUUAUUAAGUUCGCCAGGAGCGGAAUAUAUGGCAAGACAAGGAUGUUUUCAGAUGCCAUUGACCAUUGGAAGCCAUGUUUUCCCCUCAGACCUGAUAAUUUCGGAGUCACAAGGAUUGGAUGUGAUACUAGGAAUGGAUUGGCUAUCGAUGUAUGGGGGAAACAUCGAUUGCGCAAGUAAGUCGAUUUUGCUCACUACCCCGGAGGGAAAAAGGAUCAAGUCUGUAUCCAGGCAUGCGCCGAGGAGGACUCAAGUAAAUUUUCUCACGGGAGUUGUUCAGGAGGAAGUGCCUGUUGUGAAGGAUUACCCAGAUGUAUUUCCAGAGGAGUUACCAGGCAUGCCACCAGAUCGAGACAUCAUGUUUUUGAUAGAACUAUUGCCAGGCACCGGGCCUAUAUCGAAGAGACCAUACCGGAUGCCCGCGAAUGAUCUGGAGGAGAUCAAGAAGCAGAUUAAGGAGUUGUUGGAGAAAGGUUACAUUCGACGAAGUUCAUCACCAUGGGGAGCCCCAGUGCUUUUGGUCGAGAAGAAGGAUGGAUCGUUAAGGAUGGUGGUUGAUUAUCGUGCGUUGAAUGAAGUAACAAUCAAGAAUAAGUACCCACUGCCGAUGAUCAAUGAUUUGUUUGACCAGUUGCAAGGAGCUAAGGUGUUUUCGAAGAUCGAUUUGCGAUCAGGAUAUCACCUGUUGAAGAUUAGGGAAAAAGAUAUACCUAAAACAGCUUUCACCACAAGGUACGGGUUAUACGAGUAUAAUGUUGGGUCAUUUGGACUAACUAACGCCCCUGCCUAUUUCAUGGGUAUGAUGAAUAAGGUAUUCAUGGAGUUCUUGGAUAAGUUUGUUGUGGUGUUCAUUGAUGACAUCUUGGUAUACUCGAAGAAUGAAGAGGAACACAAGGAGCAUUUGUGUUUAGUUCUCGAGAAACUCCGGGAACAUCAGUUAUAUGCCAAGUUUAGCAAGUGUGAGUUUUGGUUUAAGGAAGUUGGAUUUCUUGGACAUAUUAUAUCAGGAGAAGGUAUAGCAGUGGACCCUACCAAGGUUCAGUCAGUCACUGAGUGGUUGGCACCCACCUCAGUUGGAGAGAUCCGCAGUUUUCUUGGACUCGCGGGAUAUUAUCGGAGAUUUAUUGAGAAUUUUUCUAAGAUUGCGAAGCCUAUGACGGCAUUGUUGAAGAAGGACACCAAGUUCCAUUGGACUGAAGAAUGUGAAGCCAGUUUCCAGGAGUUGAAGAAACGUUUGACUAUAGCCCCAGUGCUGAUUUUGCCGGAUAUACGCAAGGAUUUCCAAGUGUACUGCGACGCCUCUCGCUUAGGACUUGGAGGAGUACUUAUGCAAGACGGAAGAGUUGUUUCGUAUGCCUCAAGGCAACUUCGACCGCAUGAGUUGAAUUAUGCCACACAUGAUUUGGAGUUAGUAGCCGUAGUGCAUGCGCUCAAGACCUGGAGACAUUUUCUUAUUGGAAACCGUUGCGAUGUGUACACGGAUCACAAGAGUUUGAAGUAUAUUUUUACUCAGAAGGAGAUGAACCUCAGGCAGAGGAGAUGGUUGGAGCUCAUAAAAGAUUAUGACAUGAAGUUGCAUUAUCAUCCAGGCAAGGCCAAUGUCGUAGCAGACGCUUUGAGCCAGAAGAGUUACGUCAAUACCCUCGUAAGCAGAGGAAUGCCAAAGGAGUUGGUAGAAGAUCUCAGGGAGCUACGUUUGGAGAUAGUCCCUAGAGGUUUUGUUGCAGCGUUGGAGGUUCAGUCAACAUUAUUGGGAAAGAUUCAAGAAGCUCGGAAAGAUGACAAAGAAAUUUCUGAAAUAAAGGAGAAGAUGAGUGAAGGGAAAGCCAAAGGUUUUCGUGAGGAUGAGCAUGACACCUUGUGGUUUGAGGACCGUGUAUAUGUGCCCAAUAAUGCAGAGAUCAGGAAGUUGAUACUACAGGAAGCUCAUGACUCGCCAUACUCGAUACACCCCGGAAACACUAAGAUGUAUUUGGACUUGAAGGAGCGUUUCUGGUGGACUGGUAUGAAGAAGGAUAUUGCCGAGUAUGUAGCAGUAUGUGAUGUAUCUCAGAGAGUGAAGGCAAAGCAUCAGAAACCAGCAGGAUUACUGCAACCUAUGCCGAUACCCGAAUGGAAGUGGGACAAGCUUGGCAUGGAUUUUAUCACCGGAUUACCCAGGACCCGAUUGGGAUAUGAUUCUAUCUGGGUAGUAGUGGAUCGCUUGACCAAAGUAGACCACUUUAUCCCAGUGAAAACCACCUAUACCAGUGCGAAGUUGGCUGAGAUAUAUAUGACCAGGAUCGUAUGUCUGCACAGAGUUCUGAGGACCAUCGUAUCAGAUAGAGGAACAUAGUUUACUUCAAAGUUUUGGCACCAGCUGCACCAGACUUUGGGAACCAGGCUGGAGUUCUGUACAGCUUUUCACCCGCAGACAGAUGAACAGACCGAGAGAGUCAAUCAGAUUCUGGAGGACAUGUUGAGAGCUUGUGCGCUAGAUUAUGGAUCUAGUUGGGAUGACAACUUGCCCUACGCGGAGUUCUCGUAAAACAAUAGCUACUAGGCCAGUUUGAAGAUGGCACCGUUUGAAGCCCUGUAUGGAAGAAGGUGCAGAACACCGUUGAUGUGGGAUGAAGUUGGAGACCGUCAGUUGUUUGGACCAGAUUUGAUUAAGGAGUCCGAAGAGAAGGUUAAGCUGAUUCGAGAUAGACUGAAGGUAGCUCAGUCCCGACAGAAGAGUUAUGCAGAUUCAAAACGCAAGGAGGUAGUCUAUGAAAUCGGAGACAGAGCAUAUCUGCGAGUGUCACCUCUUCGAGGAAUUAAACGUUUUGGAGUUAAGGGAAAGUUAGCCCCAAGAUUUGUGGGACCCUACUGUGUUUUGGAACGCAUGGGAGAGGUUGCCUACAAGUUGGAGUUACCCAAAGGACUAUCGGGAGUACAUGAUGUGUUUCACGUUUCCCAGUUGAAGAAGUGCCAUGCAGAGAUGACCGAUAUUCCUCUGAGAGAUACAGUGCCCCUAGAAGCAAUACAGUUGGAUAGUGAUUUGACAUAUGAGGAGAAACUUGUCAAGAUUCUUGAGUUUGCCAGCCGAGUUACUCGCAGCAAGGUUAUCAAGUUUUGCAAAGUUCAGUGGAGCCACCAUACCGAGGAUGAAGCCACCUGGGAACGAGAGGAUGAUCUACGCAAAAACCACCCGCACCUAUUUUCUAGCCAACCCGAAUCUCGAGGGCGAGAUUCAUCUUAAGGGGGGUAGGUUUGUAACAUCCCAAAUUUUCAAUUUGGAAUGUUAUACAUAGGUCAUUCAUGCAUAUCAUAUUUUUAUUGCAUUUUCGUUUGCGAUCCUCGAAAUGCUAAGCAACUCUAGGACCCGCGAAGAGAGUUGGGGAUUUCAAGAUUUUCAUAUUUGAAUUUUAUCAAAUAUUGAAACAAGGAUCAUGUUUGUUUUAAUGAUUUUUCUCUCCGAAAAUAUUUCGAAUUUAAAAUAUAUGAGAGGAGAUAAUAUGACUUCUCCGAAAUAGAUGAAAUAUUGGAGGAAAAAUAUUAAAAUCAAAUAAAUAAUUUUAUUUGGAUUUUUUUGCUAUAUUAUUCGAAUUAGGAAAAAUACGCAUUUUUCAAAAUUGCGUUAUAGGCCCAAUAAAUGUUCACCUUGUCCGGCAUAUUUUUAGAGGACGAGGAAAAUUUAUUUCGGGAUGUUUGGUUUCCGUUUAGUAUUUCUUUUCUUCGUUUUUCUGCACGUUAGAGUAUUUUUUUUUAAGUUCGAACCGACUUACGGGCCGUGGGCGACCCGGACUCCCGCCGCCCCGGGCCUUAUAAGCCGCGCCCCCAACCCCGCAGCCCACCACCAGCCCCGCCGCCGAAACCCUAACCCUAACCCGCGCUGCCCCGCCGCCGCCGCCGCGACGUCCCGACCCCGCCGCCCAUCGCCGCCGACCCCGCCCACCGCCGCCGGACGCCGCCUCGCCGAAGUUGCCCGCCGCCACCGCCGUCACGCGUCCCGAGGUAGCCGCCAGUUUUCUAACGAAAACCGUAUGGUUUUUUUAGAAACACUUGGUUAUUUUUUAGAUCGAUUUUAUUUUUUUCCCUGUUUAGUUAUUUAGCGGACGUUCGUCCGUACGUUCCUUUUAACGAACGCCGUUCACCCGUUAGCCGCAGACAGCGAACGUUCGUUCGUUAACCUGUUCGUCAGUUUUUCUUUUUCCAGGGUUUUUCCGCGUUUAUUUUCGAUCGCGAUUUCUGCCCUGAUUUUCGUUUUAGUUUAUCUUUUCGCUCGUUUAUCGGAAUCAGGCGAUUCAAGCGCCUAGAUCUUCGUCUCGAAGCCCUAUUUCGGUUUAACCAACUUGAACAAGAUUUUGGUACUAUAAAAUUUGACUUUAGUCCAGAUUAGUAAUCGGAUCUUGUUUCUUUCGCAGUUUGAGUUUUGUUGCUCCGUUUGAUUUGAUUGUUUUUGCAAACCGGAGUUCUUCAGUUGAACUUUCUAGUUAGAUCUCCUUGUCUGAGUUUUACCCGUGCAUCUUUGCUUGAUUUCUUAUGUAUGCUAUUGUUUGUUUGCGAUAGAAUUCCCGGAGUGUGAAGCGUGCUACUACGAGUCCCUAGGUUUUGCGGAUCGUCAGCAAGGCAAGUAACACAUUGAUCAUACUCUUUGCAUACCCAGUUUUUAUGCAUUAGUUACAAUCCUCAAACAUUGCAUGAUUAGGAUGUGUUUGACUUGUGGGUUUGGGAAGUAGAUGUUGAGGUAGAACCUAUUACCCGUAUUAAUAUCAAACCCUUGGGAGUUACUUCUACGUUAUGCUUAUUGCCAUGCUAUGCUCGUAGAUGUGGUUUGGGUUUGAGCGUAUCCAUGACAGAUGUGAGAUUGUUAAUUAAUGGUUCAACUUAAGGUGGCAACUUUAAUACACAUUUGGGUGGAUUGUUUGUUUUGGGCACCUUGGGAAUCCAGUGUUGUCCUAGGAUAUCCCGGGGUUAUACCGUGUGAUCAUCCUACGGUCCGCCACCCAGGCUCAAAGGGAUCAUAAGAUUAUUCAUGCUAGAAACUUCCGUGUGCAGCCACAAGCCAUUAUGGGCUCUGGCAUAGUUGAGUAUGUUGUGUGACCUCUUUCAGUGCUAGGCUAGCAGAUGUAGAGGGAAAGUAGGUGUAACUGUCCACCCAGAGUAAAGAGUUAAUGCUUCUGAAAGACUGUGUCUCGGUCAUCCGUUUCUCAAACACCAUGUAGUGCGAGAAAUCCAACGUAGGAGAUCGAGUCUUGUGGGGAAAAGUGCGCAAACCUCUGCAGAGAGUAUAAACUAAUCAUGGUUAGCCGUGUCUCCGGUUAUGGACAUCUUGAGUAUCUGGUACUUGAAUUAUUGAUUUGAUCUCAUCACUCUAAAUUAAUUUGUUGGGUUGUUAAUGAUUACUUUAAUUGGGAUUGAGUUGGAGGAACCUUCUCAAUGAUGUUUCAACCACCAUGAUAGUUAAAUAAAAUGUAUUCCUUUGUUGUAGGGGAAAAUUGGCUUUUCGCAAAAAUCAUAUAACCAUAGAGCCUCUACCAGCCAUAUAUGCAUGUAGUGAUAGCAUUUAUCUGUUCAUUGCUCUACUGUGUUAUAUUGCCAGCAUAUUCCAUGUGCUGACCCGGUUUCGGCUGCAACGUAUCAUGUUGCAGACUUUUCAAACGAGGAGUAAGGUUCGCUAGGCUGUUUUCGUGCACUCAGCUAUGCCGUUGGAGUUGAUGGACUCACUUUAUCUUCCAAGCCUUCCGCAGUUAUCGUUUUAGAUGGCCUUAAGCCAUAUUUAUUGUAAUAAGUUCUCUUUGGAGACAUUUGAUGUAAUAAGUGUGUGAUUGCUACUCUGUUAUAAAUCCUUCGAGUAUUGUGUGUGUCAGCAUUACCGAUUGACACUGAAGCACAGAGACUUGACCAUCUGAGGCCGGGUCGCUACAAGAUGGUAUCAGAGCACAUGCUGAAUGUAGGACACAACCACUAUGAAAAGCCAUAGGUCACCCUUCUCUACUCAUUUCUGACUCAUCUCCAUUUUUUACUCUUUAGGAUGGCGGACUCGAGGAACAAGUUUGCACAACCGGAUGAAGACACCCCCUUUGGACGACACUUGAAGGAAGUCACUAGAUAUCUGAACAUUGGAAUACGAAGCUUCACCGGGACCUACACCGCUACUUUACCAGAAGAGGAGCGCUGGAUGAUUCGAGUUCAAGUUCCAGGAAGGACAUUCACGCCAGUCACUGAACCCAUAGAGUUUUCCUUUGAUGCCCCAACCUGGAGUCUAGGAAAGAGCAUGGCAGCUCACAUCGCCAUGGGGCGCAUUGGCGAAGUUUACCACAAGGAUCUCAAGGAUACUAUCUACCAGAUAUGUGGGCGCCGAGACGAGCAAUGGGAGAUAGUCAGCACCAGGAGGGACAAGUCCAUUGCAGCAUUCAUCCAGGAGCUAAACCAGCACAUUCGACGCCAGGAGAACCAGAUGUGCGCAAGCAUGAUAGAUUUGAAGAAGGCGAUGACAAGGAUCACCGAAUUAGAAGAGGAACUCAAGUCUACACGCGAUGGAUAUGAGGAGGAAAUUGCAAUACUAUUGGAGAAGAAUGACAACCUGAUAAAGAAGAUCGGAGUACUCAUGGGAGAUCACGCGCCAGGAGGAGAAGCCGAUGAACCCAAGGAGAUUCGUUCCGAAGACUACAUCAUCAUUGACGACACCGACUCCGACCCUGACGAUAGUGAUGAUGAUUAUGAAGACGAAGCUGGAGCGGACAUCAUGGAGUAUUCCACCGAUCAAAAUUUCUAGAUGACCACCAUAUGACUAGUAGUAUUUCCCCAUCUAUAUAGUAGUAGUCCGAGCACUUUUGUAAUGAUAGUUCUAGACCGAUUGUAUGCCCUUGCUUGAUUGAUUGAGUGAUAUGAUAUGAUUGUGUUUCUCUCAUGUGCAUAUGGGUAGUGCUUUCUCACUAGACCUCUUUCUAUUCUAAUAUCUCCCCUCUAAACCCAUCAGAUGCCUCCCAGACGUGACACCGGAUUUGUCUUCCCACCGGAGAUCACCCAGUUGAUCCUGCAGCAGAAUGCCUUGAUGCAGAUAUUAGUCCAGAACCAAGGCAACAACAACAACAACCCUCCUCCAGUUGACAACUUAGCCCGUUUUCUGAGGUUACAGCCGCCGGUGUUUUCUAGUAGCACCGAGCCCAUAGUUGCGGAUGACUAGUUACGCAAGAUUGGAAGGGAGUUGACCACCGCAAGUUGCACUGAUGCUGAGAAGGUGCAUUUUGCCGCACACCAAUUGGAUGGACCAGCAGCGUCAUGGUGGGAGAAUUACACAGCCACCUUCCCGAUAGCCAAUAUCACUUGGGAUCAGUUUCAGCAAGCUUUUUCGCACAGCCCAUGUCUCAACUGGAGCUAUGAGCAUGAAGAAGCGUGAGUUUCGCAACUUACGCCAGGGAAAUCGGACUGUAGCUCAGUACGUAGAUGAGUUUAGUAAGCUGUCUCGCUAUGCCCCUGAUGAUGUGGCCACAGAUGCCGCAAAGCAGGAGAAGUUUAUGGAAGGGCUGAAUGAUGAGAUGAGCAUGCAGUUGAUGGUGGCAACAUUUAACAACUACCAGGAGUUGGUAGACAAGGCUCUUAUGAUGGAAGGGAAGCAACACCAGAUUGAGAGCCGCAAGAGGAAGUAUGCACAAGGAAAGUACAAUUCUGGAGCUCAGCAGAAGCCUCGUUUCACCCCAAACUCAGGAGGACUUAUCCAUAACCAUGGAGGCCACACCCACAAUGGAGGGAGUUCUCACAACCACAAUGGCCCCAAGAAUGGAAACGGGAAUGGAGCAGGCAGCAAUCAGAACCGCUCUAACCCAGCCACACCCGCCAAGAAGGAUCAAAGUCAGAUUACCUCUUUCUAGUGCGGGAAGACUGGGCACUACGCCAACGAUUGUCCGGAAUUGAAGAAUGGUAAUGGCAAUGGAAGCGCUGGGAAGAAGCCCAACCCUUUCAACAGGGGACAAGUGAACCACGUGAACGUGGAGGAAGUUGAGGAGCAACCAGAUGCAGUUAUCGGUAAGUUUUUGGUUAAGUCUUUUACUGCAAUCGUUCUUUUUGAUACUGGUGCAUCGCACUCAUACAUAUCAAGGGGAUUCGUGGAUAAGUAUAAGUUGGCCACUAAGGUACUUAGGACACCUAUGUUAUUAAGUUCGCCAGGAGCGGAAUAUAUGGCAAGACAAGGAUGUUUUCAGAUGCCAUUGACCAUUGGAAGCCAUGUUUUCCCCUCAGACCUGAUAAUUUCGGAGUCACAAGGAUUGGAUGUGAUACUAGGAAUGGAUUGGCUAUCGAUGUAUGGGGGAAACAUCGAUUGCGCAAGUAAGUCGAUUUUGCUCACUACCCCGGAGGGAAAAAGGAUCAAGUCUGUAUCCAGGCAUGCGCCGAGGAGGACUCAAGUAAAUUUUCUCACGGGAGUUGUUCAGGAGGAAGUGCCUGUUGUGAAGGAUUACCCAGAUGUAUUUCCAGAGGAGUUACCAGGCAUGCCACCAGAUCAAGACAUCGAGUUUUUGAUAGAACUAUUGCCAGGCACCGGGCCUAUAUCAAAGAGACCAUACUGGAUGCCCGUGAAUGAUCUAGAGGAGAUCAAGAAGCAGAUUAAGGAGUUGUUGGAGAAAGGUUACAUUCGACGCAGUUCAUCGGCAUGGGGAGCCCCAGUGCUUUUGGUCGAGAAGAAGGAUGGAUCGUUAAGGAUGGUGGUUGAUUAUCGUGCGUUGAAUGAAGUAACAAUCAAGAAUAAGUACCCACUGCCGAUGAUCAAUGAUUUGUUUGACCAGUUGCUAGGAGGUAAGGUGUUUUCGAAGAUCGAUCUGCGAUCAGGAUAUCACCUGCUGAAGAUUAGGGAAAAAGAUAUACCUAAAACAGCUUUCACCACAAGGUACGGGUUAUAUGAGUAUACGGUUAUGUCAUUUGGACUAACUAACGCCCCUGCCUAUUUCAUGAGUAUGGUGAAUAAGGUAUUCAUGGAGUUCUUGGAUAAGUUUGUUCUGGUGUUCAUUGAUGACAUCUUGGUAUACUCGAAGAAUGAAGAGGAACAAAAGGAGCAUUUGCGUUUAGUUCUCAAGAAACUGAGGGAACAACAGUUAUAUGCCAAGUUUAGCAAGUUUGAGUUUUGGUUGAAGGAAGUUGGAUUUCUUGGACAUGUUAUAUGAGGAGAAGGUAUAGCAGUGGACCCUACCAAGGUUCAGUCAGUCACUGAGUGGUUGGCACCCACCUCAGUUGGAGAGAUCCGCAGUUUUCUUGGACUCGCGGGAUAUUAUCGGAGAUUUAUUGAGAAUUUUUCUAAGAUUGCGAAGCCUAUGACGGCAUUGUUGAAGAAGGACACCAAGUUCCAUUGGACUGAAGAAUGUGAAGCCAGUUUCCAGGAGUUGAAGAAACGUUUGACUACAGCCCCAGUGCUGAUUCUGCCGGAUAUACGCAAGGAUUUCCAAGUGUACUGCGACGCCUCUCGCUUAGGACUUGGAGGAGUACUUAUGCAAGACGGAAGAGUUGUUUCGUAUGCCUCAAGGCAACUUCGACCGCAUGAGUUGAAUAAUGCCACACACGAUUUGGAGUUAGUAGCCGUAGUGCAUGCGCUCAAGACCUGGAGACAUUUUCUUAUUGGAAACCGUUGCGAUGUGUACACGGAUCACAAGAGUUUGAAGUAUAUUUUUACUCAGAAGGAGAUGAACCUCAGGCAGAGGAGAUGGUUGGAGCUCAUAAAAGAUUAUGACAUGAAGUUGCAUUAUCAUCCAGGCAAGGCCAAUGUCGUAGCAGACGCUUUGAGCCGGAAGAGUUACGUCAAUACCCUCGUAAGCAGAGGAAUGCCAAAGGAGUUGGUAGAAGAUCUCAGGGAGCUACGUUUGGAGAUAGUCCCUAGAGGUUUUGUUGCAGCGUUGGAGGUUCAGUCAACAUUAUUGGGAAAGAUUCGAGAAGCUCAGAAAGAUGACAAAGAAAUUUCCGAAAUAAAGGAGAAGAUGAGUGAAGGGAAAGCCAAAGGUUUUCGUGAGGAUGAGCAUGACACCUUGUGGUUUGAGGACCGUGUAUAUGUGCCCAAUAAUGCAGAGAUCAGGAAGUUGAUACUACAGGAAGCUCAUGACUCGCCAUACUCGAUACACCCCGGAAACACUAAGAUGUAUUUGGACUUGAAGGAGCGUUUCUGGUGGACUGGUAUGAAGAAGGAUAUUGCCGAGUAUGUAGCAGUAUGUGAUGUAUCUUAGAGAGUGAAGGCAAAGCAUCAGAAACCAGCAGGAUUACUGCAACCUAUGCCGAUACCCGAAUGGAAGUGGGACAAGCUUGGCAUGGAUUUUAUCACCGGAUUACCCAGGACCCGAUUGGGAUAUGAUUCUAUCUGGGUAGUAGUGGAUCGCUUGACCAAAGUAGCCCACUUUAUCCCAGUGAAAACCACCUAUACCAGUGCGAAAUUGGCCGAGAUAUAUAUGACCAGGAUCGUAUGUCUGCACGGAGUUCGGAGGACCAUCGUAUCAGAUAGAGGAACAUAGUUUACUUCAAAGUUUUGGCACCAGCUGCACCAGACUUUGGGAACCAGGCUGGAGUUCAGUACAGCUUUUCACCCGCAGACAGAUGAACAGACCGAGAGAGUCAAUCAGAUUCUGGAGGACAUGUUGAGAGCUUGUGCGCUAGAUUAUGGAUCUAGUUGGGAUGACAACUUGCCCUACGCGGAGUUCUCGUAAAACAAUAGCUACUAGGCCAGUUUGAAGAUGGCACCGUUCGAAGCCCUGUAUGGAAGAAGGUGCAGAACACCGUUGAUGUGGGAUGAAGUUGGAGACCAUCGGUUGUUUGGACCAGAUUUGAUUAAGGAGUCCGAAGAGAAGGUUAAGCUGAUUCGAGAUAGACUGAAGGUAGCUCAGUCUUGACAGAAGAGUUAUGCAGAUUCAAAACGCAAGGAGGUAGUCUAUGAAAUCGGAGACAGAGCAUAUCUGCGAGUGUCACCUCUUCGAGGAAUUAAACGUUUUGGAGUUAAGGGAAAGUUAGCCCCGAGAUUUGUGGGACCCUACCGUGUUUUGGAACGCAUGGGAGAGGUUGCCUACAAGUUGGAGUUACCCGAAGGACUAUCGGGAGUACAUGAUGUGUUUCACGUUUCCCAGUUGAAGAAGUGCCAUGCAGAGAUGACCGAUAUUCCUCUGAGAGAUACAGUGCCCCUAGAAGCAAUACAGUUGGAUAGUGAUUUGACAUAUGAGGAGAAACUUGUCAAGAUUCUUGAGUUUGCCAGCCGAGUUACUCGCAGCAAGGUUAUCAAGUUUUGCAAAGUUCAGUGGAGCCACCAUACCGAGGAUGAAGCCACCUGGGAACGAGAGGAUGAUCUACGCAAAAACCACCCGCACCUAUUUUCUAGCCAACCCGAAUCUCAAGGGCGAGAUUCAUCUUAAGGGGGGUAGGUUUGUAACAUCCCAAAUUUUCAAUUUGGAAUGUUAUACAUAGGUCAUUCAUAGGUCAUUCAUGCAUAUCAUAUUUUUAUUGCAUUUUCGUUUGGGAUCCUCGAAAUUCUAAGCAACUCAAGGACCCGCGGAGAGAGUUGGGGAUUUCACGAUUUUCAUAUUUGAAUUUUAUCAAAUAUUGAAACAAGGAUCAUUUUGGCUUUAAUGAUUUUAAUCUCCGUAAAUAUUUCAGCCCACCACCAGCACCGCCGCCGAAACCCUAACCCUAACCCGCGCCGCCCCACCCGCCGCGCUGCCCCACCGCCGCGCCGCGACNNNNNNNNNNNNNNNNNNNNNNNNNNNNNNNNNNNNNNNNNNNNNNNNNNNNNNNNNNNNNNNNNNNNNNNNNNNNNNNNNNNNNNNNNNNNNNNNNNNNNNNNNNNNNNNNNNNNNNNNNNNNNNNNNNNNNNNNNNNNNNNNNNNNNNNNNNNNNNNNNNNNNNNNNNNNNNNNNNNNNNNNNNNNNNNNNNNNNNNNNNNNNNNNNNNNNNNNNNNNNNNNNNNNNNNNNNNNNNNNNNNNNNNNNNNNNNNNNNNNNNNNNNNNNNNNNNNNNNNNNNNNNNNNNNNNNNNNNNNNNNNNNNNNNNNNNNNNNNNNNNNNNNNNNNNNNNNNNNNNNNNNNNNNNNNNGCGACCCCGCCCCGCCGCCGCGACGUCCUGACCCCGCCCGCCGCCGCCGGACGCCGCCUCGCCGGAGUUGCUCGCCGCUGCCAUCGUCACGCGUCCUGAGGUAGCCGCCGGUUUUCUAACGAAAACCGUAUGGUUUUUUUAGAAACCCUCGGUUAUUUUUUUAUAUCGUUUUUUUUUCGGUUUAGUUAUGUAGCGGACGUUCGUCCGUAUGUUCGUUUUAACGAACACCGUUCACCCAUUAGCCGCAGACAGCGAAUGUUCGUUCAUUAGCCUGUUCGUCAGUUUUUCUUUUUCUAGGGUUUUUCCGCGAUUAUUUUCGAUCGCGAUUUCUGCCCUGAUUUUCGUUUUAGUUUAUCUUUUCGCUCGUUUAUCGGAAUCAGGCGAUUCAAGCGCCUAGAUCUUCGUCUCGAAGCCCUCUUUCUGUUUAACCAACUUGAACAAGAUUUUGGUACUGUAAAAUUUGACUUUAGUCCAGAUUAGUAAUCGGAUCUUGUUUCUUUCGCAGUUUGAGUUUUGUUGCUCCGUUUGAUUUGAUUCUUUUUGCAAACCGGAGUUCUUCAGUUGGACUUUCUGGUUAGAUCUCCUUGUUUGAGUUUUACCCAUGCAUCUUUGCUUGAUUGCUUAUGUAUGCUAUUGUUUGUUUGCGAUAGAAUUCCCGAAGUGCGAAGCGUGCUACUACGAGUCCCUAGGUUUUGCGGAUCGUCAGCAAGGCAAGUAACACAUUGAUCAUACUCUUUUCAUACCCAGUUUUUAUGCAUUAGUUACAAUCCUCAAACAUUGCAUGAUUAGGAUGUGUUUAACUUGUGGGUUUGGGAAGUAGAUGUUGAGGUAGAACCUAUUACCUGUUUUAAUAUCAAACCCUUGGGAGUUACUUCUACGUUAUGCUUAUUGCCAUGCUAUGCUCGUAGACGUGGUUUGGGUUCGAGUGUAUCCAUGACAGAUGUGAGAUUGUUAAUUAAUGGUUCAACUUAAGGUGGCAACUUUAAUACACAUCUGGGUGGAUUGUUUGUUUUGGGCACCUGGGGAAUCUAGUAUUGUCCUAGGAUAUCCCGGGGUUAUACCGUCACUAGUAGAAAAAGGGCCUAUUGUCCCGGUUCGUAAGGGCCUUUUGUCCCGGUUUAGGAACCGGGACUAAAAGGUCAUUACUAAUGCCCUUGGCCUUUUGUCCCGGUUCUUACACGAACCGGGACAGAUGGGCCUCCACGUGGCCGGUGCUGCAAGCCCAGGCAGGAGGCCCUUUAGUCCCGGUUGGUGGCACCAACUAGGACCAAUAGGCAUCCAUGCGUCAGCUGUUCAGGGGCUAGGGUUUUUGUUUUUUUUUCUGAAAGGGGGGUGGAUUUGGGGGUUUUGUAUGGUUAAUUAAGGUGUUUCAUAUAUUGUGUUAGGUAGCUAAUUAAUUAAUAGAGAGAAGUGUCCUCUCUUAUCUCUGUGCUUGGUCGACGCUACGUACUAUACGUAUAGAGAGGCCCUCGACACGCUAGCUAAUAAGAAAAUGAAGGAAACCAUUAAGUACAGAAGUUCGUCAUGCAUACCGAGAGAAGUGAUCGACCUCUCCUUCUCCGAGAGAUUGGUCGAACAACAAGUUUUCGUAUUAUCUAUCCGAUGCUACUGGCUACAUACAUAUACAAUAUGUAAGAUCUCUUACAAUCCCCUAGCAUUUGAACUCAAGUUCCACAUGGUAUUCUCCGGCUUUAUUGAUGACGUGGUCAAGAAAGAAUCCCGCCAAUUCCUCUUGAAUUGCUUUCAUGCGAUCUUGUGGUAGGAGUUUAUUCCGCAUCUGCCACGUCUAAUUUGAAGAAGGGGGUUAAUACAUAUAUAUGAAUGAAACUCAACAGAAAUGAUGGUGUAAUAAAAUGAAAUUGUGAAUAUUAUUGCUUACGCACUUCAUAUUGUCUUUUAGAGUAGCCCCGCUUAUCUUUGGAAGUCUCGUUGUAGAUGAACUCGGACACGUAGUAUCCACAGUAAUCAUUCCCUUGUUCCUGCCACAAGCACUUUACGAGAAAUAGAGGUCAAUCAAACUGAUAAUGAAGCAUUAUAAAUGGCAUUGAUGAAAGUAGCUAGAAUUAAUGGGAGAUGCGCGCAACUAGCUAGCUAGUAGUACUUACUUUCGGGUAUGUAUAUCGCAGCUCCUUCGGCAGUCCCGGAGCUUCUGCGGUGAACUUUUUCCAAACCCUGCAAGACAAAGAAAAUAAUUAUUACUUGAGAUAUCAGGAAAUGAACAAAAAGUUGCCGAUAUGGUGCGAUAAUGAUCGAUUGAACUUACUUGUUGAGAAUUUUAGUCAUGUCCGCAUGGGUCUCGGGAUCUUUUCGUCUCGAGUCUAAUACGGUUACUAGUCCCUGCUCAAGCUUAAUCUCCAGGAGAAUAUAGUGGAAGUUGUAAGGAAAGAGUAUUAAAUCUCCAGGAGUAAUAAGGGAAACCGAAUAUGCACACGACAGUAACACUCACUCGAAGUUGUAAGGAAAGAGUAUUAAAUCUUUGUUUUGAUUUAUUAUCAAUGAUUUGAGCAAGUUGGCCUCGGCAUCUUUGGCACUCUUUUUAACCUGAAAUUCAUCUCUGAGAUUUGUGUUAAUGAACCCAAUAUCAUACAUUUCUGCUUUUCUGCACUCGACGAUCUUCAAUCUGCAUAAUAUAGUGAGGAUAAUUAUAAAUACAUGCAAUGAAAGAGCUGAGCUAUAUAUAGAGACUUAAUGACAGAAGUAGUACUUACAGACAGUAGCAAGUGACCGUUAAUUUAUCGAGGGCCUUUUGAUUGAAGAACUGGAAGAACUCCUCAAAUGGAACAUACAACAGAUCAAUUCCAACGAGGUCGUGCUCCUAUUUAACUCUCAGAUACAAAGUAUCUGUCCCCCCAGACUCUUUGCAGGUUUCAUGUACCAAUCAUGGAAUCUUCGCAUCAUCGUUGUUAGAGAUUUUUCAUCUUUGACGAGAGGCUUCCCGUACUCGUAUCUGUGUUCGUCCACCUCCAAGAAAUCAUAACAUACAUCGUCGGGCAAGUAAUCUCUAAGAUUGCUAUAACCGGGCACCAUCCCCGGAUCAUUAGCGACGAUGUCGCUAGACACAUUGAGCGGGGGGCACGAUUGGUUCGCUUGUUCGCCGAGCUGGGCAAUUUUUUCCCAGCUGCUCGUCGUUCUUUUAACCUUUGAUCACUUCUAGUACUUCCCGACCGCUCCGCUUCGAUAUAUACCUUUUCAGUAACGCGCUCAUAGUUGGUUUUCGGCAGAGACUUUGGUGGUUUCCUCAGGGCAUCGAUAGUGCGCUUUGCUUUCACCAGAUCUACCUUCUCCUCCGGAGGUGGAUGUCUCUUUGCUUUCACCCCUUCAAAGAAGUCCUUCACUUCUUUUUCCACAAUCUUCUUGUUUUCUUCCACGGUCCUCUUGUACGGUAACUUCUCUAGAGGCUUGAGAGGUGGACCGUAUCUGUAUUGCCUCCCGCCUCUGGCUAUACUGCUAGACGCCGAAGCAGACGGAGCGGCUGCGGCUGUCUUCUUUCGUGCUUGCUUACGAGGCGGAGGAGAAGGACUACGAUGCGCAGGAGCAGCCGGGGCGGCGGCGGGUCUCUUCCGCCCUUGCUGGCGAAGCGGAGAAGGAGGAGGCUGGUGGCUGCUCGGGCACGCCGGCGCAGGCGGAGAAGGAGGCGGAGUGCCGCCACGCGCCGGAGAAGGAGGCUGAGUGCCCUGAUCACUCGCCGGAGGAGGAGGCGGUGGAGGAGGCGGAGUGCCCUGACUCACCGGAGGAGGAGGCGGAGGCGUCCAGUUCGGAAGGUUGAUGAGCUCCUUCUGCCAUAGGCAUGGAGUCUUCAGACAAGAACCCAGCUAAGUCUCCCCGUCACCCGUAGGGUGGCCAAGCUGGAGGUCCUCAAAUCCUUCUGUGAUUUCAUCCACCAUCACCCUAGCAUAUCCUUCUGGAAUCGGCCGGCAGUGAAAAGUUGCGCCAGGUUCAGGAGGUGCAACAGAGCCAACAGCUGCCUUGACUUUCAAUUCCAUCCACUGCGUCAUAAGGUGGCAAUGCUGAGACUCCAUGAUCGCAUCCACGGGGUAGCUAGCAGGAGCCGUGAAGACAGGCUCCUGAAGCAGCUCCGUGGAAGCCACGCUGCUUCUCCGCUGAGAUGGCGGGGUAGCUUCGGGUGUAGCUUCGGCAGGUCGCGUGCUGCGAACUGUGUCUCGCUCCUCUAGUGCUUGUACCCUUGCGUGCAGCGCCUGUAGUUGGGUCAACUCCUUUUUCUUCUUCCUCUCCCGGCAUUUGUAACCGCCUGUGUCGGGAAAUCCAGCCUUCCACGAAAGGGAGCCUGGCGUGCCUCGUGUCCGUCCGAGGUGCUCAGGAUUCCCGAGGGCCUUCGUGAGCUCGUCGUUCUCUCUGUCCGGAACGAAUGUCCCUUGCUGCACUUUUUCGAUAUACUCCUGAAGCUUCUCGAUGGGUGUGUUCAGCUACUCAUUGGUCCAAACGCACUUCCCUGUUACAGGGUCCAAUUUUCCCCCAACCCCGAAGAACCAAGUCCUGCAACGGUCUGGCCAGCGUCGCGUCUCUGGUUCGAUCCCUUUAUGAAUGAGGUCAUUCUCAUCCUUGUCCCACAACGGCCGGGAUUUCAGGUAGCCACCUGACCCCGUGCGAUGGUGAUGCUUCUUCUUUGUAGCAUUUUUCUUGUUUGUCGCUGACAUCUUCGCUACUCUCUCAGAUUUCUUUUUGGUGACAAAUGCGGGCCACUGAUCUUUGAUCUUCUCAAAUCGGCCGAUGAAUUCUGGAGUCUUGUCUUGGUCGACAAACAAUGAUUUCAGCUCAUUCUUCCACCUCCUGAAUAGCUUAGCCAUCUUCUUAAGAGCAUAAGCCUUGAUCAUUGGCUUUUUAACUGGAUUCUCCGAAUCCUCCUCUGGCGGGAAGGUGAAAUUUUCCUGCAGCGCGGUCCAAAGAUCAGCUUUCUGCCUAUCGCUGACAUAAGACACCUGAGAGUCUUUGUCCUUAGGCUUCAACCAUUGCUCGAUGCUGAUCGGGAUCAUGUCCCUAACUAGAACCCCACACUGAGCAUUAAAUUUUUGCUUGGUCCGGAGGGGUUCAAUCGGUUGGCCAGCGUGAUCAAUUUCGAUGAUCGUGUACCUUUCAUCCGCGCGCAACUUUCUCUUCGGGCCUCAUCUCGUACCGAAGUGUUGCUCGAUCCGGAGGGCUAGAAAAGAAGAAAAUGAAGAGAGUUAAUAUGUGUACAUACCAAAAACAAUUAAUGCAUCAAUUAGCUAUAGUCAGCACAUGCUUAAUUAAUUAAUAUAUAUACCUGGCCGGACUCCGUUCGGUCACCGGAGCCGUCAUCACGGUGUCCUUCCUCCUUCAUUCGGUCACCGGAGCCGUCAUCACGGUGUCCUUCCUCCUCCAUUGUUUGAUCAUCGUCGUGGCCUGCUUCUUCAUCCUGUUUCCAGACCAUCGGUGCAUGUGUCGUUGAGAAACGACAAGACGGCAUCACUUCCGUGUGCAAUUAUCUCCCCCAACACCGCUUCUUUUGCUUCGUCCCGGGGGUGCGGAUCCAUAGUUUCUGCAAAUAUUUACAACAGGGCAAUUAUUAUUCAAACAUGACAGAUGGAUAUAUUAGUGGCAAACGUUGAGCUAGCUAGCUAAGCACAAUAAGGAAUCAUAUUAGUGGCCUGGCCUCGACACUUCUCUAGGGUUUGGGGUGGCCUCGGCAACGCUUCAAGGGUUUGGGGUGGCCUCAACAACGCUUCAAGGGUUCGGGGUGGCCUCGACGACAAUGCUCUUUUAACUUGGUAAAUUUGGGUGGCCUCAAGAGAGUUUGUCUAUUGGGUAGGGGCGCGGAGGAAGGGGGUAGGAGACCGACAUCGUUUUUUCUAGGGUUUGGGUGUCCUCGAGAGUUUUGGUCGAGCGAAAGGGCCGGGGAGUGCUCCGGACGUCCCCCCUGACUUUAACAAAGAACUACCUUAAAAAAUACUUGCUUCGCCGCGGGUCCUUCAUUUUUUCCUUUGUUUUUUCUUAUAUGUUUGUUUUUGUUUUCAUUCUACAUUUUCGUACAUAUGAAAAAAAUAAAGUUUCUAUACAAAAGUGCAUAAUUUUUAUGAACAAAUUACAACAUCUAAAUUAACUAUACAUCUAAAUAAAUAUAACUAUACAUCUGAAAUUUUCCUAAUCUUAAAACUAAACUAAACAUAAACUAAAAUAAUCUAAAAAACAUAUAAAAACAUCUAAAAAUAGCAUCUAAAAAUCUAAUAGCUAGCACGGCGGAGGGGCACGGCGCAGGGGCCGGCACCGGCAAGGCAGGGGAGGGGCGCGGGACAGGGGAGGGGCGCGGGAGCAGGCUGGUGCUCACAAGGGGCGGCGGGGCACGGUGGGCGGCGCGUCGGGGCCGGCAGGGGCGCGAGGGUCGACGCCGUCGUCGGGGCAGAGGGCGUCAGCGGCGGCGGCGGCNNNNNNNNNNNNNNNNNNNNNNNNNNNNNNNNNNNNNNNNNNNNNNNNNNNNNNNNNNNNNNNNNNNNNNNNNNNNNNNNNNNNNNNNNNNNNNNNNNNNNNNNNNNNNNNNNNNNNNNNNNNNNNNNNNNNNNNNNNNNNNNNNNNNNNNNNNNNNNNNNNNNNNNNNNNNNNNNNNNNNNNNNNNNNNNNNNNNNNNNNNNNNNNNNNNNNNNNNNNNNNNNNNNNNNNNNNNNNNNNNNNNNNNNNNNNNNNNNNNNNNNNNNNNNNNNNNNNNNNNNNNNNNNNNNNNNNNNNNNNNNNNNNNNNNNNNNNNNNNNNNNNNNNNNNNNNNNNNNNNNNNNNNNNNNNNNNNNNNNNNNNNNNNNNNNNNNNNNNNNNNNNNNNNNNNNNNNNNNNNNNNNNNNNNNNNNNNNNNNNNNNNNNNNNNNNNNNNNNNNNNNNNNNNNNNNNNNNNNNNNNNNNNNNNNNNNNNNNNNNNNNNNNNNNNNNNNNNNNNNNNNNNNNNNNNNNNNNNNNNNNNNNNNNNNNNNNNNNNNNNNNNNNNNNNNNNNNNNNNNNNNNNNNNNNNNNNNNNNNNNNNNNNNNNNNNNNNNNNNNNNNNNNNNNNNNNNNNNNNNNNNNNNGGACGAAAGGUCUCUUUUCAGCAGCCCAAAGGGCGGGAAGCAGAGGCCUUUGGUCCCGGUUGGUGGCACCAACCGGGACUAAAGGGGGGGCAUUGGUUCCGCUUGGUGCCACGAACCGGUACCAAUGCACCCCUUUAGUCCCGGUUGGUUCCACCAACCGGGACCAAAAGCCAUGCACAGCAGGGUGGUGGUGGGAGUUUAGUCCCACCUCGCUAGUUGAGAGGGGCGCGCAGUUGUUUAUAAGCCCCACUACCACACCCCUCUCGAACUCCUCUCCAUUGCAGGCUUGCGGGCCUAAUUGUGACUGCUAUGCCUGAUGGGCCUACUGGGCCUUCUGCUGGCCUGAAUCCUGGCCCAUGGAUGGGUUUCUAGUCGUAUUCAGGCCGUGGUGGCCCAGUAGGUGGCAAUUUUUUUAUUUUUCCCAGUUUUUUUGUUUUCUUUUUUGCUUUAUCUUUUUGUUUUGUUUCUACUUACAACAAAAUACUUGUUUAUUUUAUUUUAUUUUGUUUCUAAUUACUUAUUUAUUUUAUUUUAUGCUAAUUCUUUUUGCUAUUAAAGUUUCUAACAAAAAAGUUCUUUAUAAAAAUUCUUUUUGCUUUUAAUGAUUUUGAACAGAAAAUACUUUCAUAAUUUUAGUUGCAUCAAUUUUAUAUAAUUUUAGUUUCAUAAAUUUUAGAGGUUGCUUAUAAUGUUUUGAACAGAAAAUACUUUGAUAAUUUUAGUUUCAUAAAUUUUAUUUAUGUUAUUAAAGUUUAUUUUAUUUUAUUUCUACUUAUAUAUUUUAUUAAAUUUUAUAUUAUUUUGUUUCAAAUUACUUAUUUAUUUUAUUUUAUGAUAAUUCUUUUUGCUAUUAAAUUUUCAUGCAUUUACUGAUUAUUUUGAGGUAUAAGACCCUGAAAUUGAAAAGCAUUUCAAAUGAACUCUGAAAAGGUUAAAAGUUGUCAUGGUAUCAUCAUUUCACCCACAUAGCAUGUGCAAUAAAGUAGAGAGUGUUACGGCAAAAACUGGAUGCACUUCGUGUACAAAACGGACAAUCUCUUUUGAAGUAUCAGGAUUUCAUACGGAAACUCGUCUGUUACAAAGGGAUUUCAUUUUUUGAACUUAUUUGAACUCCAUAGUUUUUCUGUGUUCAAAAUGCACCAUUCAAAGCCACAUCAUCAAUUUUCAACCCUUUCUGACUUCAUUUGUUAUUUUUCAUGCAUUUGCUGAUUAUUUUGAGCUAUAAGACCCUGAAAUUGAAAAGCAUUUCAAGUGAACUCUGAAAAGGUUAAAAGUUGGCAUGGUAUCAUCAUUUCACCCACAUAGCAUGUGCAAGAAAGUAGAGAGUGUUACGGCAAAAACUGGAUGCACUUCGUGUACAAAACGGACAAUCUCUUUCGAAGUAUCAGGGUUUCAUACGGAAACUCGUCUGUUACAAAGGAAUUUCAUUUUUUGAACUUAUUUGAACUCCAUAGUUUUUCUGUGUUCAAAAUGCACCAUUCAAAGACACAUCAUCAAUUUUCAGCCCUUUCUGACUUCAUUUGUUAUUUUUAUGCAUUUACUGAUUAUUUUGAGGUAUAAGACCCUGAAAUUGAAAAGCAUUUCAAAUGAACUCUGAAAAGGUAAAAAGUCGUCAUGGUAUCAUCAUUUCACCCACAUAGCAUGUGCAAUAAAGUAGAGAGUGUUACGGCAAAAACUGGAUGCACUUCGUGUAUAAAACGGACAAUCUCUUUCGAAGUAUCAGGGUUUCAUACGGAAACUCUUCUGUUACAAAGGGAUUUCAUUUUUUUGAACUUAUUUUAACUCCAUAGUUUUUCUGUGUUCAAAAUGCACCAUUCAAAGCCACAUCAUCAAUUUUCAACCCUUUCUGACUUCAUUUGUUAUUUUUCAUGCAUUUACUGAUUUUUUUCAGCUAUAAGACCCUGAAAUUGAAAAGCACUACAAAAGAACUCUGAAAAGGUUGAAAGUUGGCAUGGUAUCAUCAUUUCACCCANNNNNNNNNNNNNNNNNNNNNNNNNNNNNNNNNNNNNNNNNNNNNNNNNNNNNNNNNNNNNNNNNNNNNNNNNNNNNNNNNNNNNNNNNNNNNNNNNNNNNNNNNNNNNNNNNNNNNNNNNNNNNNNNNNNNNNNNNNNNNNNNNNNNNNNNNNNNNNNNNNNNNNNNNNNNNNNNNNNNNNNNNNNNNNNNNNNNNNNNNNNNNNNNNNNNNNNNNNNNNNNNNNNNNNNNNNNNNNNNNNNNNNNNNNNNNNNNNNNNNNNNNNNNNNNNNNNNNNNNNNNNNNNNNNNNNNNNNNNNNNNNNNNNNNNNNNNNNNNNNNNNNNNNNNNNNNNNNNNNNNNNNNNNNNNNNNNNNNNNNNNNNNNNNNNNNNNNNNNNNNNNNNNNNNNNNNNNNNNNNNNNNNNNNNNNNNNNNNNNNNNNNCCAUAAGACCCUGAAAUUGAAAAGCACUACAAAUGAACUCUGAAAAGGUUGAAAGUUGGCAUGGUAUCAUCAUUUCACCCACAUAGCAUGUGCAAGAAAGUAGAGAGGCUUACGGCAAAAACUGGAUGCACUUCGUGUACAAAACGGACAAUCUCUUUCGAAGUAUCAGGGUUUCAUACGGGAACUCGUCUGUUACAAAGGGAUUUCAUUUUUUUGAACUUAUUUGAACUCCAUAGUUUUUCUGUGUUCAAAAUGCACCAUUCAAAGCCACAUCAUCAAUUUUCAACCCUUUCUGACUUCAUUUGUUAUUUUUUCAUGCAUUUACUAUUUUUUCCAGCUAUAAGACCCUGAAAUUGAAAAGCACUACAAAUGAACAUGGAUAGAUAAGUGACCAAUUUAAUAGUAGUUCAUCAUCACAUUAAAACCAAAGUACAUACAUAGUUCAAAUUGAACAACAUAUAGCUCUCCAGAGCAUCUAGUUAAACCAUACAUUGAAACUAUGUAAAACCUUUCAAUGCAACAACAAAUGCGAUCAUAAUCACAACUAAGGUAACAAUUGAUCCAAUGGCAUAAUGAUACCAAGCCUCGGUAUGAAUGGCAUGGUUUCUAAUCUUUAUAAUCUUCAACCGCAUUGCAUCCAUCUUGAUCUUGUGAUCAUCGACGACAUCCGUAACAUGCAACUCCAAUAUCAUCUUCUCCUCCUCAAAUUUUUUUAUUUUUUCCUUCAAGUAAUUGUUUUCUUCUUCAACUAAAUUUAACCUCUCGACAAUAGGGUCGGUUGGAAUUUCUGGUUCGACCACCUCCUACAUAAAUAAAAUCUAUGUCACGUUGGUCGGCAUAAUUGUCAUAAACAAUAAAUGAACCAAAUAGUUAUAAAAAGAUAAUAUAUACCACAUCCGAAUCAUAGACAGGACGAGGGCCGACGGGGGCGGAUACCAGAACCAUCGCACUAUAUAAUAACAAGGAAUAAUAAAAGUAAGAAAAUUAGACAAGUUUCUAUCUCAAGUAAGAAUUUUUUUCUUCCAGAAAGAAGAUAAGAACAAGAGGCUCACCACGGUGGUGCCGGCGACGAGAUCGGCACGGGCGAUCGACGGCGGUGAAGACGGGGACGGGACGUGACGGACCGCUAAACCUAGAAAAAUCUCGGGGAAAAUGGAGCUCGGAGGUCGAGUUUUGAGAGAAGAAAUAUUAGCUAGUGUGGCUCGGACAUUUCAUCGAACACCUCAUGUGCAUAGGAGGUGAGCUAGAGCACCCAAAUGCCCUCCCCUCGUCGGCCAGCAAAAAAUAGAGCAGUGUGGAGUGCUCUGCUCGCCGGCGAUGGGCUAUAUAUAGGCAAAUCAUUUGUCCCAGUUCGUGGCUGGAACCAGGACCAAUGGAUGUGGGCCAGAAGCGAGGCCCAUUGGUCUCGGUUCGUGCCUAGAACCGGGACAAAUGGGUCCAGACGAACCGGGACCAAAGCCCACGAGUCCCCGGCCGGCCACCUGGGCUCACGAACCGGUACGAAUGCACCCAUUGGUCCCGGUUCGUAUAAGAACCGGGACUAAUGGGCUGGCCAGGCCCGAACGAAAGCCCCUUUUUCUACUAGUGCGUGUGAUCAUCCUAUGGUCCGCCACCCAGGCUCAAAGGGAUCAUAAGAUUAUUCAUGCUAGAAACUUCCGUGUGCAGCCACAAGCCAUUAUGGGCUCUGGCAUAGUUGAGUAUGUUGUGUGACCUCUUUCAGUGGUGGGCUAGCAGAUGUAGAGGGAAAGUAGGUGUAACUGUCCACCCAGAGUAAAGAGUUAAUGCUUCUGAAUGACUGUGUCUCGGUCAUCCGUUUCUCAAACACCAUGUAGUGCGACAAAUCCAACGGAGGAGAUCGAGUCUUGUGAGGAAAAGUGCGCAAACCUCUGCAGAGUGUAUAAAGUAAUCAUGGUUCGCCGUGUCCCCGGUUAUGGACAUAUUGAGUAUCUGGUACUUGAAUUAUUGAUUUGAUCUCAUCACUCUAAAUUAAUUUGUUGGGUUGUUAAUGAUUACUUUAAUUGGGAUUGAGUUGGAGGAACCUUCUCAAUGAUGUUUCAACCACCAUGAUAGUUACAUAAAAUUUAUUCCUUUGUUGUAGGAAAAAUUGGCUUUUCACAAAAAUCAUAUAACCAUAGAGCCUCCACCAGCCAUAUAUGCAUGUAGUGAUAGCAUUUAUCUAUUCAUUGCUCUACUGUGUUAUAUUGCCAGCAUAUUCCAUGUGCUGACCUGGUUUCGGGCUGCAACGUAUCAUGUUGCAGACUUUUCAGACGAGGAGUAAGGUUCGCUAGGCCGUUGUCGUGCACUCAGCUAUGCCGUUGGAGUUGAUGGACUCACUUUAUCUUCCAAGCCUUCCGCUAUUAUCGUUUUAGAUGGCCUUAAGCCAUAUUUAUUGUAAUAAUUUUUCUUUGGAGACAUUCGAUGUAAUAAGUGUGUGAUUGCUACUCUGUUAUAAAUCCUUCGAGUACUGUGUGUGUCAGCAUUACCGAUCCAGGGAUGACACUGAAGCACAGAGACUUGACCGUCUGAGGUCGGGUCGCUACAGCGGGGCCACCAGGUGGAGAUAACCCACCUGGGCGCGCCUGGGAGGGCUGGUGCGCCCUUGUGGGUUGUGCCCACCCAGGUCCCCCCCUCCGGUGGCUCUUGGCUCCAGAAAUUCUCAUUUAUUGUAUAAAAAAUCCUCGCAAAGUUUCGUUCCAUUCCGAGAACUUUUAUUUCUGCACAAAAACAACACCAUGGUAGUUCUGCUGAAAACAGCAUCAGUCCGGGGUUAGUUUCAUUCAAAUCAUGCAAAUUAGAGUCCAAAACAAGAGGAAAAGCGUUUGGAAAAGUAGAUAUGUUUGAUAACCCACAAGUAUAGGGGAUCGCAACAGUUUUCGAGGGUAGAGUAUUCAACCCAAAUUUAUUGAUUCGACACAAGGGGAGCCAAAGAAUAUUCUCAAGUAUUAGCAGUUGAGUUGUCAAUUCAACCACACCAGGAUAACUUAAUAUCUGCAGCAAAGUAUUUAGUAGCAAAGCAGUAUGGACGUAACGGUAACGGUGGCAAAAGUAACAGUAGCAGUUUUGUAGUAAUUGUAACAGUGGCAACGGUAAAGUAACUAAGCGGAGAACAAUAUGUGAAAAGCUCGUAGGCAUUGGAUCGGUGAUGGAGAAUUAUGCCAGAUGCGAUUCCUCAUGCAAUAGUUAUAACAUAAGGUGACACAGAACUAGCUCCAGUUCAUCAAUGUAAUGUAGGCAUGUAUUCCGAAUAUAGGCAUAUGUGCUUAUGGAAAAGAACUUGCAUGACAUCUUUUGUCCUACCCUCCCGUCGUAGCGGGGUCCUAUUAGAAACUAACGGAUAUUAAGGCCUCCUUUUAAUAGAGUACCAGACCAAAGCAUUAACACUUAGUGAAUACAUGAACUCCUCAAACUACGGUCAUCACCGGUAAGUAUCCCGAUUAUUGUCACUUUGGGGUUAACGGGUCAUAACACAUAAUAGAUGACUAUAGACUUGCAAGAUAGGAUCAAGAACUCACAUAUAUUCAUGAAAACAUAAUAGGUUCAGAUCUGAAAUCAUGGCACUCGGGCCCUAGUGACAAGCAUUAAGCAUAGCAAAGUCAUAGCAACAUCAAUCUCAGAACAUAGUGGAUACUAGGGAUCAAACCCUAACAAAACUAACUCGAUUACAUGGUAAAUCUCAUCCAAACCAUCACCGUCCAGCAAGCCUACGAUGGAAUUACUCACGCACGACGGUGAGCAUCAUGAAAUUGGUGAUGGAGGAAGGUUGAUGAUGACGACGGCGACGGAUUCCCCUCUCCGAAGCCCCGAACGGACUCCAGAUCAGCCCUCCCGAGAGAGAUUAGGGCUUGGCGGCGGCUCCGUAUCGUAAAACGCGAUGAAUCCUUCUCUCUGAUUUAUUUCUCCCCGAACAUGAAUAUAUAGAGUUGGAGUUGAGGUCGGUGGAGCACCAGGGGGCCCACGAGGCAGGAGGGCGUGCCCAGGGGGUAGGCAUGCCCCCCACCCUCGUGGACAGGGUGUGGCCCCCCUGGUCUUGAUUCUUUCACCAGUAUUUUUUAUUAAUUCCAAAAAUAUUCUCCGUGAAGUUUCAGGUCAUUCCGAGAACUUUUAUUUCUGCACAAAAAUAACACCAUGGCAAUUCUGCUGAAAACAGCGUCAGUCCGGGCUAGUUCCAUUCAAAUCAUGCAAGUUAGAGUCCAAAACAAGGGCAAAAGUGUUUGGAAAAGUAGAUACGAUGGAGACGUAUCAACAUUGGAGACGUAUCACCAGACUAUAUGAUUUUGUAGGGAUAACUUUCUUUUGCCAUGUUAUUUUGAGAAGACAUAAUUGCUUUAUUAGUAUGCUUGAAGUAUUAUUGUUUUUAUGUCAAUAUUAGACUUUUGUUUUGAAUCUUAUGGAUCUGAGUAUUCAUGCCACAAUAAAGAAGAUUACAUGGACAAAUAUGUUAGGUAGCAUUCCCAUCAAAAAUUAUGUUUUUAUCAUUAACCUACUCGAGGACGAGUAGGAAUUAAGCUUGGGGAUGCUUGAUACGUCUCCAAUGUAUCUAUAUUUUUUUAUUAUUCCAUGCUAUUAUAUUAUCUGUUUUGGAUGUUUUAUAUGCAUUAAUAUGUUAUUUAAUAUUAUUUUUGGGACUAACCUAUUAACCUAGAGCCCAUUGCCAAUUUCUGUUUUCUCCUUGUUUUUGAGUUUUAUAAGGAAUACCAAGCGGAGUCCAAAUGGAAUAAAACUUUUGCGGUGAUUUUUCUUGGGCCAGAAGACACCCAUAGGACUUGGAGAGGGGGACAAAAGCUUCCCGGGGAGGCCACCAGCCUCCUAGGCGUGCCCUAGGGGGGCACCAUGAGGGCUUGUGGGCCCCUCGAGAGUCCUCCAACCCUAAUCUUUGCACUAUAAAUUCCCAUAUAUUCCCAAAACCACCAGAAGCAUCCACCAAAAUACUUUCCCGCCGCCGCUAGCCUCUGCUCUCGUGAGAUCCCAUCUUGGGGCCUUUUUCGGCACCCUGCCGGAGGGGGGUCCGAUCAUGGAGGGCAUCUACAUCAACCUUGCCGCCCUUCCGACGAAGCAUGAGUAGUUUACCAUAGAACUAUGGGUCCAUAACUAGUAGCUAGAUGGCUUCUUCUCUCUCUUUGAUCUUUAAUACAAUGUUCUCCUCAAUGUUCUUGGAGUUCUAUCCGAUGCAAUUUUCUUUUGCGGUGUGUUUGUCGAGAUCCGAUGAAUUGUGGAUUUAUGAUCAGAUCAUCUAUGAAUAUUAUUUGAGUCUUUUCUCAACUCUUUUAUGCAUGAUUAAAUAUCUUUGAAUUUCUCUUCGAAUUAUCGAUUUGGUUUGGCCAACUAGAUUGGUAUUUCUUGCAAUGGGAGAGGUGCUUAGUUGUGGGUUCAACAUUGUAGUGUCCUCACCCUGUGACAAAGUAGGGGUAGCGAGGCACGUAUUGUAUUGUUGCCAUCAAGGGUAAAAAGAUGGGGUUUUCAUCAUAUUGCUUGAGUUUAUCCCUCUACAUCAUGUCAUCUUACUUAAGGCGUUACUCCGUUCUUAUGAACAUAAUACUCGAGAUGCAUGUUGGAUAGCGGUCGAUGUGUGGAGUAAUAGUAGUAGAUGCAGGCAGGAGUCGGUCUACUUGACACGGACGUGAUGCCUAUAUUCAUGAUCAUUGCCUUGCAUAUGGUCAUAACUUUGUGCUUUUCUAUCAAUUGCUCGACAGUAAUUUGUUUACCCACCGUAUGUUUUCUUUCAAGAGAGAAGCCUCUAGUGAAACCUAUGGCCCCGGGGUCUAUUUUCCAUCAUAUAUUUUCAAAUCUAUAAACCAAAAAACCCAAAAAUACCUUGCUGUAAUUUAUUUAUAUUUACUUUAAUUUUCUCUUUUAUUUAUCUUUUAUACCUAUCUCUAUCAGAUCUCACUCUUGUUCAUGACCGUGAAGGGAUUGACAACCCCUUUUUCGCGUUGUGUACAAGUGUUUGUUAGUUUGUGCGGGUGCAUAGAUUGGAGACUUGCUUGUGCCUCCUACUAGAUUGAUACCUUGGUUUUUAACUAAGGGAAAUACUUAUCACUACUUUGCUGCAUCACCCUUUCCUCUUCAAGGGAAAAAUCAACGCAAGCUCAAGAAGUAGCAGGAUGCCACGUCCCAUCUAAGCACAUUCAUAGAAUUGUGUGAUAUGCAAAAGAAAAAGGAUGUGGACAAUGAUAUUGCGAAGUUGAAAUUACUUCCUUUCUCCUUGAGGGAUCGUGCAAAAAUUUGGUUUUCUUCUUUUCCUCGCAAUAGUAUCGAUUCUUAGGAUAAGUGCAAAGAUGCUUUUAUUACUAAUUACUUUCCGCACGCAAAAAUUAUUUCCCUUAGAACUCAAAUCAUGAAUUUUAAGCAACUUGAGCAUGAACAUGUUGCACAGUCUUGGGAAAGAAUGAAAUUGAUGCUAAGAAAUUGUCCUACUCAUGGUUUAAAUCUUUGGAUGAUUAUACAAAAAAAUUAUGCUGGAUUGAAUUUUUUUCUAGAAAUCUUUUAUAUUCCGCCAUGGGUGGUACUUUUAUGGAGAUUACUUUGGGUGAAGCUACUAAAUUGCUAGACAAUAUUAUGGCAAAUUAUUCACAAUGGCAUACAGAAAGAGCACCUACUAGUAAAAAAGUUAAUUCGGUUGAAGAAAUAAGUACUUUGAGUGAAAAAGUUGAUGCUCUUAUGAAAUUGGUUGCUAGUAAAAAUGAUCCUAUUGAUCUUAAUGAUGUGCCUUUGUCUACUUUGAUUGAGCAAAAAUAGUGAUCCCGUAGAUGUGAAUUUUGUCUCGCGAAACAAUUUUAAUAACAAUGCUUAUAGAGGUAAUUUUAAUCCUAGGCCUUUUCCUGGAAAUUCCUCUAAUAAUUAUGGCAAUUCUUAUGGUAAUUCUUCUUAUAAUAAUAAUAGGAACCCCUCUGAUCUUGAGAGAAAUAUUAAAGAAUUUAUCAAUGCUCAAAAGGCUUUCAAUAAUAUGAUAGAAGAAAAGUUGAAUAAGAUUGAUGAUAUGUCUAGAAGCAUUGAUAGAAUUUCCCAUGAUGUAGAAAAUCUCAAGAUUAAAGUUUUUACACCUAAGGUUGAUGUCAAUGAUUAAAUCUUUAUAUGUUUCUAUGGAUGAAAGUAAGAAAAGAACCGCUAGGCUUAGAGCUAAAAGAGAAUUUUUUAGAAAGAGCGUUUUCUACCAGUUGCUUUCAUAACAAUGAUGAAGAUCUUAAAAUGAUCACUGUUUCUUCUGUUGAUUCCUUGUUUAGUAAUAUUAAAAUUGAUGAAAAGAGGACUGAAGAAGAGUCAAAUUUUUCUAGAGGGCGUCCUCAUAAUUCGAAGGGUGAAAAUCUUGUUGAAAAAAUUGAUAAAAGUGGGUUUGGAGAGGUCAAAACUUUAACUAGUGAUGUGCCCACUCUUUUGGAUUACAAAGAUUUUAAUUAUGAUAGUUGCUCUAUGAUUGAAUGUAUUUCUUUGUGUUGACGCUCAAAAGUGGCACGAUCAUAAAGAGUAGCUUUAAGUAAUAUCAAAACUAAUUCAAACUUACGAUUGGAGGUCACCUCUAGAUGGCUCUCUUUAAGAAGAUCGAGAUGGAUAUGAACAUGGUCUAAAACGGAGCUCUUAUGCUAUAGUUAUGACAAGUUCAAAGAUGCUCAUGUUGACAUCAGAUUAAAGAAUGGCAUGGAACUCAAUUAAGGUCGCCUCUGAUGGAAAAUGUUUCAACACAAAAGUUGUGCGUCUCGUCUAAAUGGUUGGUGUUGAUAUAAAAAUCGUCCCAAUCUGAGUUUGUAUGCAAAAGUGAGAGCCAUCGGAAUGCAGCCCUGCCAGGAGGCAAAAUAUGGCGCGCCCCACCAGACACGUGUCUGAUGGGUAGUGCCACCAAUCAGCUAUUUUGCGUGAGCGAUUCGGCCCUCAAGAUGGCCCCGAAUCGAAAAUGUUCAACAUGAAAGUCGUUCGCCUUGUUGAAAAGGUUAAAUUUGCUUUUGGGGGCAUCUUCAUCUGAGGUCAUUUGUGACCUGUGAGACCCAAAAACCGAACUGAUGUGUCAGACUUACCUAAAUCCGAGUUCGGUUAAUUUUGGAAAGAUUUGGACGGGAUUUGGAGUCCUUUACUUGUACGGGAAGUCCAGCCGCCUCAUAAAUAGAUGAGAGGUGAUGGCCGAUUGAACAACACACAAUCGAACAACAUAUCUACUACUUUUUCGUGUUCACCUAUCCCCUAUCCUUGUAUAUUUCUUCUCGUUCUUUGUUGUUCUUCAACAAUGGAGGGUUGCGAAUCAACGAGGCUCUAGGGCGGUUUGGUCGACCUAGGACAGUCCAUAGCCGCCGCUGGCCCUAACGGGGUCCCUCCCGGGCGUGUGGGGUUCCGGGUGUAUAAAAGCGCCCGCCGGAUUGCUUGCGUUUGCGUACCGUGCUUCCGGUCGGGUCUCCUUCCAUGUGAGCUACGGUGCAUCACCCCCGGCGUCCAGGGUACACGACACACACUUUUUGGCGACUCCGCUGGGGACGAAGCUUGGAACGGUUUCCAGCCCAUUCUUGCUACGAAGAGAUCGUCAUCUAGGGUUUGCAAUAUACAAAGGUAAUAUGAAUACCCAAUUCACUUAUGUAGAUGCAAAUAAUGCAUAUGUUGUUGCUAGAUUGUUUAAUGAGCAUAAUGUUUCGGCUAGCCCUAGCUUUAUCAAUGAUGCAUCUAAUUAUGUGCAAGAGUCGAUGCAACAAAAUUUUCAUGCUUCAACUUCAUAUAAUUUAAGCAACAUGCAACAUAUGUAUCCCAACUCCCAUGCAUCGGCAACCCCACAAAUCUAUAUGCCGAUGAACAACAUGAUGACUUCGGUUAAUCAAGUUGAGACACCCCAUGCAGGAACUUCCAAUAGUAUGCAACAAAGUGUUUCAACUUUAUAUUCAUCGGCAAAUAACUUGCAGUAUGUUAAUCCAAACAUGCGGGUGGAUAGGGGAAUUGGCCAUGCUAGUAUAGUUAUUCGGCCAAUUACCCUCAAACAUCAUAUGCUACACCUCAUGCUACUAAUUUUUUGGCACCAUACGCAACUGUUGAUCUCCAUAAUUUGGCUCCGCACCUUCAUGGUCAUGGCCAAAUAAGUGAAACUUCUACAGGAGCACAAAUGCAUUCACCUACUACUGUGGCAUAUCAUGUUCCUCCUACACAAUUACGGAAUUUCGACAACAUCUCAUUGCCGAAAGAUUCUAAAAGCAUCGGGGGGCAACCAUAUCCAGAUUGGGUAAUUGAGAACAAGCUUACAUUCUCUUGGGAUUUGUGCAACUCCAUUCGACGGGAACUAAUAGAAGGUGGGAAGCCUCAUGAUUUUGCUGCUGUAAAAUCUAGAGUUGUGCAAAUGAUGCAUCCGCCCAGUGUUGUACCAUCCUGUGUAUCCCCUAAACAAUUGCAAAGUUUCGGCAACUCAUUGCUGAAAGAGUCUCAAAGCAUUGGGGGCCAAUCUCAUCAGGAGUAGAUGGAAAUUGAGAUGAAAACGUUUAAAGCUCGCCAAGCUGAGAUGUGGGCUAAAAUUAGAUAAGAGCGAGAAGCUUUGCAAAUUCAAAAUGAUAGAAGUACUAAUUCAGGUAACAAAGAAAAUUCGGUUAUUGAAAAAGCCAAAUCAAAUAUUAUGUGUGCCGAAUCUAUUGAAGAAAACGAGGAUGCCAAGGCAUUGGGGAGCCAACUGAAAGUGGAACUUUUUUGUUGAUGCAUCUAUUAGAAAAAAUCUUAUAAGUAAUUUUGAAAGACCAAUGAUGAAGGGAAAUUUACUUGUUAGCAACAAAAAUGUUACAAAGCAUAUCGGUCAAUACACUGUACCAUUCAAAGAGACCGAUAAUGAUUUAUUAUUGCAGCCAAAGCUUUUCCCAUUGCUUUUUUUAAGGUUCAUAUCUAAUUCGGUAGCUUUGCUUGCUUCAUACUUGGCUUAUGCAUGGUCUCAAUUGAGACAUGUAUGUUCUACCUAUUUUGAUUUUAGAAAUUUAAAGCCAAGGUUAUACUCUGUUAAGAAAACCGAUGAUAGUAUAAUUUGUUUUUCAAAGACAUCGGAGAUAGAGUGCAAAACACAAUGCAUAGUCGAACGGGGUGAUGUAAAAUCUGAACCAUUCGUUUGCUAAACUCCAAAGCCGUUCUCGUAGCAAGAUCGGCUAGAACAUAGAAAGUUUACCUUCAAUUCAAGCAUGUUAAUCAAAUAUUUGAUUUGUUGCUGAAAAAUAAUUACAUAAGAAUUCUUGAUCACCAUGUCAACCAUCAAUUCAAGGACGAAUGUAUUACAGGUUGCAUCAUUCGUUCAAACAUAAUUUUGAGGAUGCAACAUGUUUCAUCAAAUAGUUAAAUCGGCCAUUGAUAAAGGACGAUUGAAAUUUGUUGAGACACCAAGAGAUGACCAGUCUAUUCUGAUUGGUCCUGAUGGCAAACGAUUUUUUGCAUCGGCUGCUUCAAGCCAAUCCAUUUAAACAUGAGAAGGUAAAACCUAUGGAUGAUGGGAUCAAGUUUUCAAGUAAAAAAUUUGUUCAAGAGCACAAUGAAAAUAUUCUUGAAGGUGGGAAUUCCAUCAAGGUUGCACAGAAGACGUCAAGUCUGUGGGGGGCAACAAGAAAAUCCAAAGAUCAGUGCAAGCACAAUCAAAGAAAGCAAAGGCCGAGGUAAGCACAAAGGUGAAAGCCGAAAGUCACUUUCAAGUAGCAAUUGGAAAAAUAUCAAAAGAGAAGUGAAGAGAAAAGUGCUUAUCGGCCAAGUAAUUCAAAAGCAUCAUGAUCACCCCUUAGGCGCAAAUAUGAGGAUCAGUAUUGGAAAAGUGAGAACUUCAAUGAAACAUAUUCGUAUCCUUGUUUUGGGCCGCCAAUGCCAAUGCUAUGGAUGCCUCCCUAUGCUCAUGUAGAUACAUAUCCAUCAUGGGACAUGUAUGAUACAAGGGCACAUUCUCCAUCUUAUUUUAGACCAUCUCACCAAUAUUGUGCAGCUCCGAGAAGAUCAACAUUUGAAAAAUCACAUGUCAAAGAUCAUUUCAAUCAUAAAGAAUCGGUCCGAAGCUCAAGGAAGAAGAAAGAGGUUGUCAAACAAGUGUAUCGAGUUAAAAAAGAUGGUCUCAAGAGUGCCAAUUCGGGUUUGAUUUUAAAAGAUAAAGAGCGAAUUAAAGAGCUCACAUUGGCUACAAAAGGAAAAGAAGUGAAGCAAUCAAUUGUUAAGAGUCAAAGUGCCAAGUCUGAAGAAAAGAAUUUGAGGGUGCACAAGGCCAAAAAAGAAUUGCCAUUGGUCAAAACAAAAUCACAACCGAGGUGCCAACUCGGCUUAUCGUAUUGGCAAAAUAAGAAAUUGCAAAAGCUAAGUGCAUAAGAACUUGAAAAGAAGAACAUGUCAUGGGUUCCAAAAGGAGGCACUCAGAAAAAGAAUGAUAUGCAAUCUUCCAUUGCAAGAAGUGCAACAAAGGUGAAGAAAGGGAAGAGUGAAUGCUAUGAACAACCAAGCCGAAGGUUAGCGCAUCGAAAUCUUUGGUUCGACCAUUAUCCAUAUUAUUCAACUACAUGAUUGAGACCUAUGCCAUGGUAUUCAUCCUCAACUAUGAUUGGUUACCCUCCAUGGACUUAUUUCGAUCCAUGGAUGCAAUAUAAUUUAUUACAUCAUGCAAAGGUAUUACCGCAUCAUCAUGCAUUUGAUUAGCUGCACUUUUGUUGCAAAUGGCCGAUAUAUAAUUAUCAUCCUAAGCAUAUAAAUGGACGAUGGAGUGUUGACAUCGUCCUUAGAACCAGCAAGGUAGAAGUUAUUUUUCGGCACGCUAGCUUUGCCGAAAAACAGGGGGGCAAGUGUUGAUGCUCAAAACUGGCACAAUCAUAAAGAGUAGCUUUAAGUUAUAUCAAGACUAAUUCAAACUUAUGAUUGGAGGUCACCUCCAAAUGGCUCUGUUUAAGAAGAUCGAGAUGGAUAUGAACAUGGUCUAAAACGGAGCUCUUAUGCUAUAGUUAUGACAAGUUCAAAGAUGCUCAUGUUGACACCAUAUUAAAGAAUGGCAUGGAACUCAAUUAAGGCCGCCUCUGAUAGAAAAUGUUUCAACACAAAAGUUGUGCUUCUCGUCGAAAUGGUUGACGUUGAUAUAAAAAUCUUCCUAAUCUGAUUUUGUAUGCAAAAGUUAGAGCCAUCGGAAUGCAGCCCUGCCAGGAGGCAAAAUAUGACGCGCCCCACCAGACACGUGUCUGAUGGGUAGCCCCACCAAUCAACUGUUUUGCAUCAGCGAUUCGUCCCUCAAGAUGGCCUCGAAUCAAAAACAUUCAACGCGAAAGUUGUUCGCCUCGUCGAAACGGUUAAAUUUGCUUUUGGGCGCAUCUUCAUCAGAGGUCAUUUGUGACCUGUGAGACCCGAAAACCGAACUGAUGUGUCAUACUUACCUAAAUCCGAGUUCGGUUAAUUUUGGGAAGAUUUAGACGGGGUUUGGAGUCCUUUACUUGUACGGGAAGUCCAGCUGCCUCAUAAAUAGAUGAGAGGUGAUGGCCGAUUGAGCAACAUGAAGGAAAUAUGCCCUAGAGGCAAUAAUAAAGUUAUUAUUUAUAUCCUUAUUUCAUGAUAAAUGUUUAUUAUUCAUGCUAGAAUUGUAUUAACCGGAAACAUAAUACUUGUGUGAAUACAUAGACAAACAGAGUGUCACUAGUAUGCCUCUACUUGACUAGCUCGUUGAUCAAAGAUGAUUAUGUUUCCUAGCCAUUGACAUGAGUUGUCAUUUGAUUAGCGGGAUCACAUCAUUAGGAGAAUGAUGUGAUUGACUUGACCCAUUCCGUUAGCUUAGCACACGAUCGUUUAGUAUUCUGCUAUUGCUUUCUUCAUGACUUAUACAUGUUCCUAUGACUAUGAGAUUAUGCAACUCCCGUUUACCGGAGGAACACUUUGUGUGCUACCAAACGUCACCACGUAACUGGGUGAUUAUAAAGGUGCUCUACAGGUGUCUCCAAAUGUACUUGUUGGGUUGGCGUAUUUCGAGAUUAGGAUUUGUCACUCCGAUUGUCGGAGAGGUAUCUCUGGGCCCACUCGGUAAUGCACAUCACUAUAAGCCUUGCAAGCAUUGCAACUAAUGAGUUAGUUGCGGGAUGAUGUAUUACAGAACGAGUAAAGAGACUUGCCGGUAACGAUAUUGAACUAGGUAUUGAGAUACGGACGAUCGAAUCUCGGGCAAGUAACAUACUGAUGACAAAGGGAACAACGUAUGUUGUUAUGCGGUCUGACCGAUAAAGAUCUUCGUAGAAUAUGUGGGAGCCAAUAUGAGCAUCCAGGUUCUGCUAUUGGUUAUUGACCGGAGACGUGUCUCGGUCAUGUCUACAUAGUUCUCGAACCCGUAGGGUCCGCACGCUUAAAGUUAGAUGACGAUUUGUAUUAUGAGUUAUGUGAUUUGAUGUACCGAAGGUAGUUAGGAGUCCCGGAUGAGAUCGGGGAACUGACAAGGAGUCUCGAAAUGGUCGAGACGCAAAGAUCGAUAUAUUGGACGACUAUAUUCGGACAUCAGAAAGAUUCCGAGUGAUUCGGGUAUUUUUCAGAGUACCGGAGAGUUACGGGAAUUCGUAUUGGGCCUUAAUGGGCCAUACGGGAAAGGAGAAAGGCCACAAAAGGUGGUCGCACCCCUCCCCAUGGUCUGGUCCGAAUUGGACUAGGGAAGGAGGCGCCCCCUUCCUUCCUUCUCCUUUUCCCUUCCCCUUUUCCUAUUCCAUGUGGGAGGAGGAAUCCUACUAGGACUAGGGAGUCCUAGUAGGACUCCACGCUUCUAGCACGCCCUAGGGGCUGGCCGGCCUCCCCUCCUCCAUCCUUUAUAUACGGGGGCAGGGGGCACCUCUAGACACAAGUUGAUCUGUUGAUCUAUUCCAGCCGUGUGCGGUGCCCCCCUCCACCAUAUUCCACCUCGGUCAUAUCGUAGCGGUGCUUAGGCGAAGCCCUGCGUCGGUAGCAACAUCAUCACCGUCACCACGCUGUCGUGCUGAAGGAACUCUCCCAUGAAGCUCUGCUGGAUCGGAGUUCGCGGGACGUCAUCGAGCUGAACGUGUGCUGAACUCGGAGGUGCCGUACGUUCGGUACUUGGAUCGGUCGGAUCGUGAAGACGUACGACUACAUCAACCGCGUUGUGCUAACGCUUACGCUUUCGGUCUACGAGGGUACGUGGACAACACUCUCCCCUCUCGUUGCUAUGCAUCACCAUGAUCCAGUGUGUGCGUAGGAAUUUUUUUGAAAUUACUACGUUACCCAACAGUGGCAUCCGAGCCUGGUUUUAUGCGUAGAUGUUAUAUGCACGAGUAGAACACAAGUGAGUUGUGGGCGAUACAAGUCAUACUGCUUACCAGCAUGUCAUACUUUGGUUCGGCGGUAUUGUUGGAUGAAACGACCCGGACCGACAUUACGCGUACGCUUACGCGAGACUGGUUCUACCGACGUGCUUUGCACACAGGUGGCUGGCGGGUGUCGGUUUCUCCAACUUUAGUUGAACCGAGUGUGGCUACGCCCGGUCCUUGAGAAGGUUAAAACAGCACUAACUUGACAAACUAUCAUUGUGGUUUUGAUGCGUAGGUAAGAACGGUUCUUGCUCAGCCCAUAGUAGCCACGUAAAACUUGCAACAACAAAGUAGAGGACGUCUAACUCGUUUUUGCAGGGCAUGUUGUGAUGUGAUAUGGUCAAGACAUGAUGAGAUAUAAGUUGUUGUAUGAGAUGAUCAUGUUUUGUUGAAGUUAUCGGCAACUGGCAGAAGCCUUAUGGUUGUCUCUUUAUUGCAUAAGAUGCAAGCGCCAAAUAAUUGCUUUACUUUAUAGCUAUGCGAUAGCAAUAGUUGCAAGAGCAAUAGUUGGCAAGACGACCAUGUGAUGACACAUUGAUAUAGAUCAAGAUGAUGAAGAUCAUGGUGUCAUGCCGGUGACGAUGGAAAUCAUGAUGAUGCUUUGGAGAUGGAGAUCAAAAGGCACAAGAUGAUGAUGGCCAUAUCAUGUCACAUAUUUUGAUUGCAUGUGAUGUUUAUCUUUUAUACAUCUUAUUUUGCUUAGUUCGACGGUAGCUUUAUAAGAUGAUCUCUCACUAAAUUUCAAGGUAUAAGUGUUCUCCCUAAGUAUGCACCAUUGCGAAAGUUCUUCAUGCUGAGACACCACGUGAUGAUCGGGUGUGAUAGGCUCUACGUUCAAAUACAACGGGUGCAAAACAGUUGCACACGCGGAAUACUCAGGUUAAACUUGACGAGCCUAGCAUAUGCAGAUAUGGCCUCGGAACACUGAGACCGAAAGGUCGAGCGUGAAUCAUAUAGUAGAUAUGAUCAACAUAGUGAUGUUCACCAUUGAAACUACUCCAUCUCACGUGAUGAUCGGACAUGGUUUAGUUGAUAUGGAUCACGUGACCGCUUAGAGGAUUAGAGGGAUGUCUAUCUAAGUGGGAGUUCUUAAGUAAUAUGAUUAAUUGAACUUUAAUUUAUCAUGAACUUAGUCCUGGUAGUAUUAGCAUAUCUAUGUUGUAGAUCAAUAGCUCGCGAUGUUGCUCCCCGUUUAAUUUUUAUAUGUUCCUAGAGAAAACUAAGUUGAAAGAUGUUAGUAGCAAUGAUGUGGAUUGGAUCCGUGAUCUGAGGUUUAUCCUCAUUGUUGCACAGAAGAAUUAUGUCCUUGAUGCACCGCUAGGUGACAGACCUAUUGCAGGACCAGAUGCAGACGUUAUGAACGUUUUUGACAAAAGCUCGGUAUGAUGACUACUUGAUGGUUAAGUGCACCAUGCUUUACAGCUUAGAACCGGGACUUCAAAAAUGUUUUGAACGCCACGGAGCAUAUAAGAUGUUCUAAGAGUUGAAAUUGGUAUUUCAUACUCAUGCCCGUGUCGAGAGGUAUGAGACCUCUGACGGUACUUUGCCUACAAGAUGGAGGAGAAUAGCUCAACCAGUGAGCAUGUGCUCAGAUUGUCUGGGUACUACAAUUGCUUGAAUCAAGUGGGAGUUAACCUUCCAGAUAAGAUACUAAUUGACAAAAUUCUCUAGUCACUAUCACCAAGUUAUUAGAACUUCGUGAUGAACUAUAAUAUGCAAGGGAUGACGAAAGUAAUUCCCGAGCUCUUCGCGAUGCUGAAAUCGACGAAGGUAGAAAUCAAGAAAGAGCAUCAAGUGUUGAUGGUUAACAAGACCACUAGUUUCAUGUAAAGGGACAAAGGGAAGAAAAGGGAACUUCAAGAAGAACGGCAAGCAAGUUGCUGAUCAAGUGAAAAAGCCCAAGUCUGGACCUAAGCCUGAAACUGAGUGCUUCUACUACAAAGGGACUGGUCACUGGAAGCGGAACUGCCCCAAGUAUUUGGUGGAUAAGAAGGAUGGCAAAGUGAACAAGGCUAUAUUUGAUAUACAUGUUAUUGAUGUGUACUUUACUAGUGUUUAUAGCAACCCCUCGGUAAUUGAUACUGGUUCAGUUGCUAAGAGUAGUAACUCGAAACAGGAGUUGCAGAAUGAACAGAGACUAGUUAAGGGUGAGGCGACGAUGUGUAUUGGAAGUGGUUCUAAGAUUGAUAUGAUCAUCAUCGCACACUCCCUAUACUUUCGGGAUUAGUGUCGAACCUAAAAUAAAUGUUAUUUAGUGUUUGCGUUGAGCAUGAAUAUGAUUGGAUCAUGUUUAUUGCAAUACGGUUAUUCAUGUAAGCUAGAGAAUAAUUGUUGUUCUAUUUGCAUGAAUAAAAUGUUCUAUGGUCAUACACCCAAUGAAAAUGGUUUUGUUGGAUCUCGAUCGUGGUGAUACACAUUUUCAUAAUAUUGAAGCCAAAAGAUGCAAAGUUAAUAAUGAUAGUGCAACUUAUUUGUGGCACUGCCGUUUAGGUCAUAUUGGUGUAAAGCGCAUGAAGAAACUCCAUGCUAAUGGACUUUUGGAAUCACUUGAUUAUGAAUCACUUGAUGCUUGCGAACCAUGCCUCAUGGGCAAGAUGACUAAGACUCCGUUCUCCGGAACAAUGGAGCGAGCAACAGAUUUGUUGGAAAUCAUACAUACUAAUGUAUGUGGUCCGAUGAAUAUUGAGGCUCGCGGCGGGUAUCAUUAUUUUCUGACCUUCACAGAUGAUUUGAGCAGAUAUGCUGAAACAUUUGAAAAGUUCAAAGAAUUUCAGAGUGAAGUGGAGAAUCAUCGUAACAAAAAUAAAAGUUCCUACGAUAUGAUCGCAGAGGUAAAAUAUUUGAGUUACGAGUUUGGCCUUCAGUUAAAACAAUGUGAAAUAGUUUCACUACUCACGCCACCUGGAACACCACAGUGUAAUGGUGUUUCCGAAUGUCGUAACUGUACUUUAUUAGAUAUGGUGCGAUCUCUGAUGUCUCUUAUCGAUCUACCACUAUCGUUUUGGGGUUAUGCAUUAGAGACAGCUACAUUCACGUUAAAUAGGGCACCAUCUAAAUCCGUUGAGACGACACCGUAUGAACUAUGGUUUGGCAAGAAACCUAAGCUGUCGUUUCUUAAAGUUUGAGGUUGCAAUGCUUAUGUGAAAAAGUUUCAACCUGAUAAGCUCAAACCCAAAUCGGAGAUGUGCGUCUUCAUAGGAUACCCAAAAGAAAAUGUUGGGUACACCUUCUAUCACAGAUCCGAAGGCAAGAUAUUCGUUGCUAAGAAUGGAUCCUUUCUAGAGAAGGAGUUUCUCUCGAAAGAAGUGAGUGGGAGGAAAGUAGAACUUGAUGAGGUAAUUGUACCUGCUCCCUUAUUGGAAAGUAGUUCAUCACAGAAAUCUGUUCCUGUGACUCCUACACCAAUUAGUGAGGAAGCUAAUGAUGAUGAUCAUGUAACUUUAGAUCAAGUUACUACCGAACCUCGUAGGUCAACCAGAGUAAGAUCCGCACCAGAGUGGUAUGGUAAUCCUGUACUGGAGGUCAUAUUACUUGACCAUGACGAACCUACGAACUAUGAGGAAGCGAUGAUGAGCCCAGAUUCCGCAAAAUGGCUUGAGGCCAUGAAAUCUGAGAUGGGAUCCAUGUAUGAGAACAAAGUAUGGACUUUGAUUGACUUGCCCAAUGAUCGGCGAGCCAUUGAGAUUAAAUGGAUCUUCAAGAGGAAGACGGACGCUGAUAGUAGUAUUACUAUCUACAAAGCUAGAAUUGUCGCAAAAUGUUUUCGACAAGUUCAAGGUGUUGACUACGAUGAGAGUUUCUCACUCGUAUCUAUGCUUAAGUCUGUCCGAAUCAUGUUAGCAAUUGCCGCAUUUUAUGAAAUCUGGCAAAUGGAUAAAGAAAACUGCAUUGCUUAAUAGAUUUAUUAAAGAAGAGUUGUAUAUGAUGCAACCAGAAGGUUUUGUCAAUCCUAAAGGUGCUAACAAAGUGUGCAAGCUCCAGCGAUCCAUCUAUGGACUGGUGCAAGCAUCUCGGAGUUGGAAUAUAUGCUUUGAUAAGUUGAUCAAAGCAUAUAGUUUUAUACAGACUUGCGGUGAAGCCUGUAUUUACAAGAAACUGAGUGGGAGCACUACAACAUUUCUGAUAUGUAUAUGUGAAUGACAUAUUGUUGAUCGAGAAUAAUGUAGAAUUAUUCUGCAAAGCAUAAAGGAGUGUUUGAAAGGAGUUUUUCAAAGAAAGACCUCGGUGAAGCUGCUUACAUAUUGAGCAUCAAGAUUGUAAUGCCCCGGAUCCGAUGCGCCAGAUGUCUGCCAGUUAUUCGCCGUCGUUGCCAUGUCUUUUGCUUGCGUGUUGCAUCUUGUCAUGUCCUUUUGAGCAUGUUCUAGUGAUUUCUGGAGAUAGCUCAGUGUUCAUGUUUUGUAAUGCUUUACCUGUACAUCAUGCCCAUGCCUUUUGUUAUCAUGUUGAAGUGUUGUAGCAUAUUGUUUUGAUGCUUGCGAUAGGCCUAGUUGCUGUUUUGGACAGAUUGUUGUUAUGUCUUGUUUGGAGUGUAUGUGUUGCACCGUUGCUCCGUUUUGAGCAUGCUCUAUAUGAACUUGCUUAGUUUUGCAUGUAGUUUCAUAUUACCUUGUUGGAUCCUUGCCUUGAGUGUGUUUGUUUGAUGUUUGAAUGCAUUUUGCAUCAAUGCCAUGUUUAACUUGUUUUGCUCAUAUCUUCUAGGCCGUAGCUUCGAAUCUAACGAACUUUAUAUGUAACUUGACUAGAAUUUCGUGUAGAUCAUCUUGGUGCAACUUAACUUGCUGUUUAAAAACUUGAAUAUAAGGCUUACUCAGUUCUGGACCAAUUUCAAAAUUUGCAUAUGAGGACUUACCGGAUUUGUUAUAUCUUGUUUCCGGCCUCAUUUAAACUUGCUUUGAUGUGUUGUUCUUGUAUGCAUCAUCUCUUGUCAUGAGUAGCUUCAUGUAGCCUUGUCAUGCAUCAUUCUUGGUUGAGCAUCAUGCCUUGUUCAUGUGUGGUGUGUUUACUAUGUUGUGUGCUUCUUCUCGAUAGUUCCCGUUUCGUUGCGAUCGUGAGGAUUCGUUCGUCUACGCUUGGUUCGUCUUCGUGGAUUCAUCUUCUUCAUGGACUCGUUCUUCUUCCUAGCGGGAUUUCAGGCAAGAUGACCGUUACCCUGGAUCUCAUUACUACCAUUGCUAUGCUAGUUGCUUCGUUCUAUCGCUAUGCUGCGCUACCUAUCACUUGCUCUUCAAGCCUCCCAAAUUGCCAUGAACAUCUAACCUUUGCCACCCUUCCUAGCAAACCGUUGUUUGGCUAUGUUACCGCUUUGCUCAGCCCCUCUUAUAGCGUUGCUAGUUGCAGGUGAAGAUGAAGUUUGCUCCAUGUUGGUUUUAUGUUUAUGUUGGAAUAUCACAAUAUCUCUUAUUUAAUUAAUGCAUCUAUAUACUUGGUAAAGGGUGGAAGGCUCGACCUUAUGCCUGGUGUUUUGUUCCACUCUUGUCGCCCUAGUUUCCGUCAUAUCGGUGUUAUGUUCCUUGAUUUUGCGUCCCUUACGCGGUUGGGUGAUUUAUGGGACCCCCUUGACAGUUCGCUUUGAAUAAAACUCUUCCAGCAAGGCCCAACCUUGGUUUUACAUUUGCCUCACCUAGCAUUUUUCCCUUGGGAGUCACGCUCUCGAGGGUCAUCUUUAUUUACCCCCCCGGGCCAGUGCUCCUUCGAGUGUUGGUCCAACCUGUCAGUCGCCGGUGGCCACCAGGGGCAACUCUGGGCUGGCCAACCAGAAGCUUGGACAAUCCGGUGUGCCCUGAGAACGAGAUAUGUGCAGCUCCUAUCAGGAUUUGUCGGCACAUUCGGGCGGCUUUGCUGGUCUUGUUUUACCAUUGUCGAAAUGUCUUGUAACCGGGAUUCCGAGACUGAUCGGGUCUUCCCGGGAGAAGGAAUAUCCUUCGUUGACCGUGAGAGCUUAUAAUGGGCUAAGUUGGGACACCCCUGCAGGGUAUAAACUUUCGAGAGCCGUGCCCGCGGUUAUGUGGCAGAUGGGAAUUUGUUAAUAUGCGGUUGUAGAGAACUUGACACUUGACCUAAAUAAAACGCAUCAACCGCGUGUGUAGCCGUGAUGGUCUCUUCUCGGCGGAGUCCGGGAAGUGAACACGGUUUAUGGGUUAUGUUUGACGUAAGUAGGAGUUCAGGAUCACUUCUUGAUCAUUGCUAGUUUCACGACCGUUUCGUUGCUUCUCUUCUCGCUCUUAUUUGCGUAUGUUAGCCAGCAUACAUGCUUAGUCGCUGCUGCAACCUCACCACUUUACCCCCUUUCCUUACCCUUUAAGCUCUGCUAGUCUUGAUACCCAUGGUGAUGGGAUUGCUGAGUCCUCGUGGCUCACAUAUUACUACAACACCAGUUGCAGGUACAGGUUUUGCGAUGAUCAUGACGCGAGAGCGAUGUUACUUGUUUUGGAGUUCUUCUUCUGCUUCUUCUUCGAUCAGGGGAUAGGUUCCAGGUCGGCAGCCUGGGCUAGCAGGGUGGAUGUCGUUUGAGCUUCUAUUUGUGUUUCAUCCGUAGUUGGAUGUUGAUCUUAUGUAUGAUGUAUUGAUGUAUUCUUGCGGCAUUUGUAUGCCUUGUAUGUAUCCCCAUAUAUUAUGUAAUGUUGAUGUAAUGAUAUCCACCUUGCAAAAGCGUGUCAAUAUGCGGUUAUAUCCUUGGUGGGACCUUCGAGUCUCUUUCGGAUAGUAUCGCAUAUUGGGCGUGACAAGUUGGUAAUCAGAGCCAUCCCCGACUUAGGAGCCCCCUGCUUGAUCGAAUCGCUGGCGUUGUUGAGUCUAGAACAAAAAUGUUUUGAGUCUUAGGAUUAUAUAUAUUGGAGAGUAGGAUUCUUUUUACUCCUCAGUCCCUUCGUCGCUCUGGUGAGGCCUCCUGACGUAGAAGUUUUGACUCUUCUCUCCUCAAAUUUCACUAAAAAAAAUUAGGAUCACGCGGGUAUCUUGGAAUCGUUCCGAUGGUUUUGUGACGAGAACAUUGUUCUUGGUGCCUCCUGACAUUUAUGGGUUGUGGCAGUGUCCCGGGGAGUUGAGCUCUGAGGUGUUGUCGUCACAAUUUUAUCGUUGCAGUUCUGGAAUACCUGAGUUUCGCCGACAUCGAAAAUCUCUUUUAUGCAGUUGUUGGUGAGAUCACCUCGACGCCACCCAGUACUGGGGUGGGAGUUCGGGAGUAUUGCCAUAACUCGUAUAACGGAUGCUUUUCGAAGGUUGAGGUACACGAUUUCCAAAGAUUUCUUGGUUAUGUGUUGACGGAUGGACACAGUUGGAUCUAGGUAUUGUUAGUUUGGGUGAUAUAUUUUGUGUCCCCUGUAUCCCCAACACCUGAUUGCAUAACCAGAAAGUUUCGGGAGUUUAUAAGUGGGAAUUCAAGUAGCUCCUAGGAUAUCUUUCCGACAGAUGCAUGAUAUGAGAUUGGGGUUCGACGUCUAGUGGUCCGCCUUUCCACGGUUGGUUUACAGUGGUCUCGUAGUGUCUUAAAGAGUCCUUGGCUAUGCCGACUCGGGAACGCUUCGUAUGUCAUGUGCACUGCCUUGUACAUGAUGUUGCUGUAUGAUCGAGCCUGUGUGGGCCCCACCACGAAAACUUCGGACGAAAUCUCUAUCAUAUGUUUGUUCCGGCUUAUUCUGAAAGCCAAUCCUUUGAUUUGUUUUAAGUUGUGGUAUUCGAGUUGCUUCAAUGUCAAGUGUUGAUUCCAUACCUUAUUCUAAGUGGUGUUCUCAUAUUCCUAUGGGUAUACUAAUCCUUCUUGACCAUCGAGUUUGUCAUCCCAAUUCUUUCCAACCGACGUGCUCUUUUUCAAGUGGAUCCGAUCAUUUUAACAUUCGCGAGAUCAAUUCUCAGUUCUUUGCAACGGUGUUUGCUUCAUCUGACCCAAGUAGUCUUUGUUUUUCCCGCCCUCCCCCCCUUAUUUUGAAACACUCAGAUUUCUUAAUCAAGUAUCCAUCUUAUGGAUGUGAAGUCUCUUCAUUCUUUUCUUCCAUGUUCUUAACCGGUGAUUUCCCAUGAAGAUGCUCAACAGUUUCAAGUUCAUCAUCCUUCGUUGUUGUUUCUUCUCCGGUGGAUCCAAUUCAAGCUUACAGUGUUGAUCAUAUUCCUUUCCUCGUUUCAAAUGUUUUCUCAUGUCGGUGCACCUCUUAAUCAUCCAUUUUUCGCCAUUCAUUUGUAUCCGGAGCGCUGAAGAUAUCUCAGAAAAUUCAAGCUUCCAUUCUUAAUCAGUUUAAACUAUUUUGAGGUUGUUAUCUCAUUCAAGCCAUUUAAUUCAACCGGUGCAAUCUCCAUUUCAAGUAAUCAUUUCAACGGUGUUUCUUUUGAGUGGGCCCUAACCCACAGGUCUUUUCCCAGGAUCUUACCCGACUCUUCUAAUUUUCCCGGAGUUAUUCUCAAAUCCUUUUCGAAGUGUGAUGUAAGUACGAUUUUCAUCAGUCAGACGUUUUUCCAAGAUCAAUUUCAAAUUAUUUUCGUUGUUGGCUCAACCUCUUCGCUUUUCAUUCUCCCGGUGUAUCUCAACAAUUUUGGUGUUCUUCUCGUCGUCAUUCUCAACAAUUGAAGACCGAAGAAGUGUUUCUCUUAAAUCUUGUCCAUUCUCCCGAAGAUUCAUGUCGCUAGCUUGAUGUUAUCCGCUCAUAUCGUUUCAAGUCGUGCAAUUAUUUUCACCCAUCCAGAGUAUUUCGGGAGUUGUUUUCCGUCUCAAUUAUCCGGAGGCCUCCAUUUCAGAAUAUUUCUUCGUUCUAAGAUUUCAAAUCCGUUCUCCGAUUAUUCUAUAUUCGUGCCCCUUCGUUCGUUUACAUAUUCUUCCGGUGCUUCGUUUAAGUAUGCUUCAAUCAGCUCACGAUCUCUUCUUUAAAUUGCAUCUUGAUUCCCUCACGUAUAUUCGUGUUUUUCCUAUUUUUCCCGGUGAGUCAUUCUCCUUCGUCAAUCAAUUUUGAAUUCUAACGGUGGUUCAUUCAAGACCCCUUGUCAUUUGUAAUCAUAUCGAUUAAUUCGUUUUUUCCAAAUCCUACCGGUGGUUCAUGAAGACUUUCCCAAAUUUUGCGCUAUAUCCCCCCUUAAUCUUUCCAAUGAGAAUAAGUGGUAUGCAAAUCCAUGGUUUCUCAUCGAUUUAAUCGAUGGAGGAUACGCAUAACAUAAUUCUUAUUCUUCUUUCUUCAAGUGGUUUUAUCUCUUCUUUUCGGAGAUUGAUCAUCCUAUCACAUUCUCGGUUCAAAGUGUUUUCAUCUUUUCUUUUCCGGAGUUCCAAGCUUCUCGCCGAUUUCGUCGCGAACCUCCAUCCAAAUCAUCGCAAGGAUUUAAUCUUAUCCCUUUCAUCCUUCAAUUUUAUCUCGUCAUUCUUUUGUUACCGGAGUUCAUCACGGUGGCUCGUCAUGAUUUUAUUCAUUCCUCAAGUGUUCAUCAAGAUUCUUUUGGAGGAGCUCAAGUAUCUUUUCUUCUUGCAUCUCGAAGUGCAAUUAAUUCUCCGUAUUCUUUUGAAGUGGAGUUUUUCAUUUCUCCAUUCUCCUCAGCUAUUUAAUCUUUUUCGAUUGUGGUCGGUUAUCACCUCAUAAUUUUUGAGAUGUUAUCCAUAAGUCCACAACAAGCUUAUUCUUUUUGUUGUUGAUUUUCUCAACAAUUCCGUUCAAUGUUUCCUUCUAAGGAUGCUCUCUAUUUCAUUCUUGGCAGAAGUUGUCAUUUUCUUCUCCGUUCUUUUCAUUCAACUCUUUUAAUUCUUUCUGGAGGUUUUGUGUCGUGUCUUCAUCAAGUAUCAUUCCAUCCUCUCAAGCUCGUGUUCUAUUCCUCCAUGUUUCAGCCGGAGUGCUGCCUAAAUCCUUUUAGUCUUAUUCGUUUCUUAUCUCAUCUAACCGGAGUGGUUUCAGAGUCUAUCUGAUUCCGUGAGCAUUUGAUUCUCAUCAUUCUAGUCGUUCCUCUCUUCUUCUCGAGUGUUCUUGACUUUGUUCAUCCUCACUGUUUUGUUCUUAUUUCACCUCAUCCUUUUUCUCUUCCGUCUCGGUCCUAAGAUCUCGGGACAAGAUCUCUUGUUAGUGGAGGAGUGUUGUAACGCCCCGGAUCCGAUGCGCCAGAUGUCUGCCAGUUAUUCGCCAUCGUUGCCAUGUCUUUUGCUUGCGUGUUGCAUCUUGCCAUGUCCUUUUGAGCAUGUUCUAGUGAUUUCUGGAGAUAGCUCAGUGUUCAUGUUUUGUAAUGCUUUACCUGUACAUCAUGCCCAUGCCUUUUGUUAUCAUGUUGAAGUGCUGUAGCAUAUUGUUUUGAUGCUUGCGAUAGGCCUAGUUGCUGUUUUGGACAAAUUGUUGUUAUGUCUUGUUUGGAGUGUAUGUGUUGCACCGUUGCUCCGUUCUGAGCAUGCUCUAUAUGAACUUGCUUAGUUUUGCAUGUAGUUUCAUAUUACCUUGUUGGAUCCUUGCCUUGAGUGUGUUUGUUUGAUGUUUGAAUGCAUUUUGCAUCAAUGCCAUAUUUAAUUUGUUUUGCUCAUCUCUUCUAGGCCGUAGCUCCGAAUCUAAUGAACUUUAUAUGUAACUUGACUAGAAUUUCGUGUAGAUCAUCUUGGUGCAACUUAACUUGCUGUUUAACAACUUGAACAUAAGGCUUACUCAGUUCUGGACCAAUUUCGAAAUUUGCAUAUGAGGACUUACCGGAUUUGUUAUAUCUUGUUUCCGGCCUCAUUUAAACUUGCUUUGAUGUGUUGUUCUUGUAUGCAUCAUCUCUUGUCAUGAGUAGCUUCAUGUAGCCUUGUCAUGCAUCAUUCUUGGUUGAGCAUCAUGCCUUGUUCAUGUGUGGUGUGUUUACUAUGUUGUGUGCUUCUUCUCGAUAGUUCUCGUUUCGUUCCGAUCGUGAGGAUUCGUUCGUCUACGAUUGGUUCGUCUUCGUGGCUUCAUCUUCUUCAUGGACUCGUUCUUCUUCCUAGCGGGAUUUCAGGCAAGAUGACCGUUACCCUGGAUCUCAUUACUACCAUUGCUAUGCUAGUUGCUUCGUUCUAUCGCUAUGCUGCGCUACCUAUCACUUGCUCUUCAAGCCUCCCAAAUUGCCAUGAACAUCUAACCUUUGCCACCCUUCCUAGCAAACCGUUGUUUGGCUAUGUUAACGCUUUGCUCAGCCCCUCUUAUAGCGUUGCUAGUUGCAGGUGAAGAUGAAGUUUGCUCCAUGUUGGUUUUAUGUUUAUGUUGGAAUAUCACAAUAUCUCUUAUUUAAUUAAUGCAUCUAUAUACUUGGUAAAGGGUGGAAGGCUCGGCCUUAUGCCUGGUGUUUUGUUCCACUCUUGCCGCCCUAGUUUCCGUCAUACCGGUGUUAUGUUCCUUGAUUUUGCGUCCCUUACGCGGUUGGGUGAUUUAUGGGACCCUCUUGACAGUUCGCUUUGAAUAAAACUCUUCCAGCAAGGCCCGACCUUUGUUUUACAUUUGCCUCACCUAGCCUUUUUCCCUUGGGAGUCGUGCUCUCGAGGGUCAUCUAUAUUUACCCCCCCCCCCCGGGUCAGUGCUCCUUCGAGUGUUGGUCCAACCUGUCAAUCGCCGGUGGCCACCAGGGGCAACUCUGGGCUGGCCUACCGGAAGCUUGGACAAUCCGGUGUGCCCUGAGAAUGAGAUAUGUGCAGCUCCUAUCAGGAUUUGUCGGCACAUUCGGGCGGCUUUGCUGGUCUUGUUUUACCACUGUCGAAAUGUCUUAUAACCGGAAUUCCGAGACUGAUCGGGUCUUCCCGGGAGAAGGAAUAUCCUUCGUUGACCGUGAGAGCUUAUAAUGGGCUAAGUUGGGACACCCCUGCAGGGUAUAAACUUUCGAGAGCCGUGCCCGCGGUUAUGUGGCAGAUGUGAAUUUGUUAAUAUCCGGUUGUAGAGAACUUGACACUUGACCUUAACUAAAACGCAUCAACCGCGUGUGUAGCCGUGAUGGUCUCUUCUCGGCGGAGUCCGGGAAGUGAACACGGUUUAUGGGUUAUGUUUGACAUAAGUAGGAGUUCAGGAUCACUUCUUGAUCAUUGCUAGUUUCACGACCGUUCCGUUGCUUCUCUUCUCGCUCUUAUUUGCGUAUGUUAGCCACCAUACAUGCUUAGUCGCUGCUGCAACCUCACCACUUUACCCCCUUUCCUUACCCUUUAAGCUUUGCUAGUCUCGAUACCCAUGGUAAUGGGAUUGCUGAGUCCUCGUGGCUCACAUAUUACUACAACACCAGUUGCAGGUACAGGUUUUGCGAUGAUCAUGACGCGAGAGCGAUGUUACUUGUUUUGGAGUUCUUCUUCUGCUUCUUCUUCGAUCAGGGGAUAGGUUCCAGGUCGGCAGCCUGGGCUAGCAGGGUGGAUGUCGUUUGAGCUUCUGUUUGUGUUUCAUCCGUAGUUGGAUGUUGAUCUUAUGUAUGAUGUAUUGAUGUAUUCUUGCGGCAUUUGUAUGCCUUGUAUGUAUCCCCAUAUAUUAUGUAAUGUUGAUGUAAUGAUAUCCACCUUGCAAAAGCGUGUCAAUAUGCGGUUCUAUCCUUGGUGGGACCUUCGAGUCUCUUUAGGAUAGUAUCGCAUAUUGGGCGUGACAAGUUGGUAAUCAGAGCCAUCCCCGACUUAGGAGCCCCCUGCUUGAUCGAAUCGCUGGCGUUGUUGAGUCUAGAACAAAAAUGUUUUGAGUCUUAGGAUUAUAUAUAUCAGAGAGUAGGAUUCUUUUUACUCCUCAGUCCCUUCGUCGCUCUGGUGAGGCCUCCUGACGUAGAAGUUUUGACUCUUCUCUCCUCAAAUUUCACUAAAAAAAAUUUAGGAUCACGCAGGUAUCUUGGAAUCGUUCCGAUGGUUUUGUGACGAGAACAUUGUUCUUGGUGCCUCCUGACAUUUAGGGGUUGUGGCAGUGUCCCGGGGAGUUGAGCUCCGAGGUGUUGUCGUCACAAUUUUAUCGUUGCAGUUCUGGAAUACCUGAGUUUCGCCGACAUCGAAAAUCUCUUUUAUGCAGUUGUUGGUGAGAUCACCUCGACGCCACCCAGUACUAGGGCGGGAGUUCGGGAGUAUUGCCAUAACUCGUAUAACGGAUGCUUUUCGAAGGUUGAGGUACACGAUUUCCGAAGAUUUCUUGGUUAUGUGUUGACGGAUGGAUACAGUUGGAUCUAGGUAUUGUUAGUUUGGGUGAUAUAUUUUGUGUCCCCUGUAUCCCCAACACCUGAUUGCAUAACCAAAAAGUUUCUGGAGUUUAUAAGUGGGAAUUCAAGUAGCUCCUAGGAUAUCUUUCCGACAGAUGCAUGAUAUGAGAUUGGGGUUCGACGUCUAGUGGUCCGCCUUUCCACGGUUGGUUUUACAGUGGUCUCGUAGUGUCUUAAAGAGUCCUUGGCUAUGCCGACUCGGGGACGCUUCGUAUGUCAUGUGCACUGCCUUGUACAUGAUGGUGCUGUACGAUCGAGCCCGUGUGGGCCCCACCACGAAAACUUCGGACGAAAUCUCUAUCAUAUGUUUGUUCCGGCUUAUUCUGUAAGCCAAUCCUUUGUUUUGUUUUAAGUUGUGGUAUUCGAGUUGCUUCAAUGUCAAGUGUUGAUUCCAUACCUUAUUCUAAGUGGUGUUCUCAUAUUCCUAUGGGGAUACUAAUCCUUCUUGACCAACGAGUUUGUCAUCCCAAUUCUUUCCAACCGACGUGCUCUUUUUCAAGUGGAUUCGAUCAUUUUAACAUUCGCGAGAUCAAUUCUCAGUUCUUUGCAACGGUGUUUGCUUCAUCCGUCCCAAGUUGUCUUUGUUUUUCCCGCCCUCCCACCCUUUUUCUUGAAACACUCAGAUUUCUUAAUCAAGUAUCCAUCUUAUGGAUGUGAAGUCUCUUCAUUCUUUUCCUCCAUGUUCUUAAACGGUGAUUUCCCAUGAAGAUGCUCAACAGUUUCAAGUUCAUCAUCCUUCGUUGUUGUUUCUACUCUGGUGGAUCCAAUUCAAGCUUACAGUGUUGUAACGCCCACGAUGCGGCUAUAUCUCCCACGUGUCGAGGCACGACUUAGAGGCAUAACCGCAUUGUGGUUUUGUCGCAAGAAGGGUCAUCUUCACACAAUCCCAUGUAAUGAACAAGAAUGGGAUAAAGAGUUGGCUUACAAUCGCCACUUCACACAAUACAUAAAUAUAAUUCAUACAUCAUCCAAAAUACACACAUAGACCGACUACGGAAAAGAUCCAAAUGAAAAUAAGAUAACCCCAAAUGCUAGAUCCCUGAUCGUCCCAACUGGGCUCCACUUGAGCUGCAUUCAUCAUGUUCACCUUUGCAGACUUUGGAUUAUGCUUGACCACUGCAUUGCUGGAAGAUCUGACAGGAGGAGGAGGCGAAAGACUCCUUUGGUUGAAGCACUUGUUAGCAUAGUGACCUUUCUGCUGACACUUGUUGCAAGUCACCUCUGAGAGUGGACGGUGAUAAGGAGCAUUUGACUUUGGAGCUUGAUUCUGAGACUUGUUCUGAUAGCCAGAGUUGGAAGAGUUGGAAGAACCAUGGCCACCUUUGUUCUUCUACUGGUAAGGCUGACGAAACGGAGGAGGAGGAGGCAACCAGAACUUCUGUUGCUUAGCUGCCACAAGUGAGGAAGAAGAAGACUGAACUGCGUCCCUGACUCUCUUCUUAGAAGCCUCACACUUGAGCUGAGCAGCCUCUUGCUUCAGUGCCAUGUUAUAGAAUUGAUCAAACUGAGUAGGCUCAACCAGAACGAGAGCUAACUGCAGAUCCUCUCUAAGGCCACCUCUGAAGUGAUAGAUCAUGCUCUUUUCAUCAGGAACGUCUUGUUUAGCGAAGCGAGCAAGUUUCUGAAACUGGAUGUUGUAUUGAUACACAGACAUGUUGCCUUGCUUGAGAUUGUGGAACUCCUCACGCUUGCUCUCAACAACACUUUGUGGAAUGUGGUGCGCUUUGAAGUCCCGACAGAAGUCAGUCCAAGUGAUCGCACGACCUCCUCUGGAAUCUUUGUAUUGCUAAAACCAAUCAGCAGCUUGGUCCUUGAGCUGAAAAGAAGCGAACUUGACAUAGUCCUCAGGCCUGACAUUGCUACAUUCAAAAUGCUUGUUGAUGUCCACGAGCCAAUCAUGGGCAUCCGUGGCCUCGGCACAGUAGCUGAAAGACUUGGGCUGAUUUGCGAGAAACUGGUUGAGUGUAGCGAAGUGAGGCUGAUUGUUGCCUUGACCUUGAUUUCCUUGAUUGCCUUGCCCUUGGGUACGUUCUUGCAAGAGUUGCAGAAUCAUCUGAGCAUUGGCGUCGGUGGCUGCCAUGAUAGCUUGCCAUGCCUCCGGAGGCGGAGGUGGUGGCGGAGGGUUCGCUUGACUCCCUUCAUUGCGUUCCGGAUUCUGACGCGUUGGCGGAGCCAUCCUGAAGAGGGUGACAUCCGUUAGCAUCUUGAUAGACAAAUAGAUAAGUAGAAUCAACGGACAGAAAUUGCAACAUAUAGUCUUCACAAUAAACAUUCGAACGAGGAUGAACGAAUGAAUUCCAUAGUAAAACAUCACACUUCCAUUAAGUUGAGAAGCCACUUGAAAAAAGAUAUGGAAUCAACAUUUGACUUCGAAGCAACUCGAAUACCACAAUACAAAACAAAACAAAGUAUUGGCUUGCAGAAUAAGCCGGAACAAACAUAUGAUAGAGAUUUCGUCUGAAGUUUUCGUGGUGGGGCCCACACGGGCUCGAUUGUACAGCACCAUCAUGUACAAGGCUGUGCACAUGACAUACGAAGCGUCCCCGAGUCGGCAUAGCCAAGGACUCUUUAAGACACUACGAGACCACUGUAAAACCAACCGUGUACAGGCAGACCACUAGACGUCGAACCCCAAUCUCAUAUCAUGCGUCUGUCGAGAAGAUAUCCUAAGGCUACUAGAAUUCCCACUUAUAAACUCCCGAAACUUUCUGGUUAUGCAAUCUGGUGUUGGGGAUACAGGGGACACAAAAUAUAUCACCCAAACUAACAAUACCUAGAUCCAGUUGUAUCCAUCCGUCAACACAUAACCAAGAAACCUUCGGAAAUCGUUUACCUCAACCUUCGAAAAACAUCCGUUAUACGAGUUAUGGCAAUACUCCCGAACUCCCGCCCCAGUACUGGGUGGCGUCGAGGUGAUCUCACCAACAACUGCAUAAAAGAGAUUUCGAUGUCGGCGAAACUCAGGUAUUCCAGAACUGCAACGAUAAAAUUGUGACGACAACACCUCGGAGCUCAACUCCCCGGGACACUGCCACAACCCCUAAAUGUCAGGAGGCACCAAGAACAAUGUUCUCGUCACAAAACCAUCGGAACGAUUCCAAGAUACCCGCGUGAUCCAAAAAAAAUUUAGUGAAAUUUGAGGAGAAAAGAGUCAAAACUUCUACGUCAGGAGACCUCACCAGAGCGACGAAGGGACUGAGAAGUAAAAAGAAUCCUACUCACCGAUAUAUAUAAUCCUAAGACUCAAAACAUUUUUGUUCUAGACUCAACAACGCCAGCGAUUCGAUCAAGCAGGGGGCUCGUAAGUCGGGGAUGGCUCUGAUUACCAACUUGUAACGCCCACGAUGCGGCUAUAUCUCCCACGUGUCGAGGCACGACUUAGAGGCAUAACCGCAUUGUGGUUUUGUCGCAAGAAGGGUCAUCUUCACACAAUCCCAUGUAAUGAACAAGAAUGGGAUAAAGAGUUGGCUUACAAUCGCCACUUCACACAAUACAUAAAUAUAAUUCAUACAUCAUCCAAAAUACACACAUAGACCGACUACGGUCAAGAUCCAAAUUAAAAUAAGAUAACCCCAAAGGCUAGAUCCCCCAUCGUCCCAACUGGGCUCCACUACUGAUCAUCAGGAAAAGGCACAUAGUAACGACCACGUUCCUCAUCGAACUCCCACUUGAGAUCGAUCCCAUCAUCUGCACUGGCAUCGUCGGCACCUGCAACUGUAUUGGUAGAAUCUGUGAGUCACGAGGACUCAGCAAUCUCACACCCGCGAGAUCAAAACUAUUUAAGCUUAUAGGGAAGGAUGGUGUAAUGAGGUGGAGCUGCAGCGGCAACAAGCAUAUAUGGUGGCUAACAUACGCAAAGAGAGCGAGAAGAGAAGCAACGGAACGGUCGUCAUCUAGUAAUGACCAAGAAGUGAUCCUGAACUCCUACUUACGUCAUCCAUAACUCAAACCGUGUUCACUUCCCGGACUCCGCCGAGAAGAGACCAUCACGGCUACACACACAGUUGAUGUAUUUUAAUUGGGUCAAGUGACAAGUUCUCUACAACCGGACAUUAACUAAUUCCCAUCUGCCUCAUAACCGCGGGCACGGCUUUCAAAAGAUAAUACCCUGCAGGGGUGUCCCAACUUAGCCCAUCAUAAGCUCUCACGGUCAACGAAGGAUAAACCUUCUCCCGGGAAGACCCGAUCAGUCUCGGAAUCCCGGUUUACAAGACAUUUCGACAAUGGUAAAACAAGACCAGCAAAGCCGCCCGAAUGUGCCGACAAAUCCCGAUAGGAGCUGCACAUAUCUCGUUCUCAGGGCACACCGGAUGAACACUACGUACAGCUAAAACCAAUCCUCGAGUUUCCCCAAGGUGGCGCUGCAAGUGGCUCUAGUUUGGACCAGCACUCAGAGGAACACUGGCCCGGGGGUUUAAAUAAAGAUGACCCUCGGGCUCGCGAAAACCCGGGGGGAAAGGCUUAGGCGGCAAAUGGUAAAACCAAAGUUGGGCCUUGCUGGAGGAGUUUUAUUCAAGGCGAACUGUCAAGGGGGUCCCAUAAAUCACCCAACCGCAUAAGGAACGCAAACUCAAGGAACAUAAUCCCGGUAUGACAGAAACUAGGGCGGCAAGAGUGGAACAAAACACCAGGCAUAAGGCCGAGCCUUCCACCCUUUACCAAAUAUAUAUAGAUGCGUUAAUUAAAUAAGAGAUAUUGUGAUAUCCCAACAUAUCCAUGUUCCAACAUGGAACAACUUCAACUUCACCUGCAACUAGCAACGCUAUAAGAAGGGCUGAGCAAAAGCGGUAACUUAGCCAAACAACGGUUUGCUAGGAAAGGAUGGUUAGCGGCUGACAUGGCAAUAUGGGAGACAUGAUAUAGCAAGUGGUAGGUAGCGCAGCAUGGCAAUAGAACGAACAAUUAGCAAAGCAAAGAUAGAAGUGAUUUCGAGGGGUGGUCAUCUUGCCUGCAAGGUUCUCAGAGUUGUCGAAAGCUUGAUCCUCGUAAGCGUACUCAACAGGUUCCUCGUUCACGAACUCGUCUCCCGGCUCUACCCAAGACAAGAACACAAACAAACGGAACCACAAUCAACCACGAGAAAUGCACAAGCAACAUGAUGCAAAACAUGUAUGAUAUGUGAGAUAUGAUAUGCGAUGCAUAUGCGUGCUCCGGAAGGAAAAUGAUGAACAAGGCAGUAACUUGGCAAACCAAGCAUGCCACUGGAAAGAUGAGAUGAUUUCGGUCAAAAUCGAUAUAAAGAUCACCGGAAACGGAUGCACGGUUUGCAAAUGGCAAGCAAAACAAGAAUGACACGAAUCUGCGAUUAACAGCAUGAUAGCACUUAGAAUGCAACAAGUAACAAAGCUACAGCACUCCAACAUAGCACCAAAGCAUAUGGAAGUAACCUACAGGAGAUGCUUGACAAAAGAUGAACACUGAGAUACGGCUAGAUCACAACAUAACAAGCUCAAACAAGCAUGGCAAAAGUGCAAAAGAUAACAGAUUCACAGACUUAGUGAAAUUACUGGGCAAGGUAGAAAACAGCAUCAGAUAGCAAUGUUCAGAUCACUAAAUCAACAUGCUACAUGAACUUAAAAUGGAAAAACAAGGCAUGGAAGUAUUCUACUAAAUGCAUAUGACAAAAGUCCCUUACUGACCAUAAGCCAAAAAGGACCAGAAGAUAUGAUGGCAACCAUGUAAACGUAGCAAGUUCCGUUAACAGGUUUCAGACUUAGCAGAAAACAGAGCAUGGCAGAAACAGUAUUUUGAAGGUAUCUUGGUGAGCUUGAUUCACUCACCAUAAAGUAAUUCAUGACAAAAAAAGCAUACCUACAGCAAGAUGGCAUGUUUAUGAAGCUAUCCAUGGCAAGAGCAAGUUCAUAGCAUGUAUGAAACAACUACAACAACCUUGGAAAAAUUGAAUAUCAUGUUAACAAUCUGCCAGGAAUAUUUUAUAGCAAAAGUAGAGCAAGAUUGAGUCAUGCUACGGCACUCCAUAAUUGCAAACAAGGGCAGGAAUGAAUCAAUUAUAAGAAUAUCUACAAAACAUCCUUACUAAACAUCUCCAAAAUAUGCAUGGAUCUCUCUGUAGUAUCAAGUUUACAUGGCAACAAAAUAACAGCAGACGAGGACUUAGAAAUCACUGUCCCUGAAAUCAGAAACAUUACGGAGCCAAGUUUUCAUGCUUGUGCUAGUCACCACAGAGAUCACAAAAAUACAUGGCAUACACCACUGGAAAGAUAGCAUGGCAUACAACAAAACACAUGUAGAGCUCAUGCCCAUAAGAUGCACAGAUUAAAUGAUACAAAAAUGACAAAUCUCCAAGUUCUGCUAAGAACCAGCAGAUAACAGCAACUAGCACUCUUGCAACAAAGAUUUGGGCAUCAAGAUGGCCUCUAAUGAACAUGGUGCAAUUGAACAAAAUGUAGAGCAUCACAAGACGAACAAUUUGACAUAUUACACAUGCGACACGGAGCUAUGUACAGAGAGUUAUGCAAUGAUGAACAUGGGCACUUAUCGUAAAAAUUCAUAUGACGGAGAAAUCGGGGAACGGGGAAGUCAACGUACGCAGUUGACCCAGAUCGGAUCGAGGCCGGGGUCGCUCGCCGUGGCCGGAGCUGGGAGAGGAAGGGGCGACGGCGCGGGCCCGGAGGAAGGAGAGGUGGCCGGCGGGCGCAGNNNNNNNNNNNNNNNNNNNNNNNNNNNNNNNNNNNNNNNNNNNNNNNNNNNNNNNNNNNNNNNNNNNNNNNNNNNNNNNNNNNNNNNNNNNNNNNNNNNNNNNNNNNNNNNNNNNNNNNNNNNNNNNNNNNNNNNNNNNNNNNNNNNNNNNNNNNNNNNNNNNNNNNNNNNNNNNNNNNNNNNNNNNNNNNNNNNNNNNNNNNNNNNNNNNNNNNNNNNNNNNNNNNNNNNNNNNNNNNNNNNNNNNNNNNNNNNNNNNNNNNNNNNNNNNNNNNNNNNNNNNNNNNNNNNNNNNNNNNNNNNNNNNNNNNNNNNNNNNNNNNNNNNNNNNNNNNNNNNNNNNNNNNNNNNNNNNNNNNNNNNNNNNNNNNNNNNNNNNNNNNNNNNNNNNNNNNNNNNNNNNNNNNNNNNNNNNNNNNNNNNNNNNNNNNNNNNNNNNNNNNNNNNNNNNNNNNNNNNNNNNNNNNNNNNNNNNNNNNNNNNNNNNNNNNNNNNNNNNNNNNNNNNNNNNNNNNNNGAGGAGGCGGCGGCGGACGUGUCCGGCGCUGAGGAAGACGCGUCCGGCGGCGCGGAGGAGAUUUUUAGGGUUUCGUCUGCGUUUGUAUCUCGGGAGGGAUGCCUAUUUAUAGGUAGAGGGAGCUAGGAGAGUCCAAAUGAGGUGCGGUUUUCGCCCACACGAACGUGAUCGAACGACCUGCCGCAUGGAAGAGAGUUUGGUGGGUUUUGGGCUGGUUUUGAGGGGGUUUUGCUGCAACACACAAAUGGACUUUGCGGAUGCCCGGUUAACCGUUGGAGUACCAAACGACCUCCAAAUGGAACGAAACUUGACCGGUGGUCUACCGGUGGUAUACCAAGGCCACUUGACAAACCUCGGUCCAUUCCGAGAACGUUUGACACCCGCUCACGAAAGGAAACAAAAGGGGUGCACCGGAGGAGAUGGGAGCGCUGGAUUGCAAAACGGACAACGGGGAAAAAGCUCGGAUGCAAGAGACGAACACGUAUGAAAAUGCAAUGCACAUGAUGACAUGAUAUGAAAUGCAUGACAUGGACAAAAUGCAAAACGAAAGACAAAACCCGACCACGAAGGGAAUAUCAUAACACAUAGCCGAAAAUGGCAAGAGUUGGAGUUACAAAUAUUGAAAGUUACAUCCGGGGUGUUACAAGUGUUGAUCAUAUUCCUUUCCUCGUUUCAAAUGUUUUCUCAUGUCGGUGCACCUCUUAAUCAUCCAUUUUUCGCCAUUCAUUUGUAUCCGGAGCGCUGAAGAUAUCUCAGAAAAUUCAAGCUUCCAUUCUUAAUCAGUUUAAACUAUUUUGAGGUUGUUAUCUCAUUCAAGCCAUUUAAUUCAACUGGUGCAAUCUCCAUUUCAAGUAAUCAUUUCAACGGUGUUUCUUUUGAGUGGGCCCUAACCCAUAGGCCUUUUUCCAGGAUCUUACCUGACUCUUCUAAUUUUCCCGGAGUUAUUCUCAAAUCCUUUUCGAAGUGUGAUGUAAGUACGAUUUUCAUCAGUCGGACGUUUUUCCAAGAUCAAUUUCAAAUUAUUUUCGUUGUUGGCUCAACCUCUUCGCUUUUCAUUCUCCCGGUGUAUCUCAACAAUUUUGGUGUUCUUCUCGUCAUCAUUCUCAACAAUUGAAGACCUAAGAAGUGUUUCUCGUAAAUCUUGUCCGUUCUCCCGAAGAUUCAUGUCGCUAGCUUGAUGUUAUCCGCUCAUAUCGUUUCAAGUCGUGCAAUUAUUUUCACCCAUCCAGAGUAUUUCAGGAGUUGUUUUCCGUCUCAAUUAUCCGGAGGCCUCCAUUUCAGAAUAUUUCUUCGUUCUAAGUUUUCAAAUCCGUUCUCCAAUUAUUCUAUAUUCGUGCCCCUUCGUUCGUUUACAUAUUCUUCCGGUGCUUCGUUCAAGUAUGCUUCAAUCAGCUCACGAUCUCUUCUUUAAAUUGCAUCUUGAUUCCCUCACGUAUAUUCGUGCUUUUCCUAUUUUUCCCGGUGAGUCAUUCUCCUUCGUCAGUCAAUUUUGAAUUCUAACGGUGGUUCGUUCAAGACCCCUUGUCAUUUGUAGUCAUAUCGAUUAAUUCGUUUUUUUUCCAAAUCCUACCGGUGGUUCAUGAAGACUUUCCCAAAUUUUGCGCUAUAUCCCCCCUUAAUCUUUCCAACGAGAAUAAGUGGUAUGCAAAUCCAUGGUUUCUCAUCGAUUUAAUCGAUGGAGGAUACCCAUAACAUAAUUCUUAUUCUUCUUUCUUCAAGUGGUUUUAUCUCUUAUUUUCGGAGAUUGAUCAUCCUAUCACAUACUCGGUUCAAAGUGUUUUCAUCUUUUCUUUUCCGGAGUUCCAAGCUUCUCGCCGAUUUCGUCGCGAACCUCCAUCCAAAUCAUCGCAAGGAUUUAAUCUUAUCCCUUUCAUCCUUCAAUUUUAUCUCGUCAUUCUUUUGUUACCGGAGUUCAUCACGGUGGCUCGUCAUGAUUUUAUUCAUUCCUCAAGUGUUCAUCAAGAUUCUUUUGGAGGAGCUCAAGUAUCUUUUCUUCUUGCAUCUCGAAGUGCAAUUAAUUCUCUGUAUUCUUUUGAAGUGGAGUUUUGCAUUUCUCCGUUCUCCUCAGCUAUUUAAUCUUUUUCAAUUGUGGUCGGUUAUCACCUCAUAAUUUUUGAGAUGUUAUCCAUAAGUCCACAACAAGCUUAUUCUUUUUGUUGUUGAUUUUCUCAACAAUUCCGUUCAAUGUUUCCUUCUAAUGAUGCUCUCUAUUUCAUUCUUGGCACAAGUUGUCAUUUUCUUCUCUGUUCUUUUCAUUCAACUCUUUUAAUUCUUUCUGGAGGUUUUGUGUCGUGUCUUCAUCAAGUAUCAUUCCAUCCUCUCAAGCUCGUGUUCUAUUCCUCCAUGUUUCAGCCGGAGUGCUGCCUAAAUCCUUUCAGUCUUAUUCGUUUCUUAUCUCGUCUAACCGGAGUGGUUUCAGAGUCUAUCUGAUUCCGUGAGCAUUUGAUUCUCAUCAUUCUAGUCGUUCCUCUCUUCUUCUCGAGUGUUCUUGACUUUGUUCAUCCUCACUGUUUUAUUCUUAUUUCACCUCAUCCUUUUUCUCUUCCGUCUCGGGCAAGUAACAUACUGAUGACAAAGGGAACAACGUAUGUUGUUAUGCGUUCUGGCCGAUAAAGAUCUUCGUAGAAUAUGUGGGAGCCAAUAUGAGCAUCCAGGUUCCGCUAUUGGUUAUUGACCGGAGACGUGUCUCGGUCAUGUCUACAUAGUUCUCAAACCCGUAGGGUCCGCACGCUUAAAGUUAGAUGACGAUUUGUAUUAUGAGUUAUGUGAUUUGAUGUACCGAAGGUAGUUCAGUAUCCCGGAUGAGAUCGGGGACAUGACGAGGAGUCUCGAAAUGGCCGAGACGUAAAGAUCGAUAUAUUGGACAACUAUAUUCGGACAUCGGAAAGAUUCCGAGUGAUUCGGGUAUUUUUCGAAGUACCGGAGAGUUAUGGGAAUUCGUAUUGGGCCAUACGGGAAAGGAGAGAAAGGCCUCAAAAGGUGGCCGCUGUGACGCCCGGAUAAUUAGUCUACAGUAAUCCCCCGUUAAUGAUGCCACAUCACCUCUGUCACUGUAGUUAAUCUCGGGUUAGUUCAAAAACCGAUUCAAAAUUUAAAUUCAAAAUCAAGUCAAACAAUUAAAGUUUUCAAAAGUCAAAACUAAAAUGUUCUCAAUGUGACAAAUAAAUCAUGGAUAAUAUUGGUGGAGAAACCACACUUUUAUAAAAUGUUUAAAUUAUCUAACAUGAAUAAAACAAUAGCAAAUAUAAUUAUUUAAAUGCUUUUAAAAUAAUAAACAAUUUCAAAACUAAAUUGUUAUAAGUAUUAAACUAUUGUGGCAGUGGCAUAAUUUGUAAAAUCUAUUUAGGUGCCACUUUGGUAAUUUACUAAAACUAAAAUAAAAGGAAACUAAAAGAAAGCAAAAAUAGCAAAUAAAAAUAAGAAAAGAGAAAGACAAAACAAAACAAAAUAAAAAAAAAAAGAUAAGGACCCCCUCGGCCAACUGGGCCAACAGGCCCAACUGGCCACCCACGCGGCCCAGCUGGCCCACCCCCGGCUGGAUAACCCUACCCGUAGCCAAACCCUAACCCCCCACGACCACACACUUCCCCCACUCCCCACGUCGCUCGUUCCCCUCCCCUCUCGUGAUCCAGAUCGGGAUCGACCCGAUCUCGUCGCCCGACGCCGUUCGUCGNNNNNNNNNNNNNNNNNNNNNNNNNNNNNNNNNNNNNNNNNNNNNNNNNNNNNNNNNNNNNNNNNNNNNNNNNNNNNNNNNNNNNNNNNNNNNNNNNNNNNNNNNNNNNNNNNNNNNNNNNNNNNNNNNNNNNNNNNNNNNNNNNNNNNNNNNNNNNNNNNNNNNNNNNNNNNNNNNNNNNNNNNNNNNNNNNNNNNNNNNNNNNNNNNNNNNNNNNNNNNNNNNNNNNNNNNNNNNNNNNNNNNNNNNNNNNNNNNNNNNNNNNNNNNNNNNNNNNNNNNNNNNNNNNNNNNNNNNNNNNNNNNNNNNNNNNNNNNNNNNNNNNNNNNNNNNNNNNNNNNNNNNNNNNNNNNNNNNNNNNNNNNNNNNNNNNNNNNNNNNNNNNNNNNNNNNNNNNNNNNNNNNNNNNNNNNNNNNNNNNNNNNNNNNNNNNNNNNNNNNNNNNNNNNNNNNNNNNNNNNNNNNNNNNNNNNNNNNNNNNNNNNNNNNNNNNNNNNNNNNNNNNNNNNNNNNNNNNNNNNNNNNNNNNNNNNNNNNNNNNNNNNNNNNNNNNNNNNNNNNNNNNNNNNNNNNNNNCUUGGCCUCGCCCGCCGGCCGCCGGCACCCAGCCACCCGCGGGCCCUGCUACCUUCGCCGCGGCCGGCGCCCUCCCCUGUCUGGCGCCCGGUUGGGUUCGGCCACGCCCAGGCACCCGCACCCGUAUGCCCGUGCCUGCCCCGAUAUGCCCCCUGGGCCUAUGACACGGGGGCCCCACGCACCCUUUUCUAAAAAAAGAUAAAUAAUAAUAAUAAUAAAUUUAAUUAAUUAAUUAACUAAGUUAAUUAACUUAAUUAAUCCUCUUUAGUUAACCUAAUUAAUUAGUUAGUUUAAUUAAACCGUAAUUAGGUUAGCUAAAUCCUAAUUAACUAAACAGUCAAUGACGAAUGGGACCCACACAUCAGCUGACCAGUCAACUCCUCUGUUGACUGCUGACGUCAUGCUGACGUCAGCGUGCACUGUUCUGGAUAAUGUUGUUUUAAAAUAAUUAAAUAAAUCCUAAAAUAAAUCUUUUAAAAUUAAUAUAAAUUAAACCAUAGCUCGGAUGGAAAAACUUUGUACAUGAAAGUUGCUCAGAACGACGAGACGAAUCCGGAUACGCAGCCCGUACGCCCGCCACACAUCCCUAGCAUAGCAAACACGCAACUUUCCCCCUCCGGUUCAUCUGUCCGAAAACGCGAAACACGGGAAUACUUUCCCGGAUGUUUCCCCCCUUUCCCAGUACCACCUCCUACCGUGUUAGGGCACACCUAGCACCGCGCAUUGACAUGUCUUCCAUCGUCAUGCUUAUGUUUGCAUUAUAUUUAUUGUUUCUUCCCCCUCUUCUCCGGUAGACUACGAGACCGACGCCGUUGCUGGUGCCCCGACCGACUACGCUGUUGACGACCCCUCCUUCUUGCCAGAGCAAUCAGGCAAGCCCCCCCUUGAUCACCAGAUAUCGCAUAUUCUUCUCUAUACUGCUUGCAUUAGAGUAGUGUAGCAUGUUGGUGAUUUCGGUUAAUCCUAUUCUGUUGCAUAGCCUGUCAUUGUUGCUACAGUUGUUACCCUUACCUGCUAUCCUACUGCUUAGUAUAGGAUGCUAGUGUUCCAUCAGUGGCCUUACACUCUUGUCCGUCUGCCAUGCUAUACUACUAGGCCGUGAUCACUUCAGGAGGUGAUCACGGGUAUAUACUAUAUACUUUAUAUACAUGACACAUGUGGUGACUAAAGUCGGGUCGGCUCGUUGAGUACCCGCAAGUGAUUCUGAUGAGAGGGCUGAAAGGACAGGUGGCUCCAUCCCGGUAGAGGUGGGCCUGGGUUCCUGAUGGCCCCCGACUGUUACUUUGUGGCGGAGCGACAAGGCAGGUUGAGACCACCUAGGAGAGAGGUGGGCCUGGCCCUGGACGGCGUCCGCGGUUACUUCAACAUAACACGCUUAACGAGUUCUUGGUAUUUGAUCUGAGUCUGGCCAUUUGGUCUAUACGCACUAACCAGCUACGCGGGAACAGUUAUGGGCACUCGACGUCAUGGUAUCAGCCGAAGCCUUCGUGCCGUCAGCGACUGAGUGGCGCGCGCCGGAUUGGACUGGAACGCCACUAGGCUAGGUCUGCUUCCGGCCGCGUUCGCAACGUGCAGGUGUGCAAUGGGUGAUGGGCCCAGACCCCUGCGCCAUAGGAUUUAGACCGGCGUGCUGACCUCUCUGUUGUGCCUAGGUGGGGCUGCGACGUGUUGAUCUUCCGCGGCCGGGCAUGACCCAGAAAAGUGUGUCCGGCCAAAUGGGAUCGAGCGUGUUGGGUUAUGUGGUGCACCCCUGCAGGGAAGUUUAUCUAUUCGAAUAGCCGUGUCCCUCGGUAAAAGGACGACCCGGAGUUGUACCUUGACCUUAUGACAACUAGAACCGGAUACUUAAUCAAACACACCCUUCCAAGUGCCAGAUACAACCCGGUGAUCGCUCUCUAACAGGGCGACGAGGAGGGGAUCGCCGGGUAGGAUUAUGCUAUGCGAUGCUACCUGGAGGACUUCAAUCUACUCUCUUCUACAUGCUGCAAGAUGGAGAUGGCCAGAAGCGUAGUCUUCGACAGGACUAGCUAUCCCCCUCUUAUUCUGGCAUUCUGUAGUUCAGUCCACUGAUAUGCCCCUUUACACAUAUACCCAUGCAUAUGUAGUGUAGCUCCUUGCUUGCGAGUACUUUGGAUGAGUACUCACGGUUGCUUUCCUUCCUCUAUUCCCCUUUCCUUUCUACCUGGUUGUCGCAACCAGAUGUUGGAGCCCAGGAGCCAGACGCCACCGUCGACGACGACUCCUACUACACUGGAGGUGCCUACUACUACGUGCAGCCCGCUGACGACGACCAGGAGUAGUUAGGAGGAUCCCAGGCAGGAGGCAUGCGCCUCUUUCGAUCUGUAUCCCAGUUUGUGCUAGCCUUCUUAAGGCAAACUUGUUUAACUUAUGUCUGUACUCAGAUAUUGUUGCUUCCGCUGACUUGUCUAUGAUCAAGCACUUGUAUUCGAGCCCUCGAGGCCCCUGGCUUGUAUUAUGAUGCUGGUAUGACUUAUUUAUGUUUUAGAGUUGUGUUGUGAUAUCUUCCCGUGAGUCCCUGAUCUUGAUCGUACACAUUUGCGUGCAUGAUUAGUGUACGGUCAAAUCGGGGGCGUCACAGCCGCACCCCUCCCCAUGGUCUGGUCCGAAUUGGACUAGGGAAGGGGGGCUCCCCCUUCCUUCCUUCUCCUUUUCCCUUCCCCUUUUCCUAUUCCAUGUGGGAGGAGGAAUCCUACUAGGACUAGGGAGUCCUAGUAGGAAUCCACGCUUCUGGCGCGCCCUAGGGGCUGGCCGGCCUCCCCUCCUCCAUCCUUUAUAUACGGGGGCAGGGGGGCACCUCUAGACACAAGUUGAUCUGUUGAUCUAUUCCAGCCGUGUGCGGUGCCCCCUCCACCAUAUUCCACCUCGGUCAUAUCGUAGCGGUGCUUAGGCGAAGCCCUGCGUCGGUAGCAACAUCAUCACUGUCACCACGCCGUCGUGCUGACGGAACUCUCCCGUGAAGCUCUGCUGGAUCGGAGUUCGCGGGACGUCAUCGAGCUGAACGUGUGCUGAACUCGAAGGUGCCGUAUGUUCGGUACUUGGGUCGGUCGGAUCGUGAAGACGUACGACUACAUCAACCGCGUUGUGCUAACGCUUCCGCUUUCGGUUUACGAGGGUACAUGGACAACACUCUCCCCUCUCGUUGCUAUGCAUCACCAUGAUCCUGUGUGUGCGUAGGAAUUUUUUUGAAAUUACUACGUUACCCAACACAACACACAAUCGAACAACACAUCUACUACUUUUUUGUGUUCAUCUAUCCCCUAUCCUUGUAUUUUUCUUCUCGUUCUUCGUUGUUCUUCAACAAUGGAGGGCUACGAAUCAACGAGGAUCUAGGGGCGGUCAGGUCGACCUAGGGUAGCCCAUAGCCGCCGCGGGCCCUGACGGGGUCCCUCCCGGGCGUGUGGGGUUUUGGGUGUACAAAAGCGCUCGUCGGAUUGCUUGCUUACCGUGCUUUCGGUCGGGUCUCCUUUGACGUGAGCUGCGGUGCAUCACCCCCGGCGUCCAGGGUACACGAUGAUGUGUUCGUGUGCGAACACUUUGUUGCAAUCCAUGAUAAUUUCACCCAAUGCUUAUGAACGAAAUAAAGCUUUUACUAGACAUAUGGUAGAAGCGACGAUGAAAGCUUUAGAAGAAAAGUUGGAAUUAGAGAUUUCAAUUCCUAGAAAAUUAUAUGAUGAAUGGGAACCUACCAUUAAAGUCAAGAUUAAAAAUUAUGAGUGUUUUGCUUUAUGUGAUUCGGGUGCUAGUGUUUCCACAAUUCCGAAAUCUCUAUGUGAUGUGCUUGGUUUUACCAAUAUUGAAAAAUAUUCUCUUAAUUUGCACUUGGCGGAUUCUAGUAUUAAAAAGCCUUUGGGGAGAAUUAGUGAUAUUCUUAUUCUUGCAAAUAGGAAUUAUGUGCCCAUAUUUUAGUGUUCUUCAUAUUGAUUGCAAUCCGUCUUGUCCCAUCAUACUUGGUAGACCGUUUUUAUGAACUAUAGGUGUCGUGAUUGAUAUGAAAGAAGGGAAUAUUAAAUUUCAAUUUCCUCUAAGAAAGGGUAUGGAACACUUCCCUAGAACAAGAAUUAAGCCACCAUAUGAAUCAAUCAUGAGGCCAACCUAUGGACCAAAAACCAAAGAUGAUAAUACUUGAAUCUUUGCAUUAUGCCUAGCUAAGGGCAUAAAACAAUAGCGCUUGUUGGGAGGCAACCCAAUGAAUAAAAUUUAUUUUUACCUUUUUCUUUCUGUUCUUGAGUGUUUGCACAAUUAUGCUACUGUUAUGAUUGUGUUUUUUAUGUUUUAAUUAGAGUUUGUGCCAAGUAAAGCCUUUAGGAUCAUGUUGGGUGAUAGCUGAUUUGAUCUUGUUGAAAAAUAAAAACUUUUGCAUCCACUAACAGAAUUGUUAAAAUUCACAGAAGCGACGAAAAAUUCUGAUUUUUUACACAAGAUUUAUAUACAAAUUGCCUCUGUUGUCCUAAUUUUUCAUAAUUUUGGAGUUACAGAAGUAUCAGUAAAAUUCGAGUCUUUACAGACUGUUCUGUUUUUGAUAGAUUCUAUUCCGUUGCAUUGUGUUCUUAUUUUGAUGAAUCUAUGGAUUGUAUUGGGGGGUAUAACCCAUGGUAAAGUUAGAAUACAGUAGGUAUAAUGCAACAACAAAAUAUGGAUGGGUUUGCAAGAGUACUUAAAGAAAAGAUUGGUUUUCUUAUACUAACGGAUCUCGGGAAGGUUUUGUUAAGUUUUGUGUGAUUGAAGUUUUCAAGUUUUGGGUGAGAUCACGAUGGAUGAAGGAAUAAGGAGUGAAAAGAGCCUAAGCUUGGGGAUUUAGUGUUUUCAAGUUUUGGGUGAGAUCACGAUGGAUGAAGGAAUAAGGAGUUCUAAAAUGAAUUAUAACUAUAAAUUCAGAGGUAAUAUGUCGAUGAAAAAUUACCAUAACUUUUACAAAUUUUUCAACACAUAUUUUAACCUCAUUAAUUUGUUGGUCAUUAGGCCGUAGUAAUUCUUGCAUCGAUUCGCAACAACAUGCAAUCGAGUAAGUAUCCUUGUGAUCAACUUUUAACCACAAUUCCCGAAGAAUUUAGUGUUUAACAAUUUAAUCACAGUUCUCAAGAAUCACACAUUACUUGACCGACUUUCUCAACAUCUUGUAACUUGCACGACAUUCAUACCUGAGCUAGACAUUCCAGUCUUCUUUUCUUUCCGCCUCUAAACUUCUUAUAGUUCUACUUUCAAUAUUUCUCCCACUCAAUAGAAGAAUCAUUUAACUUUUAAGAGUGGCAUGAGCCCCGAACUUCCCUAGGUAUCUAAGUAUCAUUACAUCAUCUGGUUUUGUUCUUUCUCUUUAAGUUCUCACCAUCAACUCAUGACUGGUGUUCUUCUGGAUCAUACACACUUUAGUCUCAAACAUAGUUGAACGCUUCACUAGAACUUGCAAACAAAACACUUCUUUAGAUAUCAUAUACCUUAUAAUCUUCGUUUGUUUCUGAAAAUAAUUUUCAGUUCCAAGAAUAUCACAUAACUAUCCCAGACAUUUUGAAGUUCGGGUUUCUUGGAAGCAAGCAGACCGUAAUGUAAUUCUUAGCCUUUUGGACCGAAAGACAUAAGUCUCGUCAUCCAUAGCAUUAGCAGGAGAGCAUUGCAAGAAUGCAGUAGGAAAAAAUUCCUUCUUGGAACUUUUAGAGGAUAAUCCUUUCAAUCAUAAAUGAUUCAACUAGAUAAACAAUUGUCAAUCAAUUUUGCAACAAGGGUGGAACUGUGAGCCAUAAUUCUACAACUAUAAUACAAACUACACAUAGACAUUGUUCAUAAUUAAUUUGCACUAGUGACUAAACUAAAUUAAUACAUAAUUGUGCUCUUACUCAAAUCAACAUCUCUCAUAAUUGAUAGUGAGUGAUUCAAGAUCCAAAUCUAGUUAUCAGCCAUUGAUGUGGACAUCACUAAUGAUGAGAAUUUUGAACGGUGGGCAAACUAUGGCCGAUCAUAUCACCAUAUGACUCUUGUUCAUCUUUUGAUGCUUUGUGCUUCGAGCUCAAAACAGUUCUUCUGGAACUUCAAGAUAACAGAGUGCUAUCUGCACACAUGGUCUGACCAUCUCCGUCUUACAUCUCUCAUCUCGUUUGAACUCAUGUGGACAUGACGUACUCCGAGAUGUCAGAAUGUCGUAGACGGUUGCAACACUAGGAAGAGCACCUUUAACUUGAUAUUUACUAUGAGAGAUCACCCUAAUAAUUGACUACUGCAUAAUCAAAUGGUGCAAACAACAAAGGGAUAAACAUCUCAGGCAAUUCAUAACAUCAUGAUAUGGUAUAGCCCUGUGCGCCGGGAAUUUCCAUGACCAUCUUCAAUAUCCAGUUGAAGCAUCAUGACGGCCAAUAUUUCGUUGCCGUGGUAACCUUUUCAAAAACGUCGCCGUGGCAGCAAUUUCAGAAAAUGUUGUCGUGGCUACUGUUUCAAAAAACGUCGUUGUGGCACCAAAUUCAGAAAUUUCGGCGUGGAACGAAAUUAUAGCUCCUCGUCCCGCGCCUAGCACACCUUCUCCUUGUCGGGGUCCUCCGUGUAUGGUUGCCAUCGUCACCUAUAACAUGUAGGCUAUCUCUAUGAUAUUUGCAUUGAUGUGGCAAUCUCGUGGCUCCAGCCAUUGUGUUGUGACACACAUGCCACUUAACAUUACAACAUAUAACCAUCUCAUACAUAAACUCAUUAUCAUGACGAAGGCUAUACCACAUCACAUGCAUACCCUGCAAAACCAAGUUAGACGUCCUCUAAUCGGUUUUAGCAAAACUUUAGUUACGCGGUCAACUAGUUUUAACAAGUAAUACUAGCUACCUACAUCCACAAUUUAGGCGAUGAUUCUUGAUGCUAGAUUAAGUUUUGGGGUGUGUUAAAGAAGAGACUUAAUCAAAAUUCUUGUACCCCACACUAAACUUCGUCUACUACGCGUGACCCCCUAGAAGAUCAUCCAUCUUCGGCACCCUCUUAUGUACGCGGUGCUUCACUAUUCUCAACUAUGGUGAAGCCCAAGGAACUGUUAGCAGAUCAUCGACAACCAGAGCCGAUCGAUUGUCAAAACCUUGUAAAAAGAGACACCAUGUUGUCGAUGAAUUGAACUAAAUCAACACUCGAGGGAAGCAUAUUGUAAUGACCGCAUCUUGGGCGCUACACAUAGCAAGAACAUCAACCCUCACAAUAACAUGUGAUCUAGAUUGCAACCUAUACCUACUCAUAUAACUGCUCAUGAUGCCAAUGUUGGGAAACGUAGUAGAAAACAAAAAAAGUCGUGCAUGCGCACACCCAAGAUCAAUAUGAAGAUGCAUAACAGGUUAGGAUCACGAUCGUUACCGUCACCGAGUUGCAGUGGAAGAAGAAUGUGUCAGUGUACAUCGUACUUGGAGUCCCUCGAACCAUCGAUGAACGAUCCUCGCACCGCUCAUGAACAGUCCCUCGAACCGAAGACCGAAAGCACGAUCUCUCUAUUUGGUUGCAAGCGUACAACCUUCAUGACCCGACACCUCUUUGCCAUCCAAAGCUAAUCAUCACCGGAGAAUUAGAAGGAGGAUAUUGGAACCACAUGGGGCUUCUAAUUAUUAGGACAAGAGGAUUAGCCUAGCUCUAAUUAGUCAACUAGGACUAGCUAGAACUAGAACUAGAAGAGCUAGAGGAGGCUCUAAAACUUAUAUGACAAACGAGCACAAAUCCUCAAGUAUAUAUAGGUUAGAGAGGAGAGGGAGGACUGCCACCAAGGAGGGAAAGCCUCCUUGGGGCGCCGAUCAAGGGGGAGGAGGAGUUGGACUCCUCCCCCACUCGUAUUCAGCCUCCUUCCUUAGGGAAGGGAGGUGCCUUCCCACUUGGACCUUUGUGACCCAAGUUGCCUUCCACCUCUUGGCCUUUUUAGGCCUGUUGAUAUAAAAUUAAAUAUAAAAUUGUUCUAAAUACUUUUAGAUCAUUUUAUGUAUAAUUUAACAUCCCCGAAAACAUUUUCCACCUAUAUAUAUCGGUAAUACCCGGUAUUACCCGAUAUUCACCGAAACCCUUCUGGUGACCCCAAAAUGCUUCCGAUCCUCUUGGAACUAUUCCGAACAUUAAUGAAACAGUUACACAAAUAUAUAUCAUCACUCCCAUCCUACUAACACUCAACAAAUCGUGAUUUCCUUAAGCUUGUGACUCCAUAGGUUCGGCAACUCAAAGACAUGAAUGAAACCAUUUGCGCAAUGACCGACAGCGGGACCGUGGACGUCCAUAUCGAUCCCUACGAGCGCACAAAUGAUAUUCGAGUGAACCUUUGGUUAUCAUGUGAUGUUCCCUUUGCUUCGGAUACUUCACAAAACGCGGGAUGCAUUGGUAUCCUCCUGAGUCAUCACUACGCCCACUAUACAGAAAUCCUCGUUACUGGUUUUGUUCUUCUUUCUCGUUAUUGUGUUCCGGGAUCCUCGUGACGUAGUCACUUAUGUCUGGCCAGACGAUGAUGGAUGCCAUCACAUCGAGAGGGCCCUAAGAAUAUCUCUUCAUCGUUAGAGGAGCAAAUCCCACUCCUAAGCUAUCCGACCACUUGUCAAACUUUACAAUGAGUAUGUAAGUUGUCGUUAUGAUCACAAUGUUACAGGUGACGUUUGAGCAACCCCAAAGUCCACCAUACGGUAAAAUGUGACCACGAUGCUCUCAUGGUCUAAGGAGCAAAAUCACAUGUUAACACUCCAUGUUAUUACAAUUGAUUACAGACGAUAUUAUCUCAAUUCAUAACAAACAAGUUUGGGUUGAUUCAAUAUGAUCAUUCUUCCAACGUCAUAAUCUCAAUAUUGUUUUUAGGACAAUCGUUACACUUAAUGAUAUCCUAAGAUCCGGAAAACAUGAUCAGCAACAAUACUUGAGCUAGUCCUAGAGGCAAGACUAGGAACCUUUUAUUUAACCGCUUAUCAUUCCGCACGUGCAUAUGAGUUUUGCAUUGAAUCGCGUAUUCCAUGAUUAUAGCAGUUAUAGCAUAGAAUACAAACUAUAUAAUUAUGAAUAUGGAAAUAUAAUAAUACAAAUAUUAUUGCCUUUAGGGAAUAUUUCAAACACUAGCAACGACUACAAGCAUUGAAUUGAGCCGAAGGCGCACCGCCAUCAUCGCCCCUCCAUUACCGAUCGAGGAAAUCUUGUUGUAGUAAACAAACGAGAGGUCAUGGUGCUAAAGCCCACAAGACCAGUGCACCAGAGCCGCAACCAUCAUCGAUGAAUAGAAUUGCAGAUCGAAGGAUCAAACCUCUAAACACUCAAACGAUUAUCGGAUCCAUCGAAGACCAACAUUGAACGAAUCCCGUGAGAUUCACGGAGACACCCCAAUAAUGAGCGACCACCAACAUUGGAGCGCCCCUCCAGCGAAGUACUGGUUUUCUAUGAGAGGCCUCCCCCAAUGAACGUUUUCGUUCACCACCAGGAGCCCCGCGCGAACUACUUUUACCAGGGCUUUAGGCCCAUUUAGCAUUACCUUGUACAAAAAUAAUAAUUAAAAAAGAAGAUUUGCUAUGAUGUAUGCAAGACAUCGUUUUGAAUAGCUAAACAAACACAAAAUUGCCAUGAUGUACAUAACAAAAGCAUAAACAAAAAUCGUCGUGCUCUAAAAAUAAAUAAAAAAUUUCAUAAUGGACUAUAGAACACAUACUAAAAAUUGCCAUGGUAGCCUACCAAAAAACACAACAUGGUAAAAAGGACAUGGUAAAUCUAGAAAAGAAACCAACAAAAAAAUACCAUGGUCCAGAAAUGCAAGAAGAAAGACCAUACAUGAAAAAACUGCAUAUUAAACAAAGAAGGGUACUCACUCUGUAAACUAAUAUAAGAUCAUUUAGAUCACUUUUUGUGAACAGAGAGAGUACAAGGAAUUUUCCAUGCUUUAUAUCUUCGUUUAAAAAAAUAAAUAAUCCGCACACAAGAAAUUUUCAAUAUAAAAAUUUAAUAAAAUUGCCAUGCCAUUAAAAGAAAAAAUGCCAUGUUACUAAAAAUAAAAUGGCCAUGCUCUUAAUAAUAAAAUCCCGUGUUAUUAUUCUUGUUUGCCAUGCUCUUAAUAAUAAAAUCCCCAUGUUAUUAAAAAAUACACGCUCUUAAUAAUAAAAUUGCCAUGUUAUUGAAAAUAAAAAUUGUCAUGUGAGAAAGUAGAAAAACAUUUCCCAAAUUGCCAUGAAUAAAGUGAUAAAAAUUCCUAAAGUUUGCCACAGGAGCGUUAGAAAAUAAAACUAAAAUUGUCAUGUUUGAAAGACAAAAAAUGUUAUGCAUUUUCCAUAGGACAAGAGAAAGAAUUAAAAAAAAUCAUGUGUACAAAACAAUUUGAACAUUACAAGAAACACUGCUGAUGCUUUAAGUGUCUUUUUUCUUGUUCUUUUUGAGGUAGAUGUUUAAUGUUUUGACUUAAAUAUAAGGGAAAAUGUGACGCCCCAAGACCGACGCUCCAGAUGCCUUCCAUGGAUUCCGAGAUUCGUCGUGUGAUUUGUUUUGUUCGUUGCAUUCAUCUUUGCAUCAUGUGCAUUGCAUCGUGUCAUCUUGCCCCCCUUUUAAGAAAAACUCAGCUAAAGAAAUUGCAUGGAUCUUUAAUCCAUUUAAAUCGAUGGAAAUCACAUGGUGAUUUCUCUUUAUAACAUAUCCUCCCAAUAUUUAGGGAGCUACUAGAAAUAUUCCAAUGAUUUGGAAACUACCCAUGAACUCACUUGCAAUUUAAUUACAUGCCUCUUUUGCUUCAAGUUUCACCUCCAAACUUUGCCAAUAAUUCUCAUCUCUUUUAUUGAGGCUCCUCCAAAAUUCUCAACAUUUUGGCCACUCCUAAACCUUGUCCUAGUUCAAACCAUUUGAAUUAAAUUCAAAUGAGUUUGAAUUUAACUCUUGCAUUCGUGCCAACUUCUAUUUUCUUGGAUCAAGCUCAUUUUUGUGAGUCCAGGAAAAUUAUCCGCGUGUCAAACUUCUUCCCCUAACCUCUCUUUCUUUCCUUUCUUAUCUCUGUUUUGUUUUUUAUUUUCUUUAGAGUGAGAGGGAGAGAGAGAGCCCAGCCCAGCUGCAACCUAUGCCCAGGCCGGCCCAUGUCCUCCCAGCAGCCCAGCAGGCCAUUUAGGUCCAUCCGCUAGGCCCAGCCACCCUCUCCUCUUAACCCUAGAUCGAAGGGAGAGCCCUGCUCGAUCCCCUCUUCCCUCGAUGUGCCGUCAGAGAGAGAGACCAGCGCUGCUCCCUCGUCCCGUUCCCCUUUGCCUCCUCCUCGUCGCUGGAGUCCAGCCACCCGACCAGCAGGAGGCCGCUGCCACCAUGAACACCCGCAGGAGCGCCAACGCCACCCGGCCGCCGUCCCGCGCCCAAGCUCCUCCGCCCCGAGCCUUCGUUCGCGCUGUCGUUUGCCCGGAUCCGACGCCGGCCGACCGGAUCCACCCGUCUUCGCUGUUCCCGGCGUUGUCGGAGCCAUGCUUCAAGUCCUCGCCGUCAAGCUCCACGCCGCUCGCCAACCUCCUCCUCUCCGCCCCCUCCUCUGCUCCACCUCCUUAGCACCGAGGGUCGCCCCUCCGUCGUUUGCCCCGGGCGCCUCCGACCUUCCUCGCGCCCGAUCUGCUCCAAGCGCCACCGGCCAAGUUCCUCGACCUCCGCGCCGUCCCGGAGUCCCUCGCCCACCGCUGCAUGGUCCAGUCGUUGCUUCUCCCAGCUGCGCCUGUACGUCGAUGCCAAGUUCCGUUGCCUGCUCGCCGCCAUCGCCCUAGCAGGAGCUCCGCCUCCCCUGCUUCAUGCCAAGGCCAACGCCGGCCACUUCUUCCUACCGCUGCUCGGCCAUGCCCCAACGACCAGCAGCUUGAGCUACCUCCACGCACCUCUUGUGACCUCCCGAGGCAGGGCCUUCUUUAGUCCCUCGAUGCCCCUUCAGUUCAGCAAGACCGGCAAGUUCGACUACAUCACCGAGAUGUCAAGUACACGACGAACCUCGAAGAUUUUGGACGUGCCAAGUUCCCCUUCAAAUAUGAAGGACUACAUCUGAUGCGGAUUUCGCCAAGUACCCCCUGGAGGCCACAUUGACGCAAGUACCUCUACCGCCGUGUUCGGAAUCGUUAAACCAUCUUGGAUUUCGCAGAGUGCCACUACGCUCGAAGGGACUCGGGUUCGACAAGUACCCUGACAACGUGUGUACCACUACCGUCGACUCCGUGAACGUCAAGUUCCUCUACGAAACGUGUACCACUACUUCCACUACCGUUGCGAGAACGUCUACUUCCCUCAACGAACUUGAUCCGUUCCGAAAAUGCACGUUUCGAAGGUAUAACCCCGAGAAGACGCCCGUGAACGAAUGCAUGUGUGUUGUAUGAGAUGCUCGUAUUUGCAUCGUGUCCGAGUUGUCAUUCCACGUUCCUCCUCGUUUGCCAUGUGGUCGACCCGUGGAAACCCGGUAACCGGGAUCACCCCACCAUCUUUUGCAUGUUCUGUUCAUCCACACUUUCUUUUGCACCGACAUCUCGACGAGUUAUCGGAUCAUCGAAAUGUUGCCGUGGCAUCAUUUUCGUUGUUGUUGUCGUGGCACCCCUUUCGUUCCACCAUGGUGACAAAUGCUUCAUAACAUGCUCUUGUCAACAUUUUCAUUAAAAUUGCAUAAAACUUGUAUAAGUCAUCCGCAUCAUGUUAACAACAUUUAAAAUGUUUAAAAUUGUUGUUUGCAUUAAAUUGCUAAAUGCAUAUGGGGAUUUUCCGGAAUUGAUGUUUGGUAUUUCCGGCCUCCUUUAAACUUGCCUAAAUAGUUAAUUUAAUUAUGUUCCACCUCUUGCCAUGUUUGACCACAUUUAAUAUUGUUGGGUACAUAAACGGGAGAGAACUAAAUAAAUGAAUGUGGUGUUUCGUCAAUAUGCAACCCGUUACAUAUUGAGCUCCACUUAACUUGUAGUAUUAUUUGUUGCACUUUGCCAUGCCAUGCCUCUUUAAACCGGACAUGCAUCAUACUUGAUUGUGCAUCAUGCCAUGUUUAUGUGAUGGUUGUUUACCAUGUUGCUUGCUUCUUUCCGGUCAUGCUCCUUCUUGAUAGUUCCGGUAACGUUGCGAUUGUGAGGAUUCGUUCGACUACAAUGGUUCGUCUACUUCAUGGAUUCGAUCUUCUUCCUAACGGGAUUUCAGGCAAGAUGACCGUCACCUUGGAUCUCACUACUAUCUUUGCUAUGUUAGUUAUCUCGAUGCUAUCGCUAUGUCGCGCUACCUACCACUUGUUUAUCAAGCCUCCCAAAUUGCCAUGAUAGCCUCUAACCUUUUCACCCUUCCUAGCAAACUGUUGUUUGGCUAUAUUACCGCUUUGCUCAGCCCCUUUUAUAGCAUUGCUCAGUUGCAGGUUGUUCCAUGUUGGGACAUGGAUAUCAUGGGAUAUCACAAUAUCUCUUAUUUUAAUUAAUGCAUCUAUAUACUUGGUAAAGGGUGGAAGGCUCGGCCUUAUGCCUGGUGUUUUGUUCCACUCUUGCCGCCCUAGUUUCCAUCAUACCGAUGUAAUGUUCCUUGAUUUUGCAUCCCUAACACGGUGAGGGUUUAUGGGCCCCUCUUGACAGUUCGCUUUGAAUAAAACUCUUCCAGCAAGGCCCAACAUUGGUUUUACUAUUUGCCCAACUUAAUAACUAAACCUGAUAAUUAAUUAAUUAGCAUAGGGGGUCGCGUCCCCGAGGAUUCUUUUGUACAUACAGGGGGCCAGUGCUGGUCCAAACUAGAGUCGUGUGCGGCUUCCCCCGGGGCAACUCGGGUCUCAGUUGCUAUACGCUGCGCUCAUCCGGACGUGGCCUGAGACGAGAUACGCACGGCUACUAUCAGGGUGUUGGCACGCCGGGAGGUCUUGCUGGAUUAGUUUUACCAUUGUCGAAAUGUCUUGUGCACCGGGAUUCCGAGUCUGAUUGGAGGGUCCCGCGAUGGAGGAUUGUCUCCGCGGAUCGUGAGCUUGUCAUGGGUUAAGUUGGGACACCCCUGCAGGGUUUAAACUUUCAAAAGCCGUGCCCGCGGUUAUGUGGCAGAUGGGAAUUUGUUAAUAUCCGGUUGUAGAGGACUUGAAGUAAACUCAAUUAAAAUACACCAACCGCGUUGCGUAACCGUGAUUGUCUCUUUUCGGGGAAGUUCGAGAGGAGAACACGGUUGGGUUGUGUUUGAAGGUAAGUUGUUCAGGAUCACUUCUUGAUCAUUACUAGUUUGCGACCAUUUGCGUAGUUUCUCAUCUUACUCUUGUACUCGUGAGUUAGCCACCAUACAUUGCUUAGUCACUGCUGCAACCUCACCACCUUACCCCUUCCUUACCCAUUAAGCUUUGCUAGUCUUGAUACCCAUGGUAAUGGGAUUGCUGAGUCCUCGUGGCUCACAGAUUACUACACCAACAGUUGCAGGUACAGGUAAUGCGAUGAUCAUGACGCGAGAGCGAUGUUUGCCCGUUUUGAGUUCUUCUUCUUCUUCGUCGAUCUUGGGUUAGGUUCCUGGUCGGCAGCCUGGGAUAGCAGGGUGGAUGUCAUUUGAGCUUUUGUUUGUGUUUCAUCCGUAGCCGGAUGUUGUUCUAUGUAUGAUGUAUUGAUGUAUUCGUGCGGCAUUUGUAUGCCUUGUAUGUAUCCCCAUAUAUUAUGUAAUGGAUCGAUGUAAUGAUAUCCACCUUGCAAAAGUGUGUUAAUAUGCGAUUCUAUCCUUGGUGGGACCUUCGAGUCCCUUUAGGAUAGUGUCGCAUAUUGGGCGUGACAAGUUGGUAUCAGAGCCUCGACCGACCAUAGGAGCCCCCUUGAUUGUUCUUAGUUGGCCGUUGUUGAGUCUAGAAGAAAACUAUUUUGAGUCUUAGGAUUAUAUAUAUCGGAGAGUAGGAUUCUUUUUACUCCUUAGCCCCCUUCGUCGCUCUAGUGAGGACUCCUGACGUAGAUGUUUUUGACUUUCCUCUCCUCAUUUUCACUAAAUAUUUUUUAGGAUCACGCGGGUAUCUUGGGAUCGUUCUGAUAUUCUUGUGACGAGAACAUUGUUCUUGGUGUCUCUUGACAUUUAGGGGUUGUGGCGGUGUCCCGGGGAGUUGAGCUCCGAGGUGUUGUCGUCACAAUUUUAUCGUUGCAGUUCCGGUAUACCUGAGCUUUGCCGACAUCGAAAAUCUCUUAUAUGCAGUUAGUGGUGAGAUAACCUCGACGCCACCCAGUACUGGGGCGGGAGUUCGGGAGUAUUGCCACAACUCGUAUAUCGGAUGCUUUUCGAAGGUCGAGGUACACGAUUUCCGGAGUUUUCUUGGUUAUGUGUUGACGGAUGGAUACAGUUGGAGCAUAGGGCUUGUUAGUUGUGUGAUAUAUAUUGUGCCUCCCUGUAUCCUCAACACCAGAUUGCAUAAUCAGAAAGUUUCGGGAGUUUUUAGGUGGGAAUUCAAGUAUCUCGUAGGAUAUCUUUCCAACAGACACAUGAUAUGAUAUGGGGUCUAUCAUAUGUUUGUUCCGGCUUAUUCUGCAAGACAAAUCCUUGGUUUUGUUUUGAUUGUGGUAUUCGAGUUGCUUCAUUGUCAAGUGUUGAUUCCAUACCUUUUCCAAGUGGUGUUCUCAUAUUUCUAUGGGAGUGCUAAUCGUUCGUGAUCAUCGAGAUGGUCAUGCCAAUUCUUUUCCAACCAACGUGCUUCUCUUCAAGUGGAUCCGAUCAUUUUCAACAUCCGCAAUAUCAAUUCUAAGUUUUCUCAACGGUGUUUGUUCCAUCCGUCCCAAGUUGCCUUUGUUUGAAAGAUAAAAAAUGUUAUGAAUUUUCCAUAGGUCAAGAGAAAGAAUUAAAAAAAUCAUGUGUACAAAACAAUUUGAACAUUACAAGAAACACUGCUGAUGCUUUAAGUGUCUUUUUCUUGUUCUUUUUGAGGUAGAUGUUUAACGUCUUGACUUAAAUAUAAGGGAAAAGGUGUUGUAAAUAUUAACAAAUUUCAAUUGAUGUAAUUCCUAAAUAAAUGAUGAACAUGGCAUUAAUAGGAGGAAGCUCGUUGAUAUCUAAACAUGUGAGUAUGUAUCAAACAUAGAAUCGAAACAUCCAUGCACAUGGUAAAAACGACUAGCAUAUAAACGAGUAAAUAGGGGAUGAAAAAUUCAUACCCUUCCUAAGGUCACGACGGCGGCUACGACUUCCUCCGCAACCUUCUUAUUGGCGGAGGCGGCGGCCAUGGGGUCGGGGAAGUAGUCGAAGUAGAGAGCAAAGAAGUACAUAAAGAGGGAGCAGUCGCGCUGAGGCGCUCCCCAAAAACCUUAUCACCCUUCUCUCGAUGCAGGAUCGCAAAGGGCAGGGUUUCAAAGGCUUACUCUCCCGAAUGGUUGUGCACGCGGUCGACGAGAUGGGGUCGCGGGAAGCAGCAAUAGUGAGUGAAACAGUAGCUGACAGCUAGGGUUAUGCGCAAAGAGGAUUUUAGUGUUUUCAUUGGAGUGGCCAAUACCUCCAAUAUAUAGGCCGUUGAGUAGGAGUUGUGGGCCUAGGCUUAGGCCCAUGACCGAGUUGGUAGGCAGCCCACGGACCAACAUCUCGGACAGUGGUACAUCUAUUAGCGACUCGUAAUUAAUCUUGGAUUAAUUAACCAUUCAUGACCGAUAAAAAAAAGCGUAUACAUGACAUAGGUCUGAGCUCAGCGAUCACGAAACACGAUGGAUGCGCGAGUGUUGCGUCGCAAGGCGAGGGGUGGGGUGGAGGAGGAGCGCGUGUACCACUCCUCUUCUCACGCUCCAAUAGUAACUAGAAGAGAAUCCUUUAUAAACAUGCCUUAACUCUCUUCCACUAACGGUAUGGUACUAAACUUCAUCAUGUCAUGGCAUCUCAUAUGGGACAUAGAAAUUAACCCGAAAUUAUUUUUUAUAUGGCCCAACACCCAUGCAUAAUUCAACAAUCCCCCACUAGAUCUCGAGGCACAUUAUGUUGUCCUUUGUUUCAAACAAUGUUUUGAUAUACCAGAAUUUUUAUUGGGACCAGUUAAGGUUGAACAUCCACCUAGAGCAAAGAGCUAGACUUCUUCACAACUAAACAAUGAACCAUGCCUUUUAGUUUGGCGUUCAGAAGUUCACCAAUUGGCUUACUAGUACUAGGCUACCGAAGGCUAACUUCACUGGUGGAGCAUAUUAGUCACACUUCUGACCUUUUCAUGACCUUGCUAGAGAUUACCCUAUCUCAUAGGUUAUGACCAGUAGUCAGACUUACAUAGAUGUGUUCUUCCAAAGAUUGCUCUGUAGUAUAACAUCUUGCUUUUACAAGUUUUAGAACAUAUUAAGACAAACAUCAACCUGCCUUAAAGAUUACGAGAGUACCGCAUCUCCAACAAAGUGGGUUGGUAAGGUUACUCUCCUUAGUUAACUAGUAGCUUGUCUUCUCAGCUCCUAUUUCACGGGAUCUCCAAUCACAUAAGUUAGGUUACUACCAUAUGUCAACUCAUGUGCGUCUCAUACCAUCUCACUCGAUGCAUUUUUUAUCACAAUUCACGAUAACCCUUCCGUAAAGGUUCCGCCAGGUUCUUAGCCGAUUGGAUGUAAUCUAACGACACUACUCCGGAGUUUCUUAUAUGCCUGACAUAUUUCAAUCUCCUUAUAUGCUUUGUGGAUUGCAUAUUGUCCCUUGACCUCUUUGCCUUGGCAGUUACUGUCUAAUUAUCACAGUUUAUAAGGAUAGCUGGAAUUGGCUUUUCAACCACCGACAAGUCCAUCAAAAGCUCUCGAAGUCAUUAUGCUUCGACACAUGAUUUGUCUAAUAUUGUGAGUUCAGCUUCCAUUGUUAACUUCGUUAAGAUAGUCUGCAUGCAAGACCCCUAGGAAACACCACCACCACCAAGUAUGAACACAUAUUCACUUGUGGCUUUCGUCUCAUCAGCAUCAGAGAUCAUAUUCGCAUCACUAUACCCUUCAAGUACCAUCGGGUAUUCGGUACAGUGAAGUCCAUGGCUCACAAUUCCUCUCAGAUAGCGCAUAACUCUUUCAACAUCACGACAAUGUAUAUCGCUUGGAUUGGAAACAAAUCGGCUCACUAUGCUCACAACAAAAGCGCAAACUAGGUACAUUCGUGAACCAAUCACUUAAGAGUAUCUCAUUUGAUCUAUAUCCGCGCCUUCGAACUUUCGAAUCGGCAUGUUAUGGUUAUAUGGUGUUAGAGAAGGUUUGCAAUCUGAAUACCCAAAGCGACUCGGAAUCUUCUCAACAUAGUGGGAUUGCAGAAGUGUAAUCCCACCCUCACUAUCUGUCAACAUCUUGAUGUUCAGGAUAACACCAGCCACAUCCAGGUCUUUCAUCUCAAAAUUAUGAGAUAGAAAAGCUUAUUUUUUAAGCUAAGCUUCCCACAUUUAAUUAUUUAAUAACCAAACUCUUUUAUGCAUUUGUUGGUGAACAUUUUGCAUAGUUCCACGUGAUUAACACUAUUUCUUUUUAGAUCAUCAUAACAUUCUUUUCUUUUUAGUUGCUUUGUCAAGUCAGUUUUUUUUUACUACGUGGCAUUCAUAUUUGUGCAUAUAGCGUGAAGCACUCGGAAGGACAAGAUGAUGUCACCAGCUCAUACGGCGACACUCCCAACCGAACCGGCGGCAUCUCCCAAAGCAUCAUCCUCGCAAUCUCCGCCCCCCUCCCGCGAGAGCCAAAGCCCCCGCAAAAUUUACUCACUACUCUCCGCAAGCGCGCAUCUCCACCGCCGACGCCGCUAUGCCCGCCGCGCACUCCCUCCUCCACCUCGCGGCGCCCAAGUCCGUCGCCCCCACGUCCACCCUCUCGCUGGCCGGCGCCGCCCACCUCCGCCUGCUGCCCUCCCGCCGGCCUCAGCGCCUGGUCGCGUCCUGUAGCUCAGCCCACCCUGACCUCGCCGCCUUCCCCAACCCAAACGGCCUCCUGGUGGCCGAGCCCGCUGCGGCAGCGCCCAUCGACAUUGACGUGGCCACGGAGGCCGAGCUGCGGGAGAACGGGUCCCGGAGUACGCGCCGCACCAAGCUCGUCUGCACCGUGGGCCCCGCCACCUGCGGCCCCUCGGAGCUGGAGGCGCUGGCCGUGGGGGGGAUGAACGUCGCGCGUCUCAACAUGUGCCAUGGGGACCGCGAGUGGCACCAGAAGGUCAUCAGCUCCGUGCGGAUGCUCAACGAGGAGAAGGGGUAUGCCGUUGCCGUCAUGAUGGACACCGAGGGGAGCGAGAUCCACAUGGGGGACCUCGGCGGCGCGCCAGCGGCCAAGGCAGAGGUGAGGUUGGCGCUGGGUUUUGGCUCGGCAGCUGCUCUUCCCUUUUCAUGUUCCUUACGAAUUCUCAUGCACAUCAGACAAUAUGUGCUUCGCUACGGAGCAAACACCAGCUGUCAUGAAUCAGGGUUGGUUUGGCUGAGGAAUUGGGUAGUGGAGUGUCGUUCGUGUCCGGUGAGAUCGAAACCGUUGCGCGAAAAAUCUCCAUCCUCCAACUAACAUAAUAGAAAAAUUCGAGGAGUUCUUAUCGAACACAUUAGGGACUCGGCUGAGGUACGCCGGUACAGCUGUGCACACGUACGAGCUACCUUGAUCGAUUCCUACUUUUUGAAUAAUUAAACGUUUCACAAGUAGUGAACUAAAUUUCUUGUUAUUACAACUAACAACUAUUUCCACAGGUUCAGAACCAUUUAAUCCAUAAUGGUGGGCAAAUGCAUAAAUAUAUUCCUGAAAGAGAAGUGGGUAGACAAAGUAUUGUUGACGAGAUUUAUGUUUUUCUGAAUACCCUUCGAAUUUUUCCAUUUGUAUUUCUACUUGAAUCAGAGAGAAGAAGCAUUUCUCGGUUUAUCGAAUGAUGAUACAUAGGGCAAUAUGGUCAGAACAGGGUGUUGCAUUUUUAAUACAAACCCUGGAAAGAAAGGGAAGUAUUGAAGGCUGGCUUAACACACACGCAGCGCACAUGACACGUACAUCGAUUUGGUUGCCUCAGAAGCUUGCCUUUCUUUGAUCUGAUUGAUUACACGUAGAGUUACAUGUAUAGAUAUAUAAAGCAGCAAAAGGUAGCUAGGUAAUAUCUAUACAGUGAUUGUUUCGGGUCUGACCUGGACUAUGACUUGUGGUUAAUUCGAACAGAAGGAUUAGGAGAUAGCCCAGCCAUACUGGCGUACGUGAGCUAGACUCUUGUGUUCCUGUUUCAUGUGUGAGAUGGACAACCGAGGAAAAUCUAGGGGGGAAGCUUUGCGCCUGUUGAUUGAAAAGAAAGGAUAACUUGUAUGCUUCCACCGGCCUAUUUGGCUGAGUUGGUUACAACAGAUAGAACUAAACCGCAAGUCACGUGUUUGAAUCCCAUCUCCGUAUGGCCAAGCCGCUCGCGUGGGCAUAAAAUUCCUGUUCGCUGCAAGCUGUUUUUUUCAAAGCCCAAGUGUACGCGGCCAGCCGGCCACCAGGUUUUUCGCUGAAAUAUACAGGCGAAGUCCCAAGUAGAUGCGGUCUUUUCGGUGGCUUUGUUUUGCUUUUGGAGCGUGGGCAAGGCCCAACCGAACGAGGGAGGACGAAACAAAAAUUAAUGACCUACAAACACCAACUUCCCUUUAUAGUAGAGGUAUCCCAUUUUUAAAAUGCGGGUAGCAUUUCUAAUUUAAUUUCUUGAAUGCAGGGGCCAGUAAAAUAGCUGAAACAAGGGAUAUUAUAGCAAUUAUCUCGUUUCAGAUAUUUGUUUUUGCGUAUCUUUGUCAUAUGUUUGGUACUGGGUUGAAAAAAUUCUAGAUUCUAGAUAGCUAAGAAGUUAAGAAGUGAUGAGCAAUGAGCUUCUGAAGGUAAUUGUCAUGGUCUAGGGUCCAACACUUGAAUAAUCGUAUGAAGCAUCCUUCAGGUCUUGCUUUUAGCAGCUCUCGAAACAAAAAAGGUAUUCUGAUUUGAGUGACUUCAGUGGAUUGGUUGUACCAGAUUUAGUUGUUAGGAAUUUAGUAUGAUUUUUUAAAAUCUAAUCUGUAGUCACUUUUUGGCCAUUUGGGUUGAACUCCCAAUGACCCCAACAUGACUGAUAUGUGACACGGUUGGGCAUGUUGUCUUUGGUUAACUUAUCAAUAGGAUGUGGGCAUGAGUUUUCUUUUCUUCUAAGAUGUUGUUAUUGCUUCUUUAAAUACUUGGAAGUUAAUAGUGCUUGAGACCGUGUUUUGAAAACAUGUAUAUAUAUUUUCGGAGAAUCCUUGAAAGGUUAGGGCAAUUGAUUGUAAGAAUAGAGUUGCCCAUUCAUUAGGGAAAACCAGGCGAAAACCAGAAGAAACUUGUAUACUUAAAACCCACAAAUUUCUUGAAUCUUUUCCCCUCUCUAUAGGCAGGCUUAGCAAAAUCUUCGUGAUUAGUGGAGUCUGAACUUUGCGGAUCACCUUUGUCAAUGGAAAUACAAUGGUAAGAAAAGUCCAAUAAAAUCGAGUAACUCAAAGGAGAAAUGCAUUUUGGCAUGCAGUCGCCAAGUUCUACGAUCAAGAAAAGACUAGUGUAAUCAUAAUAAAAAUUAAAGAUAUGCAUGUUCAACCUAAUGCAGCCUUUUAUGAAAGCUGGGUUACUUUUCAAAUUUAAUCUUAUCUUCUAUUCUUAAAUAGUUGCAACCCACUAUCUAUUCUAAGCAUGCAGAGCCUCCACAUGAACAAACCAUGCAUGUCCUCCACGUCUUUAAUCUACCAUCCCAAACUAUUUUCCCCAUGCAUGCAACCCUUUCACAUCAACAAAUCAUGCAUGGCUGCCAAAUCAUUUGCCAUCACAUCAAAAUUAAUUCUCACAAUUAUUCACGUCAUCAAUGUAAUUAUCCAUGUUUUCAGCCUACCAUCCCGCGGCAACGCGUGGGUUAUCUACUAGUUUUCCAUAUAUAACAGUUGAAAUUUUGAUGGUAACUAGUGGUGGCAUGAUACGGUCUAUUUCAUACUAAAUGUUAUGAAUAUAAUCUGUAAAAAUUUCAGACUAAAGUUUAAUCAACAGCUAUAGGUAAUUGAGGCACUACUCUGAAAAAUGAGAUUCUGACAUCCUCUUUGUGAAAACAUCAUAUAACAAGAGCUGGACAUAAGAUUGAAGAGUAGCCAACUACCCAACCCAACUCAUCUAUACUCAUAUUUAAUGAGAAUCCCUGAUAUGCUCAGCUAUAUCGUUUACUGUGCAAUUUCUGAUUUGAGCCUUGGGUGCAAGUGUUUCUGUGGUCAUCACUAGGAAUUUUAUUUGCUAUCUUUUUUAGAGAAUUGCCUUAGUACCAUUAUAAGUUUGGUCACACUCUAUUUUGGUGGAUUUCACAGGAUGGAGAAAUCUGGACAUUCAGUGUUAGAUCUUUUGAGGCACCUCUCCCAGAACUAACUGUUCAUGUGAACUACGAAGGCUUCGCUGAAGGUUAGUAUACCUCUUCAUUACCCUCUAUAGUUUUUGUCGCCGCUUAAUUGUAUUUCUGAUUCCUACGAAGAUGUGAGAGUUGGUGAUGAUCUUCUUGUGGAUGGUGGAAUGGCUCGGUUUGAGGUCGUUGAGAAACUAGGACCGGAUGUGAAGUGCCGUUGCACAGAUCCUGGUUUGCUGUUGCCACGUGCCAAUCUUACAUUUUGGCGGGAUGGCAGUGUUGUCCGCGCGAAGAAUGCCAUGCUUCCGACAAUUACAUCUAAGGUGACUUUACUAUCAUGAUAAGCUGUUGCUAUGAAUCUGUAGUAUUCUGGGUGGUUUUUUUUUUGCUGAAAAAGGGAUUUGGUAGUUAUCCAUAAUAAUCCCCUUUUUCUUGUGAUGCCUUUUGCAGGAUUGGCUUGACAUAGACUUUGGAAUUGCUGAAGGUGUAGAUUUUAUUGCAGUUUCAUUUGUUAAGUCAGCUGAGGUUAUUAACCAUCUAAAGAGCUACAUAGCAGCAAGGAGUCGUGGCAGGUAAUAUUUCUCUCAAGUUCUUGACUAGUUGAAAAGAAUUGUUUAAUGCCGUCUGAUGCGUUCUUUCCCAUCCUUCUGUCCAUGGAGCUGUGGCAUCACUUUACACAUCCAUUGGAUGAAAUAAUAUUGUCAUGGAGAUCUGAGCUCAGCUAACAUACGCACAUGCAAACUAAUGCCUGAGCUGUACAAGGUGCACAUGUCAGUCGCGCAGACAAGUAUCAUGUUUUUGGUCCCACAGCUCCCAACAUCCCAUGUACAAUAUCACUAACAGACCCCCCCUCCCCCCACCCCGCCCAAAAGAAAAGAGACUCGGUCAUAACAGCACUGACCCAUUUUGUGUGAGGCAAGGCAACUUUUUCUUUUCUUUCAAGGGUUGUGUUCCGAGGGUGGGUCAGGCAUGUUGGAUUGAGUGAGUUUUCUCCCUCAGUUGUACAUAUUUCUUCCUAAUGAAAUGUUACAAAGCUGUCUUGCGUGUUUGAGAAAAAAUAACAGCGCUAAGCCUUUCUAGUUCUCCUCCACUGCUGUUCGCAUAUCGAUUUAUGUAUUUCCUCUAUGGAUGGCAAUCGGGCGUGACGGGUCCGUUUAAGGGUCACCCAUGCCGUCCCUGCCACACAUUUUCGUGCCCAUGAGGACCACUCAUGACAGGCACACAACCUUGCGCAUACCCAUCACCGGCUAUUGCCCGACACCCAUGGGUAUGCUCAUGUGCCUGACGCCCAUCGGUCAGUAGCACAUGGAGCUACCAAGUUCAGACGUCGAUGCUACCUCACUCCCAAAGAAGGUCCACAUACAACAAUUGAUUCCAUUGAAUUAGACAGGGUUUAGUUUUGUAAACGGGUGGACCCGGCACAGGUUACCUAUGCUCUUGACCACUUAUUGGGUGUUACUUUGCACCUGCGAAGAUGCCUGCGGGGAGAAAACUCGGAACAUGUGCGCAGGUUAUUGGACAAGAUUGCCAUCCUUAACUCUCUCCAUUUCAUAUUUUAGGGCGUGUAGUUUCUUUUCUUACUUUAUAAGGCGUAUGCUGGUAACAAAGCUGCAACCAAGUCACAUCUUCCUACACUACCCCUAUGUUACUUUUCUUCCUCCAUCCACCGCUAGAGCGACGGAGAGUUGCCAGCCAUCAAAGUCUCCUAGGAAAGCUGAAAUACAUCCAUUCAUCGCUGCAUAUUGGAAAAUAAUUCACUAAUGCAAUAACCUCGGUGCAAGGCUACAUAAGUUUUUCUACUCAAUACUCUCUUGCUUUUGGCUCACCUUAAUCUUCAGUUCACACUGGUUGCAAAUACUUCUUGAAAUAUGAAAUGGAGGGAGUAAGCUAAAGUUGGUUCCUCGACUGCCCUAUUAUCUCGCCAUGACUCAUACCCAUGUGCGCACAUAUCUUAACCUCUUAGCUUGUAAUCCUCAAGUGUAAUAGUGUUUAUUAAUUUUGCAAAAAAUAAACAGUGUUUAUUAUAUCGCCGUAAUUUAAAUGAGUGUGAGAUCCAGUUUUCCUCCCCGCAUCAUCAUCUGUUCUUACUGGUCAGAGGCCCCCUUCUACCCUGGUGCUUCUGCUCCAAUCUCAGCAGCAAUGGCUCUGUCAUUGUGUGCUGCCCUCAUCGCUGAUCCACACUACAUCCUCACCCUGCUACUGGAUAACUUGAUUUGUAUCAUGCAUCUCAAUGAUAUUCUCCACUCUCCAAUCGGCUCUUUGAUCUGCCCCCGUGCUGUGAAGAGGGUAAUGGAAGCAGCUAUGCCUAGACUCCAGUGUCUGAAGGCCGGUUAAUAGAUCAGACAUGUUGUAGUGGCGGACACAGGGCUUGAUGGAACCAGAAGCACGCUCAAGACCAAAUGAGUAAGGUUGAUCACAUCUUUUCUCCAGUAAGAGCCUCCUUGGGUAAUGCUAAGAUUACUUGUGAGUGUCGCUUGCAAAGAUGAGUGUGUCUGCAAGUAAUGCCACUGACGAAGCAUGCCCAUUGCCACUACGCCGGCAGUUGCAUGCGAUAUGCUGUAGAUGUAGCAAACCUGUAUUCCGCUGCAAUAUACAGGCACCUCAUUCCUAUAUAAAUAAUUCACUGUCUUUUGUUUCAAUAGAUUUAGCACAUAAGGAUCUUCAUGUUUUUCAAUCCAUGGUAACACAGACAUUUAGUUAGUUAGUUAGAGUUGAAUUUUAUUUUCUCAAUGGUCUGCAUACUUGACAAUACAAUAUGCAUGACUACUAUUUCUAGAGCUUUAUCAACUCUUAUACCCCCAGGUAUGGUUUUAAAAAUCGGACCGGACCGGCGGUCGAACCGGAAAAAACUGGAACCGGUGGCACUCACGGUUUCUUAAGCACUGUGUGGACCGCCCCGCCAUCGGACCGGAGCGAAACAGGCGAAUCGGCCGGUUUUUGGGGUAAACCAGGAGUAAAACCGAGCGGUUUAACCGAAUCAUGGGAGAACGCCUUUGCAUGAAGCAGAAAAAGGAUUGUGCCGGGGAGGAAACGAACCCAGGUCGCCCAACAAACAGGUCGUAGCCUAAGGUCUGGCCCAGCAACCAACCCAGCUAGCCUACGUUGUUGUCAAAUGAAAGAAGACUAUUUUAUUUGACCUCUGUUAGUAUAUUAAUACACAAACAUACCUUUUAUAGCCUAAACAACCAGAAUGAACCAAUGAAUGCACUGAUUCUUGGUAGUUACUAGAGAUAAUAGGGCAAAUCAACGACCUUUGAUCACCUUUUCACAAAAACAGAGAAGGAAUUACAAAUAAUGUUAUGUCGCAGUUGCGGACUUACGGUACAUCCAAAUGGAUCAUCUGAAUGGUGCAGUCAGCUAUAACUUGCUGCAGCUCGGCCCCUUUCACCAAAUUCGGGAACCAGCUGUGUAUGGCUAGCUUUGUCCACUUUUUCAUUAUUAAUUCCGGAGGACAAUUAAGCGAACCAUGCCUACAGGAAUAUUUGAGCUUUCAAAUGUGAAGAUUAGCUAGAGUGUCAGAUUUUUUUGAAGAUUAGCUAGGUUUCUCAUGUACCAUACUGUUGGGGCUGCAUGAAUCUUUGUUUAAAUUUGAACCCCUUAAGUCGUAACUUCUACUCACUCCGUGUGUAUUUUGUUUGUGGCUAAAUGAAUGGGCAUGGUAAAGAAUUGCAUGAAGCUGAAUGGCAAAAGAAAAUAGCCGUCACUCUGUUGGUAUUUUGUAGUCUUUCGGAAGUUGAUCUAUGCGCCUUAUUUUCUGAAAAGGCCAACAUAGAUUAUGCAUUAUGAAUAGAAAUGAGCCACAUGCUGUGUUUCUGAAACAUUGACUCAAAUUGUUUCAUCCUGAUCAUUAUUAUUUCGUUGUCUAUGAUCAGUGAUAUAGCGGUCAUUGCAAAGAUCGAGAGCAUUGACUCUUUGACAAACUUGGAGGAGAUCAUCCGUGCAUCGGAUGGUGCCAUGGUAGCCAGAGGGGACUUAGGGGCACAAAUUCCCUUGGAGCAGGUCCCUUCAAUACAACAAAAGAUAGUUAAACUGUGCAGGCAGCUAAACAAGCCAGUCAUUGUUGCUUCCCAGCUUCUCGAAUCGAUGAUCGAGUAUCCUAUACCCACCAGGGCCGAAGUUGCUGAUGUUUCUGAAGCAGUCCACCAACGUGCGGAUGCUCUGAUGCUUUCUGGCGAGUCAGCAAUGGGUAGAUAUCCAGAUAAGGCACUCAUUGUCCUCAGUAGUGUUAGCUUAAGGAUUGAAAGAUGGUGGAGGGAGGAGAAGCACCAUGAGCCACUAGAACUUGAGGACGUUUCGUCUUCUUUCUCUGACAAAAUAUCAGAAGAGAUCUGCAUUUCUGCUGCUAAAAUGGGUAAAUAUUGCUAUCAAUUGGCCCUUUCACUUACUUGGUCUAUAAUAUCUAACCAUUUUGACUUGCAGCUAACAAGUUGGAAGUGGAUGCCGUUUUCGUCUACACGAAGGGUGGCCAUAUGGCCUCCCUGCUUUCACGGUGCCGCCCUGACUGCCCAAUCUUCGCCUUCACGAACUCGACGUCCGUGAGGAGACGACUGAACCUCCAAUGGGGCCUCAUCCCCUUCCGCCUCACUUUCUCCGAUGACAUGGAGAGCAACCUGAACCGUACUUUCUCCCUGCUCAAGGCGAGAGGCAUGAUCAAGUCCGGUGACCUGGUGAUCGCCCUCUCCGACAUGCUGCAGUCCAUCCAGGUGAUGAACGUACCAUAAGAGGCAUGAAUCCCUAGCUGUGCUGUUCUGGCCAAAACGAGACACUGCUGUAGCGUUUGCAAUUUAUUCGUGUGUUCUUGUAUUUAGACGGACCUGAGAACUCAACCGCGACAAUAAUAAUGUGCUGCAGUUCCUAGCCUGAUGAACUCAUGUACUACGUAUUAUCUAGGAUUAGUAUGGGAAUCGCUUGAUCUAUGCUUUUGUAUUAUUUGUUUGGUUUGCUUAUAUCAAGUGGUACAUGUAAAAA